rnacentral:lncRNA from 1 species
ACAGCCACUCUUCACAAAAAUCAAACUCUUCAUUUUGUCACAGAACGUUUGGGCUUCGUUCACCUCUAUCUGGGUAAGUCCCAACUAUCUUUAUUUUUUUAUGAGAUUUUAAGCUCCGGGCUCUGUGAUUUCUACAAGAAUUAAUUCCACAAUAUUCUGAUUUUACUUGUUCAAAUCAAAGCAAAGGAAGGGAUGUUGUUUUUGGAUGGGUAAUUGUCAAAAACGACUUGUGGAAUCUGCGUGCUUAUAAUCAAAUUUUGAAGAUUGUCAAUGGUCCACAGUCCACAUUUGACACCGAGAAUGCCUCAGUCACUACUGCCAUCACUCUCCAUCUCUCAAUAGCUUGUUUCUUCAUAAGACAAAUCAUUAUCUCAAGCUCCUUUCAAAAUUCUAUCAUUUGGUCAGUUGAUUCAGUUCUCUUUUAAAAAUUUAUUUGAAGUCUUAGACAUAGUUUUUGAUCUAAUUUUUCCUUUUGAAUUAUUGGUUAAACUUUAUUUAUUUAUAAUUUUGGAAUUGAUGAGAUAUCUGAUCUGGGCUUCAAAUUACCCUAAUUUGUUUUUCUUUAUUGUGAUUGUGAUUUUAGCUAAGGAUUGGGUGAUGGGUUUUUGUUUUGGGUCAUCUGAUAUGGUUUUGAGAUUGGUUUCAUAUAUAUGAUUUUGGUUAGUGUUAAAGUAAAUAAAUCGGUAUUUCAUUCCUGCGGUUUUUGUGGAGGUACAUCAUUGUAUCAUGCUUAUUUUCUCUUUUGAUUAUAUGGUUCUAUAAUCUAUUUGUUUGGUCAGUGCUGGUUUGAUGAGUGCAUGACCUGUGCUGAAAAGUGGCAUAAAAAACUUCAAAUGCAGAGCAAUAGGCUCCUUAAAUACACAACUUUGCAGAGCAAAAUGUUCUUUUAGAUAUAAAAAAAAAUGCUCGUUUGAAUACAAUAGUGGGUAGUAGGAUGUUUGAAUACAAUCAUAUAAUAAUAGCCUCUUGAUAAGUGCUAACUUUGUUUUGUUUUUUUUUUGUUUUUAAUAUGUGAGCUUAAUUAUGAAUUUCAAUGCAAUAUUUUUGAACAAUUGAUUUAUAAUAGAAAAACAACAUGCAUACAUUCUCAAUAGCUACUCUUUGAUCAUAGGAUAUUGGUAUUGCUAGCAGCUAGUUAUUAGUCUUUGUGUCCAAGAAGACCCCAUUCUGAGCACAAAUUUGACAGAGUGGUUAUAGAGAUAAAAGGUGCUAAGAAAUUAGAUAUUCUGAUUUGUUCAAUUACAUUGCACCUAUCCUAUUAUAGUUACAGCUAACCUCAACUAGCUUACUGAACAGUUCUAACUGAUAUGAGAGUUAUAACCAGUACUAUUUCUUUGCAUACUACCAUUGAAUUAGUAGGUGAGUUGUAAAUAGUUGUGUUUUUGUUUAUGCUCAGUAUUGUUUGUUUAUUUUUCGCUUAAUAGUCUAUAAUACUGAUUUCUUCAUUUAAAAUGUUGUACAUUGUGUGACAUAGGAGAUGAGUUACUUGUAAAUGAGGGAACAUUGACAUUUUCCUUCCUAUUUCUACUUUGUUUAGCUAAACAACAUAACCGAGGAGAGUUUGCUUGCUUAUAAAAUACCGACUUCUGUCUUUAUUCUUUGUCUUUCGCCCUUUGUACGUUUCUUCUUAUUUUUCCUGAUCUUGUUUGGUUUCAUGAUCAUAUGUUCCUUUGGGAUUUGGCAAUAUGUAUCUGUGAUAUGGUUCUCUCUUUUGUUAAUAUUUGUGAUAUGGUUCCAUCUUUUGUCUAUAUUGUACGUGUGUGACUGAUAUAUCUUCUGCCUAUUAAUCAACUAUGCCUGUGUAUUGUUUCUUUAUUGCUUGUUAUUGUCUAGAUUUCAACGGCUUGAAAUUAUUUGUAUAAUAUUGGCCUGCAGGGAAAUAUGGUUUCUCCAAUUAAGUUGAUGAUUGCUGAGGAAGAAAAGUUCCAGGGAAAGGCGUUGUCCCUUUCCUAUACAAAGAUCGCAAUUAGUACCAUAAAGGACAAAUUCAGUUCGCAACAGCUACGAGGGUUUGAAGAGAGUUGUUUUGGUCAUCUCUUACUCAUUGAGGACCUUAAGUGGACUUCGCCAAUUGUCCACGGCUUGUUGCUGAGGAAGGCUGAUCCGAAGACAGUUUCCCAAGUGAACGGGAUAAAAUUCAACGUUGGCAAUAAGGUGACCCAAUUCACGGCUCAACAAUUUUGCGUCAUCACAGGGCUAAGGUUUGGAAACCUUCCUUUCAUUCCGAUUGCCACUAAUGAGAACUGCUCAUUGAAAAGGAAGUACUUUUGCAACGAUAAAACUGUCAACCUUUUGGAAUUAGAAAAAGCCUUCCUCGACUGCGCUAAUGAGGAUGAUGUAUUCAAGCUUGGAUUUGUAUACUUUGUUGUUUUUGUGCUGUUGGGCAGUAAAAAAACAUGUCCACAUUGACAUGCAGUAUUUGAAGUUGGCGGAAGACCUUGAAGAGUUUGUGAAGUAUCCAUGAGGUGCUAUGUCUUAUGCGAAGACAAAUGCGUCACAUUUGAGGGCACUUUGUGCAAAUUACCAGCGAGUACAAGUGCCCAAAAAAGCUGUGAAAACAAAAAACUCUGAAAAGAAAGCAAAGACAACGACAACUAGUAGAACAAGAGAGUACCACAUCAAAGGUUUUGCCUUUGUAUUUCCGGUGAGCAAAUUUCCAUUCAUGUUUAAGUUAAAUUUCAUUUGUUUACAGUGAGUGAUGUUUUCUUCUUCAAACCAGAUUUGGGCUUAUGAGGUCUUCCAGCGUUGGAUGCACUGUAUUUGGUCGUGCACGAAGAGAAUGCCUACAUCCCUCGUAUACUACAUUGGAGGAGCAAUACUUCGGAUCGUUUUCAUGAGCUAAUGAGCCAAGUAUUCGAGAACCAUGAGGUUAGUUAUGUUUUUUUAUGAUAAUGUUAGGCAUAUGAAAAUAUAAUAAGUUUACUGAUAUGUAUAUUGUAUGUGUAAAUUGCAGGUUGAUGUGCAACUUCUCCGGCCAACUGUAAUUGACAAGCAGUAGCCCUAUUGGCCUUGGGGUGACAGUGUUAAUGACACUGAAGAAAUUGUUGAGUUGUUUGGCAAUGACGUCGAAGAAAAAACCAGCACAUCUGCCUCUGUAGAAGAAAAAGAUGAUGACAUUGACGAAAUUGCUACCCUUUCGUCGUCGUCUAAGGUAAGCAUUACCUUUUUCCAAUACAUAUGUCAUACUACAAUAGGAAAACAGUAGCUGUAUUUGGGUUAUAUUUUGGAAAUAUUGUAACUGUUGCAUUAUAAUUGAAUGGAGGGUAAAGCCCCGUCCACUGAGUUACGCACUUUGAAGCGUGACUUUCAAAGGACAAAGGAUGAAUUAGCCAAUGUAGUCAGUUCAAAUCGAGCGCUUCGAAACAGAGUGCAUGCCUUGGAAGAAAUUGUAUGGAAGGAGCCGUUGAAACUUGAAAAAGAGUCUGCAAAAAAUAGAAAGUGUGUGGAGGAUUUCGGCAAGACCCUCUUUUCAAUCGAACACUAUUUUAAGCUGGAGAUAGAGGAGUUGAAAAAACGAAAUGGUGGGUUGAAUGAAGGUGGGGAAGGACAUGAGGAACUCGGUAGUCCUCAUAUGAAUGAAGGAGGCGACAAUGACAUGCCGCUAUUACAUGAAUAUGUUAGUCCGCCUACAGCACCGGCAGCAAUGGAAGCACAAGUCCCCGGUGAUGGAGCCGAACCCUUCGCAGCCAUGGUAGUCGAAGAGGCAGAAAUGGCCGCUUCAGUUCUUUACAUACAAGUGCAUGAAGCAACUAAGCAUGCAGAAUCCGAGAAGCUGCCUACCCCAGAAGAUGUGGCCGGGUGCAACAAAAUCUGCAAAAGACUGUUGUUUUUGUUAGAAGAUUGGAAAAUAACCGACAGUAUGCCAUCGGGAGGUCCGAUGAAUCCUCCAAGAAUACCCAAAGUUAGUGUGGCUGGUGAUGAAGAAGGUAGUGCGAGUGUUGAAAAACAAGACGUGGAAGCUAAAGGGUGCAGAAAGAAGCGCCCAGCGCAGACAUUGUUGAGUCCAUUUACUGAUCCUUUGAGGAAGAAAAGGACGACGACUGUGUCGGAUGCGGCUGCAACCCCGCCAUGUUUUGAUCCAACAAAACCCCUGCCCAUUGAAGAUGUGAAGGCAGUAAUAGAGUUUUGCACUGCCUGGAAAAACGAUAUCAUAUUAGGAUUCUUUACCUUCGAAAUCCAAUCUUCAUGUUAUUGUAGUAUGUAGUCAUAUAGCAAUGAGAAAAUGUAGAGUUUGCUUUAAUAUACAUGUGUGUAUUUGUCAUCAUUUACCAAGUCAGAAUUAUGAGAUGAGUACAAAAUUCACUGUUGCAAGUUUGCCUAUUGUAGUGUGGAGGUGCAGCAGGAAUCAUGUUCAGUGGGCCCUGAGUUUUUCUACAAACUGAUCGAUGAUACGGAAUGGAUUAGCUCAAGGGUAAGAAUACACAAAGCUCUACUUCAUUACGAUAAUGCAAUUGUUUUCUCACCUUUGUUAAGUGUACAUUUGUAUGAAAUUGUGCUCAUAUUAUAUAUGUCAACUUCCAGCACCUUGACAUGGUAACCUUUCUUAUCCGGAAAAGGUAACUCUCUCAUCCGUCGAUAUUUGGAACUCACCGAACAAUGGCAGAUUAUUGCUUGCAGGUAAACAUGUUACCAUGUUACAUUCACUGCAUCAUUUGCUUCUGGUUGUCAUUCUGUAAUAUGUCUUCAUUUCAAUGUCUGCAGCAAUUUCUAGAGCCGGUCAAGGGCCUGCCAAGAAACGAGGAUCGAAUAAGGCAGCUGCUUCAAACACCAUUGACCUUCCACCUAGCAACUUGAACAAUAUACAUCACUAUGUGCGCAGUACGUGGCAACACGGGUAUGGGCAAGCUUGGACAAAAGUCCGGAAGGUCUAUUUUCUAUAUAAUCUUCAAGGGUCCUACUGGGUUGCAAUCGAAAUUGACUUCGUAUGACAUACUGCAACUGUGUAUGACUCCUACAUUGCUUUUACCUCCACUUCGAAGCUAGUUAAAUAUCUGCACCCUAUUAGCGAUACGCUGGCACGGGUACUGUACGAGAUGCACUUUUACAAUGCUUCUGAGGUUCAAGAGGUUAAACAAAAGGGGAUGAAGAUGUCGACGUUUACGCCAUUCACAGUUUGCAGCAUUGGAGAUGUGCCACAACAACGGGAUGGGCAAGCUUUGUGAAUUUAGUGCAGUUUAUCUACAUAACUGCAGUUCUAAUUUCCGAACUUAUUUCUCGACAGUACCUCUUACGGAAUCUUGACCGUCAAAUUCAUCGAGUAUCUCAGUGCUGGCAUUUCAUUGGAUAAAGUUGACCCUUUGAAGAUCAAAUAUUACCGACUCAAGCUUGCAAUCGAGAGUUUAAAGGGAGAGGCAUAUAUAUGAGGUAAAUGUCAUAAUGUCUGUGAAUUGAGUUCAGUCUGGACUUAUGACUUGGUAAUUCACUUUCUUCAUGAUUUUCUUCGACAGAUUGAUUUGUGGUCUUGAUUUGUGUGUUAAUUGGGUAUUAUAGCUAUUGCUAAAAAAUUAUGGGUGAGGUUUCUUUCUGGGUUCAAUUCAAAUGAACAAGUGCAUAUGUGGUGCAACAGGGUCUUUAAUUUUUGUAGAUGUUUACUAGUCCUCUUAUGUGAAAAUAUAGGUUCUUUACUUUGUAAGAUGGUGCAAAGUUUCAAAUCUAAAUGAAAUCAAUUCCAUUCAUAAUUAAGGUUGGAAUGUAUAUUUUUUUAUUCACUAGGUAGAUGUGUUAGAUGGACUGGUAUUACUGCAUGACAUGACAAACUAGGCAACCCCUCACUUUGACUGUCAUCAUAUGAUGGUUUUCUAGUACAGAGUUCUUCGACAGAGCAGUGACUCUGCUACUCUCACUAUGAAGUUAUUUUUGCUUGUGAUCUAGCCUGGUUACUUCUUCGUCAUGUUUUUUGGCUCAGAAGGAAUUGUUUUAACAUCAUUCUGUUUUUGGGUGUCAUUCGAGCAUGGUUCGAAUGGGUAAUGAGGAGACUUGUUUUUGUAGCUUGUUGAUACUGCUCUAUGACUGAUCAUGUCAUGGGUGCAUGAAUAGGGAUAGAAUUCAAGGCAUGGAAGGAAAGAAAUUUGAGGAAGGGGAUGGUUAAGUAUUAAUGUAUUUCUUCUUCUUAAGAACUAAGUUGGCUAACGAUGAAUGAAGAAAUUCUACCUCAGCCUAUUAACCUAUAUGUUGUUUAUUCAAUUUACCCAUUAAAUGCUUCUGUGAUUGAAGAAAUAGAUUUGCCCAUCCUGGUUUCAUUUAAUUUCCAGCUCCUUUGUUUAUUGCAUAUGUAUCAUGUAAGUAAUUAUUCCUUUAGCUGCAAAGUUCUAUUUGAUGAGACAUCCACUUGUUAUGCAUUAUUUCUCAGUGAAGUCUGACACAACUGAAGUAUUUAAGAUAACUAGUGGGGAGAUGAUAUCUGUUCUUUCUGAGUUCAUGGAUACUAGUGAAAAUAAAGAUAUUAGGGUUGAAGAAUAUUUAGAUUUCAUUGUUAAGAAGUGAUCAGUUGCAAGCAAGGAAUCUAGAAAUUUCCACUCUAAAGCAAUCAGAGAAAGCAUUUCAGCCAAAUUCAUAUAAAAAGGAUAGGAAGUUUCCACUUUUAUCCGCAGAGAAAAAGGAGCUGGACAAACGUUUCAGCACUAUUUCUCAGCGCUAUCUUUUUGUUUUGUUUUACAUGUAGUAUUUUAUUUAAUUUUUCGCAGAUUUUGUUUGUCAUUCCAUUCUUGAGAUGUUAUAUGCGUACUUGCAGGCUUGAGAAAUUUUCCCAUGUUUGGAGGUCAAAACAACUUGUGUAGUCAACCAUGCAUAUAAUUUCAAAGUUGAAGCUGAUGGUGUCUUUUGAGCCAAUGGAUUUUCCUAGAUAUCAGAAGUGCAAUGGAAAAUUAACGAGUUGAUCUAGACAAAGAGUCAAACAUUUUUUCUGUUGGAUGCUGGAAAUGCCUCAUAUAAUUAUUGGCUAUGUUGCAAGAUGUGGUGUCAUCAAAUGCUGAGAAGAGAGACCUCAAGUGAUACACAUCGACCAUUUUCUGUGAGCUAAUUCGAUAAAUAGAAAUUGUCUGGUGCUUUUUUGUCUUAAGAAGGGUGGUUUAACUUUGCCUUGUUUGCUUUUGGUCUGUAACAUUAUUUCUCAUUGGUUGUUCUUGGAAUUUUUUUUUCUUUCUUUCCUUAUGUAUCUCUUAGAACUUGCCUUUUGCCUUAUGGAAUUGUGGAUGUUUAUUUGUAUGUAUUAAUGGUGGAUUUGUGUGCAGUGAGAAUUUCUAAUUUCGAGUCAUGUGGUUGACUUUUGCAUAUAUGAAGAAUUAUUUGUUAUUGAUACAUUAAUCGAAUUCUUUGAGUUUGCAUACACUCAAUUAUUAUACAUAAACUUUGUGGAAUUUUUAAAAACCUUUGGUUUGGGGAAAAGAAAUGUACAUGUCAAUUUGAUAACUAUAAAGUAUGUUCAUAGUUUUAAGAUCUUCAAUUACAUUUAAUUAGCUAAAAAUUAUUAUAUUUAAAUAUUUAAAUAAAUUUUUUUAUAGUCCGACUUAGUACCAAACAUAGGUCUUCAUUAUUUUUACAAUCCAGCUUCUUAGUCCGACACAGCACCAAAAGUAGGUCAGUAUUUAAUCUAGCUUAGGCCAAUCUGAACUAAUCCAAGACAGUCUCAGGAUUUGGUCUAGUCCAUAAUAGACCGCCGUACCAAACGACCCCUAAGUAUAGAGAUGGUUAGCAAAUAUCAUGUUGAGCACUGUGACCCGUGCAAAGUUAAACUGCAUAAAUUAGUUUACUAGUUGUUCUUUAUCUUUUUGAAGAUUCAUUACUUGUUCCAAAAAUUAGUUAUCUGUAUUAGAUCGCAUAAUGUUUGAACUAAUGGUCAUCAACUCAAUCCUGCCUUUGCUUGCUUGGAGAAGCUCUACUAUUUACUUUCUUUUUUUUGUGAAAAGGUUUAAUGGAAAGCUAUCUAUCCAUUCCAAAUUAAGUUCAUGUGUUCUUUGUUUUCCUUACAGGAAAAUGGAGGUCAAACAAUGAACAUAUGUAAAAAAUGAAAAACAGAGGAAGUGCAUAAUUCGUUUCUGGCUAAAACGCAAUAAACUGGUGAUAGGUUGGUGAUACAGUAGUGAUACAGAAGCGAUAAAAGGGUGCUAGAAAUUGCUGUUUCUGUUUAUUUUGGGCUUCUUCUUUUGUUUCAUUUCAUUUACUUAGCUUUAAUAAUUGGAUGAUUACGAGAUCAAUUUGUGUGAAUUAUUAAUACAACAAUUACAUAUAUGAAGAUUAAGACGAACAACAUAUCGUAUCACCAAACAUAAUCAAACACCAAAUGUAAUCAUCCUUUUUUUCAACCAAUCACGAAGCAUUUGCAUAUUUAUUCAUACCUUCCUUUUCGUGUACAUUAUUUUUUAGUUGUUAUUAUUUUUAAAAAUAAUUUCUUACAAUGUCUUAUGGUGCAAUUAUAAUGCACCUGACUGCCUGUUUUUGAAAGGCACAUCUUUCUCGUCGUCGUCUUCUUUUUUAAUGAAGUAGGGCCUAAACCAUAAACCUAUUGAUGAGCCGUAGUCAAUAUACAUACAAUAUAAUAGCAAUAUUAGGCCAAUAUACAGGCACUAGAGAGUCAAUAUUAGGGCAAUAUAACCGCAAUGCAAUAGCAAUAGUAUCACAAUAUACAUGCAAUAGGGUGGCAAUAUGCACAACAAUAUCUAUACAAUACACGGGCAAUAUUAGUACAAUACACAUGCAAUAGGAGAGCAAUAUUAAGUCAAUCUACAUACAAUACACACACAUCCAUUACAAACUACAAUUUACACAUGCAAAAUAAAUUGCCACCGAACCCUAACAAUACUAUCCCGCGAAGGGAAAAGGAAGGCAACACUUUGACAUCGCAUCACCCAGCACCACAUGAACCGAACCAGCAUUGACCCUUACUAGUGGUCCAUCAAAAGAUCCAUGUCUUUGGCCUUCCUCCUCGCUGCAUGCACGAGGCUAUAAUGAGCCAUUCCCUAUCCACCCAUAUUCAGCACCUACCAGAUACCAACUACAUCAAUUUCACUCCAAUUGUAGUCUGGUGAGAUGACCGAAGCAUAAUCUCGGAACAUUUCGAAGCCGUUGUUGAAACAUUCAACCAUGUCAUGGUUAUAUUCUUCAGAUUUUGUGAAUUUUUCGACAACAUAUUUCUUUGUCUCUUCCAAUUUUAACUUGAGGGACUCUAACUCUUUGCUCCGACUUAUUGCUUUUAGAGUUUGCUUCACUUCUCCAGCAUAUGCUUUGUUCAACUUGUUGGCCAAGUUUCCCAUCACUUGGCCAUGAAUAUCACAUUUUCUCUCCCACCAAUCUGUUGCCUUAGACAAAUAUUGGAGGUCAUGCAUGACGGCGGAGAUGUUGUCAAGUGGAUAAUUGCUCUCAGUCUCACUUCUAGAUGAAGUAGAAUCGUGAUUGGGAGUCAGAUGUGGAGAUGGGAACGGCACACCCCACAGCUGGUCUCCCGGUUAACUGACAUGCUCGUUUGGAGGGCGUACAUCCGACAUCUUUAAGUAUUGGUGGGACAAUUCACAGCUGCAGACUGCAUAAAAACAAAUAAAGGUACAUUCAAUCUCCAAUUUGACGUUAUGAACACUUGUACACAAAAAUAACAGCAAGAAUAAUUACCUUAGUUGUUAAGAAGGUGCAUAUGAUGUAGAAAUGGUAGGAAGCCUUAGUUAUAUGUAGGAACUUGUCUGAACUAUAUUGGGUAUUUAGUUGGUGCAUUAAAUUGAUGGGAUUGCAAACUACACCAUUUACUACUUGGCUGUCAUUUACAGCAGUACAACAUUACAAUAACAACAAUAAAAGUGCCUUGGAAACGGAAAAAAACCAAACCUAAAUGAGAAAAUGGAAAUUGUGGAUUUCAUGCCAAAAAAGGACUAUGUAACUAACCAAUUAUUGGGAAAUUGGAAAACGAAAAUUGGAACAAAGGAAAUUGGGGAAAAUACGAAAUUUGCCACAAAGGGAAUUGGAAUAUAGGAAAAAGGAUAUUAGGCAAAUACGAUUAUUACCGUACUAAACAAAUUGAAUAAGUUGGUACUUUUGCCAAAGUAGGCAAUUUCUUUAAAUACAAAAAUUGGGAAAACUAGGAAAUUGGGAAUAUUGGAAAUAAGGAAACUUGGUACAUAGAAAAAGUAAAUUAGGCAAAUAUGAAAUAGGCAAAUUAGAAAAUUAGAAAAUUGGAAAAUUGGAAAAUUGGAAAUAGGGCAAAAGGAAAAUUGGAAAACAAGAAAAUUGGAAAUAAGGAAACUUGGAAAAUAGAAAAAUUGGAAAAUUGGAAAUAGGACAAAAGGAAAAUUGGAAAAUUGGAAAUAAAGAAAGUUGGAAAAUAGAAAAAUAGAAAAAUUGGAAAUAGGACAAAAGGAAACUUGGAAAAUAGGAAAAUGGGAAAAUAGGAAAUAGGAAAAAAGGAAAAUUGGAAAAUUGAAAAAUUAGAAACUUGAAAAUUGGAAAAUUGGAAAUAGAAAAAAAAAAAAGGAAACUUGGAAAUUUGGAAAUUUGGAAAUAGAAAAAACAAAAGGAAAAAUGAAAAAUUAGAAACAAGAAUAAAGGAAACUUGGAAAAUUGGAAAUAGGAAAAAAGGAAACUUGGAAAAUUGGAAAUAGGAAAAAACGAAACUUGGAGAAUAGGAAAAUAGGAAAAUAUGAAAAUUGGAAAAUUGGAAAUAGGAAAAAAGGAAACUUGCAAAAUAGGAAAAUAGGAACAUUGGCAAAAUGGAAAAUUGGAAACUUGGAAAAUUGGAUAAUUGGAUAAUUGGAUAAUAGGAAAAAUGGAAAAUUGGAAACAAAUUGAAAUUGUGGAAAUGGGAAAUAAGAAAAUUACCAUAUUGGACAAUUUGUAUUAGUUGGUCAAUUUGGCAAAUUAGGCAAAUUAUUUAAAUUACAUAAUGGGAAAUUUACCAAAUUCGGAAAAUCCAAAAUCCCUAUGUAUUAAAAAAAGGCAUACAGCCAACUAGGCAAUAACUCCCGCCCAAGACUCCCGCCAAUCCCUCCUCCCGCCAAUUACUCCCCCCAAUCCCUCCCGCCAAUGACUCUGAUUUACUCCACAUCAUUAAUGCCUGCCUAUAUGAAUCAACCCAGCUGUAUGAUGGGAUUUGGACCACAAAAAAAAAGAUGUCUGAAGGGAAAACUUGCAUGACAUUAACUCCUUGCAACCAUUACCUUCCCCACUGAUUUCACUCACAUUGCAUUUAGUCCCAUUUUUCUCCAAUUAAGUCCUACACCAGCCAACAAUAAAUAUCCAAAAUCAUGGACAAUAAUCUCACACCAAACCCAACGCUUUCAAUUACUGAAGGAAGGGAGACUGAAACACAAGCCAAGUCGCCCAAUUCACUCACUGCAGACUUGGUCCAUGACAUGCAGCAAUGUCGAGACAAUACCAUGUUUUGGAAAAAUCUCCAUGCAGACAUGUUCACCCGUUUUAUAUUUGUUACUGUGAUGGUAGGGUAAAGUUCUCCAUUGUCUCGAAAACCCUUGACUAGUCAACAAGUCAACUUUCUUUUGUGUGCGAAAGUGCCACUACUAGCGAUGAAAAUCCUAGAAGACUUCUUAAAAAUAGAUAACCUGAGCCCCAAGUUACUGAUUUCUAAACAAGAGAUUGUGAAUUUGGGUGAGGAAUAUCCCCCAAGUAAGUUCUUUUCUUGCCUCAGACUGGUGAGGACUUCACAAUUUUUCACAGUACAAAACUGGUAGUUCUGGCCAUAAUAAAUGAUAAGAAAGUGGACUUUUUAGGCAGAACUGUCUUUUACAAAGUUUAGAAAGGAAAGACCAACUCUUAAAAGUGACAAAAGAGCGUUGGACUUCAAUUUUUGCCUGGAUAAAUGCUUCUGAUCCGGGCUGGACUGGGUAUGUCUGUGCUGGAUUGGACUGUCAACACCUUCAACUGUCAAGUUUCAACUAUAAAUCGAUACCAACGUUCGAGUUUGGCAGAGCAUUAAUCUAUUUCAAGCCUUGGAAGGCUUUUGGCAUGGGCAGAAUUGGAGCCUCCUCAGUCUGAAAGGGGCAGAAGUGGCUGGAUUUGCUUAUUACUGAGAUGGGGCUGCACUGUAGUACCUGUUCUGCUUUAUCAAGGCUCUCCAUAAAUUUGUUGAGGUUUUCAUGUUUGUAAAAACAGAACUCUGCUUGAUUUGGCUUAUGCUGAACCAAAUUUGUAACGAGAGAAAUCUCGCUUUGAAUGACUAUUUCUCUGAAACUGAACUGAAGUUAGAGAUUCUGGAUUAUAGCUGACUUGUUUUUUGUGGCUCAAUGAGCUUUUGGUUGCUUCAGUGUUUUGAAGGUUUUUAAGAUCAAGUGAUCAUUUUUGAGUUUUUGUCUUCGAUUAAUUUUUUGGCUGUCUGUUGAUCUAUUCACCUCCUCUCAUAUUUAUAGAAAAUGCUGGAGUGGGAUUUCUAAUCUUUUAAUAAUAGGCGGCAGAUUUUCCAAAAGAAAGAUCUUUUAUUUUAAAUGCAAAGAAAAAAGGGAAGUUAUCUGUUCUGGCAGAAAAGAACCAUCAAUAAUCAGUUUUCAUGGAGAUCUUUUCCUUGCUUUUCUGAAAGAAAGACCAACUCUUCUUUGUUCUCUGUUUGUUCUUGGUAAAGAGAAAGAACACAAUCUGACGUGAUGGUCAGUUUGCUUUUCUAGAUGAACAGCUCUCUGCUCCCUACUUAUCUCUUUAGAAAAUAUAGCUUGCUUAUCCCUUGGCAAUGACACCUGCUUUGGAGCAGAAUUUUUCUGAAUAUAGAAAAGGAUUUUGGUCUUCUUUCUUGAUUGUAAAGACUGGAGAAAUCUUCCUGUAAGGCCUGCCUUCAUUAAUUCCCCAUCAACUCUCUUGUGACUAGUUGAAUUUGCUAACUUUUCAAAGUCAAGUAGUCACGUGGGUUUUGCUUCAAUUUUAGGCUCUUCUCUUAUUUUCAUUUGAUCACGCCAAGCCCAGGUUGAGUUUUGGGAUUUGUGGGCUGAUUCCUUUUCUCUGUUUUCCAAAGCCCAAGUCUAUUCUUGUGGGCUGACAGGUCUUGAGCUAGGCUUUCUCGAUUUUGGGCUGCUCUCUCAGUUUCUUUAAAUCAAGCCCAAGUUGUGCUUAUGUUUUGUGCAUUUCAAAAAUGGGCUAGGCUUCGCACAAUUUUUAGGCCCAAACAGGACAUAGUUUCAAAAAUUGUGGAGGGCCAAGCUAGGUGAGGUGUCAUAAAAAAGCGCACAAUCCGCACUCGUUAUCAUGCCCACAUGCAUCUCCUCCAUAUAAAGGGUAUGAAAGCCAAAAUUGAAAUUGCCCCUGCCACUGCAAUUAUGGUAUUCAAGGAAUCUGAUGAAAUGCCCCAGUUGAAGCAACAAGAAGUGGAAACCGGAUUCGACCUAUUUCGUAAGUUUGCAAAAAUAGUGGAUCCAGAAGGAAACUGGGACAACAUCAUUGUGGGCGAGGUCAUGAAUUUCAUGGGUCGUAGUCGCCGCAAUUGAAGAGUAUGCAACUUUGAAUGUGUCAACAGCAAGAAAUUUGUGACACAUUAAUAUGACUCUGGACUGGGUGUAAAAUGUAGUCGAAACAACAUGUAAAAUGGAAUCAUGUUCAGGUGGCCUCUUUUUGUAUUAUGUAACUAUGGGGUGGCCUCUUGUUGUAUUACGUAAGUUUCGAAAUUAGAUUUUAUGGAUUUAUGAUGCUUCUUUUUGUAUUUCUGCAUAUACAGUUUAUCCAUGUCCAGUUCAGUGGCGAUAUAGAGGCAAUAACUCCACAAUAAGCAUGUGUAUAAUGGCAAUAUGAUGUCAAUAAGAGUGCAAUAGAGUUAUAAUACGAUCCUAUUGCAGUAGGUACUGCAUCAACAUGGUUUUAAAAUAUCUUAGAUGAAAAAAUUACAAAAAAUUAAACCAAAAUUAAAUUAAAAAUUGGAAAAGGGAUGAAGUAUACAUCCCUUAAAAGACAUAUGGCCUACAUUACACACCUUCUAUAUGGACUCUAUAUAUACAAAUCAUGCCUUGCAUCACCAUCACAUCCCCCCCUAAAUUACAGAAACAUGACACCACAAAACCUCAUGCUCCUUCCUCUUUCAACCCCUAAAUUAUCCAUCGGAUGCCCAAUACUAGAUGGCUGCUUGGGUAGUGGGAUACCCUGCAACUCCAUAACAGAAUUAGUAGGGGAGAGCGGUUCCGGAAAGACGCAACUUUGUCUCCAACUUACGGUUAGAGCUCAGCUCCCACCCUCACAUGGCGGACUAGGGGGCUCCUCCCUCUACAUAUUCACAGAAUUCAGCUUCUCAUUUCAUCGAUUGCAACAACUAGGCAACCUUUAUCAUGCAUCAUACCCCAACUUAAUAGGGAUGGAGCCAUUGGAAGACAUAUAUGUUCAUGGCGUUCAUGAUGCUCAACAACUCAUCCAUGUCCUUAGAGACAUACAAGCAUUCAUUGCCAUUGAUCACACCCGGUUACCUGUGAAACCAUUGAUUCCAUUGCUGCAUUGUUCAGAUCACAAUAUCAGACAACACCGGCAGAUUUGAAACGGCGGUCUGAAAUGUUCUUCAAGAUAUCUGGGACAUUGAAGGCUUUAGCAAAUAAGUUUGGGUUGGCCGUGGUUGUGACCAACCAAGUGGUGGAUUUUAUUGGUCCACAUGAUGGAGUGAAUAGGGUGAGGUUGGGAAACUUAGAGUGCCUGCACACAUCAGGUAGACGGGUGAGUUCAGUUUUGGGACUGGCUUGGGCACAUUGCAUAAAUUCAAGGGUGUUCUUAGCAAGACAUGAGCAAUCUGUUGGGGUUAACAGUCGUAAUGCUCAUUCACCAACUAUAUCAAGUCAAACACAUAGGACAUUUGACAUUGUAUUUGCCCCCCAUUUGCCCUAUGCAUUGGCUGAAUUUGUAAUCAUAAAAGAAGGUAUAGUAUGAGUAUCACAGUAACUAUGUAAUAAUGGAAUUCUAAGAACUUUAAUGUUUUGGAUCCAUUUGGAGUUACAUUCCAGGCCCUUUAAUUUCGUACUCAUAGUUUACAUUGCAAUAGCAAUACCAGUACAAUAAAUGUACAAUAUAAUGACAAUCUGAAGGCAAUACAAGUACAAUGUGAUAGCGAUACUGUCGCAAUAAAUAGGAAACACAACAUGCUGUAUAACAUUGUAACCCAAAUGAUGCAAAUUUAACACAAUUCACAUUCAACAAACACGAAACCCAUGUCAAAUAAAAUUAAAGUUGAUAUUACCUAACAAAGCAACAGAAAUCAUAUUGUCUAAGAUACAUUGCACAAUGGAAUAUUGUUUUUACAGGUGGUUUUAUUGUGGCCUGUGGAACCGCACCUUGAGCACUUUCAUGUAAUGGUGCCCUUUCCUUGCGAGGGAAUUCUUAGCUUCUUUUGUCUGCCUGGCAUGACCUUUGCCAUGGGAGGAAGCACAACUCGACUUCGAACAUGUUCAGGAAUAACUCACAUUGCGUGAGGCUGUACCGGGUAGAUGCUAUCCAAAUAAGCAUCCAACCAGGUAUUCCGAGUGUAAUACCGAGAAGCCUUCGAGUAUACAUUUAGUUUCAAGAAGCGGCAAACUGCAACUACAUGCUUGCAAUUUAGCUGCUCAAGCUAAAAAUUUCUACAACUACAACUGUUGUUCGUCAAAUCCACGAGGCCGUCCAUAUCACCGUCCAAAACAUUAAACUGUACAUUAUUUAGUUUAACGAGAUUCAUCCUUGCAACAUCCUCCAACCUAUUCCUCAACUUUUUCUCACCAAAAUUGGGGCACAAUGUUGUUGUGCAAUUCAUAGCCAACUCACGACGUUCGGUGAACCAUUUCAAAGGGAGAUUAAUAAUUUCCCCUAUCAAAUGAACCACUGGCAACAUUCUUGCAUACGUAAGGACUGAGUUUAUUGACUCCACAAUAUUUGUUGUCAUUACAUUGUAGCGGCAUCCAUCCAUGUGAGCUCUAGACCACUUAUGUAACCCUGCAUGUUCAAGAUAUUGAGCAACAUGUUCCUUUCUCUUGAUCUUCCGAAAAUGACAAUCAAACUCAGCAAUGGAAUAAGAUUUCGCAGCCUGCUCAAAGUGCAUAAGUAUUUGAUCACGCUUUUUCAACUUGCAAGUGCGUUUCAUGUUCCCUUUCAUAUGAUAAAAGCAUAUGCCAUGUUGCACUGUUGGAAAAACUUUGUUCCACACAUUCUCCAUGAAAAACCAAUGCCAUGAUGCAUCCGUCUCCAAAUCCCUGAUCCCAAAAGCAAGAGGAUAUGUAUUUCAAUUGCCAUCGAAUGCAUUUGCUACAAACAUAACACCCUUGUACUUGGAUUUUAAAUUAGUGGCAUCCAUGGCUAUCACUGGACACAUGGAAGAACGAAACCCUCUAAUACAUGGGCCAGCUGCCAUAAAUAAAUACACAAAGUGAUUGUUUUCAUCAGUUUGGAUGUGUGUCUUUGUGCCGGGAUUCAUAUGCUCCAAUUCAUAGGAAUAGGCUAGAAGGAUAUAAUAAGCCUCCUCGGUUGAUCCUCUAAUGGAUAAUAGAGCUAACUCCCUUGCUUUCCAAGCUUUCGAAUAAUGGAUGGUGAAACCAAAGUUGUGUUUCACAUCUCUCAUUAUGUCACUUGGUGUGUAUAUUGUCCGAAAAUCCUUCAACUUCCUUUUAAAUGAAGUGGCUACAAGUGCUGCGGUUGCUUGACGAUGGUCGUCAUGUACGAACCUCAAAUCACCUUCAUGGACAGUUGUACACCUCACAAUCAUGAAGUUGUAUUCUCCAAUUCUCGAUGCUCGGACCCGCCAUGGGCAUGGAUGGUGACAACAAACCAUAAGCAACCUCUUAGUCCAAGCUAAUUGCACCUUAAAUUUAAAGUGGCCUCUCAAUGCCGUCAACCGUAACUCGGUCAACAAUGCUCCCUUACUAGAGAAAAUUUCCCCAAUUGUAAUUUUCGGAUUCCAAUCACUUCGCGAAUACACUGUGUCCAAAUAUGCUUCUCCAUCAUUUACACCGGCCACAUUGUACCGGUUCUAUUCACCCAUUUGACUCAAAUACUGUUCAAGAAUGGGUUCAGAUUCUCCUCCUAAACGCAUUAUUGGAAAUUGGGCAGAUGUGUUCAAGGGGCCCAAAAUAGGAGAGGCAGAGUACACUAACACUUCAUUUCUUUCAGUACUAUUAUCUCCACCAUGCAUCUCCUCCACCUCACCAAAAUCAAUCAUGUCAUUAAAAUCUUUCCCAACAUCACCUCCCACAUCAGUGACAUUUGUAUUAUUCCGAGUUACUUCAUUGCUUUCAACAAUGGCAGCUAAAGAACGACCCAUCCGACUACUAUCUGUCGUGAUAUGCAUACUAACAACUACAUCAUUUGUUAGUCCAUUAUCUUCUAUACUCACGAGUAAGUUACGUAACAAUUGUACUUCAUAAAAAAUUUGACAUCAUCAUCAUCCUCUAUCUUUAUAUGCUUCUACUCAUUCGAGGCCACCAAAACUGAGAACUUUAAGCAAACCUUGUCUUCCCUGCUGUUUGUAUUACCAAUCUGAUGCACACAAUCCAAUAUUUCAGCAAAUGUGAUGGUCCGUGGAACUAUUAAGCCUUUUGAGUCACCCUCUUCGUAUUUGCACAUCUUCUUUGAGGUUACCCAUUUUCCAUUGUAACAAACCAGAAUAACAAUUGUCUCCAUUUCUGACCAUGAAAAAAAUUAUUUCAUUAACACAAUACAACCACAAUAACCAAGCAAUACAAUGGCAACAUAACAGCAAUAUAACAUCAAUAUAUUAGCAAUAUAACGGCAAUAUAACAGCAAUACCACAACAAAAUAAUAGGAACACAAUAGCAAUACAACACUAACACAGCAGUGAACAAGGAAUCAUCACAACUAUACAAAUCCACUACAUCAAAUGGAAAAUCCAAAGUUUCAAGAUUCACAUAUCCAGAGCAAUCUAAAUGCAAUUAGUAAAAACCCAGAUGGAUGAGCAUGAAGAUUCAAAAAAACCUAACCCAAAGCAAUUACAGCCAUAACCAAUUUAACAGAAGCCCAAGCGAAGAAAAUAAAACCAAUUUCAAAGAAUCCAACAGAUAUUAAGAAAAUAACCAUCAACACUACCUAUUUGAGGUCGACGAUCCAGUAGAGCUUCAAGGUUGUAAGCAGUUAUUCAGAAGACAUACCUAAAAUAUGGGGUCGAGGGUGGGGUUCAUGAUUCAGAAGAGAGAGUGAGACAGAGCUACGUGAGAGAGAGAGAGAGAGAGAGAGAGAGAGAGAGCAAAGAGAGACAAAGAUCUGCGCUAGAGCAAAGAGAGAGAUAGAAAGCUGCGCUAGAGAGAGAGCAAAGAGAGACACAGAGAGAUAGACAAAGAGAGAAAAGGGGGCUGAGCGAGCUGAGAGAGAACCAAAUUUCUGAAAAUGUAAUAUGGGUGCAAUCAGUCGACAAUGAAGGUGUAUUUAUAGGUGGUAGUUUAAAAAUUUUAGGGGAGAGGUGGUAUUUUCAGAAAAAAUUAUAAAAUGGGUGGCAUUUUGAGCUAUUUCCCUUUUUUCUCAGAGUAAAAUUGUCUUUUACUUAAUUAAAUUAAUAAUUAAAUAUUAAUUUAAGUUCGGGUUAUUACAGCAUACAUAUGAAUCGAAGUUCCUUUUCUAACUUUCCAAGCUAAAGGCAUUCUCUUGGUUACCCCAUCCUCAUCAGUCACGGGUUGAACAAUGCAAAUAAUUGUCAUAUAGGUUUGCUUUAAGGGACCAUCAGUGAACUAAAAAAAGUAUUGUGCCAAAAGUUGGAGUCGUAUCUCUUUAAGUCCCAAGGGCUCCAAGAAAUAAACGACAUCUUAGAUGACAUUUGGUAUGUUUUGACGACCCACCUUUUCUUCAUGGGCACAUAUCUAUGUGCUUGAAUAGAUGUAGACGAUCAUUCCUCCCCACCAUUUUUUUUUAAUAGGUUUGCAUGUGAAUUAUAUUUAUACAAAUUUAGUUAUAUAUCCAAUCUUAGACAUAUUCUUAUAAAGAAACCUUAUAUCAUUUAAAAACUAUAAACACACCCGUCAAUUUUUUCAAUUUAAUAGCCAUUUUUAAGUUUAUUUGUGUGUGUAAAAUACUUAUAUUGCCCUUAUACUAUGGAUUUGAGAGAGAAAAAUCAUAUCUACCCAGAUCUGCCAAAAAAACCAAAUCAGCCAAAGAACCAAAUCAGAUUUAUUUUCUCCUUUCUCGCUGGUGCUUUCUCGGUAUUGGCGCAAGAAGAGCUUCCGUUGAAGCUCAGUCUCAAGUCCAACUAUAUUCUUUAUCUCUGAUCUACAAUUUACAAUAUUUCACCUUUGAUUUCUUGUUCUAAAAUCGUGCUUCUAUUGAUAUUUUUUAUUGGAUUGUUCGGAACCUCGAUUAGAUGCUCUUAGCUAUACUCCUCAUCUUUAAGCUAUACCCGUCUUUCAACACGUCAUCGUCGUUGUUGUCAUCAUCAUCAUCAUCGUUGUUGUCGUCGUCAUUGUCGUUUGGUUUGGACUUGAGAUUUUUGAUCUUUUGCUUCAAUUAUGUGUUUCUCUUCGAAUUUUAGUUGAUUUUCGAAACGUAUUUUAAGCUUUGAUGAUCGAUUUAUCUUUUGUUACUAUUUCAGUUAUGGAUCUCAUUUUUGUUUAACAAUGUACUUCUAUAACAGAAUAGUAACAAUGUACUUCUAUGACAUAGUAGUAUUAACAAUCUGAGCUCGGCUUGUUUUGAGUUGGUCUGGUUUGUUCUUUCUUCAUCUUUUCUUUGGUGGACAUGUAUUAGAAAUAGCAACAUAACAAGCAUUAAUUAACAUGACAGUAAACUAGCAGUGUUAUUACCCUAGACUGGAACAUUACAGGGGUAUACAUGCAUUAGAAAUAGGAUGUCAUAGGAAACUAGUAGCGUCAUUAUCCUAGACUGGAACAUUACAGCCAUUAAUCAACAUGACAAUAAAAGUGUGGAACAUUACAGUCAUUAAUCAACAUGACACGUAAUGAAGCUACGGUUUUCAAGACAUUUUGUUUGUAAUGAAUUGUUUGCGUUUUUUUAUAAAAUUGGGCUGGGCUUGUUUUGGGUGCUAUUUAAGUUUUUUGUGUUGGGCUUCUUUUAAGUUGAUCAAUGGUAGUCAAUAAUUUAGAGGAACUUCAACACCAAUUUCUUAUGUAGUAAAUGAGUUUUGAGUGUGUUUCUAAAGUGCAUUCCAUGUGGGGCUUUUUAUAAUUUCAGCCCCUAUUUUAGGUAUAUUAGUGAAGCUCCCUUAUAUUUAUAAUGCAUGUGAUUACUUUCAAUGAUUCUGAAAUUGAAGUUGACAUAUGUACAUAUGUGUACAAAGAGACACAUAUCAUGAACAGUCUAAAUGAUAAUAUGUGAUUGGUGGCCGAUUUAUACUUUCAUGUAUAGUAUUACUAUUAAUAAAUAACAUGUUCUUUAUUUUCAGUUUUUUUGUUUUAGUACAAGCGAUAUUCUAAACAUAAACCCUAAACAGUUGUGCCUCUUCAUUUGAUCGCGUUGAUCUUACAUCCCGCUAUUCUCUACUACUUUUUUCUCAUAAUAGACCAUAGAAGAAAGUAAUUCAUCAGUCUCGUUCUCCUGGACUCUUGCAGUUCAAGGAAACCCUUGAAUUUAAUCUAAGGGUUUAAAAAAGACCUAAUUUAAAAUAAUAAUUUAUCUUUUUACAGCAGGAAAAUUGAUUAUUAAAAGUAAAUUUAAAAAAAUUGAUUUAAGAUAAAGACACCAAACCACCACCACCACCUCUGCUCUUUUAUAUCGUUCCCACAAAACUUCAUAUUUUAUUUAUAAUUUAUUUCAAGCAUUUCAUUUACUGCCAUAAUUGUAAUUAAUACUCCGUCUUAAUAGCAUAUCAAUCAACCCAUUUCUUUUGGUUGUCAUUCCCUUUCACAUAUCACCCCUAAAGUUGCAAACCCAAAAAAACAAAACAAAAACAAAACAAAAAAACCAAAAAAAAAUCUGUAAAUUAUAUAUCCAAUAAUGUACCUAUGAAAAAUAUAAAUAUAAAUAUAUGCGUAUAAAAAUAAAAUAUAGGUAUAUUAUUUACCAAGAAAAUUUUAAAAACACCUAAGUCAGUUACUUUGUAACUGAAAUUUCCACACAUUUUUCAUAAGUUAAAAAUAGGUGCACAAUAAUUUAUAAAAAAAUAUAGGUAUAUUAUUUACUCAUAGUAAAUUAUUUUAUAAUAUACCUAUAAAUGUGGAUUAUUUGGAGAGGAAAAAUAGGUUCAUUUCACCAAAAAAAAAAAAAAAAGUUAAGUACACUGUUUUACUAGGUACAUUAUUAGAGGAAAAAAAUAGGUACAUUAUUUGGAGAGAGAAAAUAAGGUCAUUUAAAAAAAUGAUUUUCAUAAAACAAAUAAUAGGAACGUUAUUCAGAGAAAAAAAGGCAUAUUAUUUAUAUAAAAAAAAAAAUAGGUACAUUAUUUAGAGAAAAAUAAGUUCAUUUUAAAAAAAAAGUUUUUCACAAAACAAACAAUAAAUAGAUUAUCAAAAUAUUUUUCAACAUAAUUAGUAUUUACACUAUUAUUCAUAAAACUAUAAUAAAACAGAUUACUAGUGACAGGACUCGGCCCAAAUUCCUUGGAAGCCGGGACGACUUCUGUGGUUAUUCCGACGUCAUACUGAUGCCGGGCUCACUUGCUAAGAAACGAGACUUUCUACUGAAAUUUCAACAGGGUCUCUACUGAAAAAUGGACAUUUUCCAAAUUUCUCAACAUGUUAAAGCCACAUUUAAUAUCACCAACCGGUAGCAAACACAAGAUAAAUUCAUGCAGUUUACAUAAAUGAUCUCCAACCUCACAAUCAAACCCUAACGGGGCGACAUCAGAGCAUAACUACUAGAAUUCAGUUUACAAACAGUGGUAAAGUUUAAUGGGAGAGAAACGAAUAAAAGAGUCCUACGAAAGCUCGAGGUUCGGAAGUUCGGGGGCUUGGUUCUGCUACUCAGCUUGGUCAAAUACUGUAUGGGGGGCGCAAAACAGAAUAGUGUGAGUGGACAAAAACAAAGUUGCCAUUAGUUGAAAACAACGUAUAAUAACCCCACCGUUUAGAAGUAUACAUAUAUGCAUUCAAACCAUCAUAAAUAUAUACAUAUAUAUAGUCACAUCAAGACCAUGGUGAAAUCCAAUCCUCAUAAAGAUAUCCAAAUACCCAUCUCAUACAAAACCAUUUUCCCAAACCACUCUCUCAAAAUGAGUAUCCGUUGGCACGGCGAACGAGGAAGUAUCCCCACCGAUAAACAAGAAGGAAUGUAUAGGUAUAUAUAUAUAACAUAAUAUAUCUAUAUAUAUAAGUAUGACCACUACGAAGUUUGCAUCGGGGAAGCAAUCCAGCUGGGGGAUUGUUUGACUAGUCCACAUGGAAGAAUCAUCAAUUGACUAUGUGUGGCUAGGGAACGAACCGUCCAACUGGGACUAAGCUCACCAGCACGUAUAGAAGAAUCCUCAAUACUCGUACGCCUGUGAAAAAGUCCUACGUGCGCAGACUACCCCGCUAAAGGUCAAUGAAACACCCCGCUAAGGGUGUCUGGGUUCCAUCAUAUCCAAGUAUCACCAAUCAUUCCAAUCAUCCAAUCCAUAGUUUCCAUAUCCGAAGAGGUACAUAAGGUAGUGCUUAUAGCACUUCAAACUGAUAUAACUAUAAUCCACUCUCUUUCCAUAAUUCUCAUUACCGACACCCAGGUGCCCCACACAUGACCAAGCAUAGAUAGAAAUUCUCGAACUCAAUAUAUAUAAACUCAAGACACUCGAAUAUGCCAAAACCCGAACAUAUUGCAAAUACUUUACAAAAAAUAUCAAGUUCAACAAUUGAUUAUAUAAUAAAUUCAAUAAACCAUUAAAUCAAUAUCCAUAGAUUUUCCGUCAUAAAAUAAUACUUAUUAUUUGAAAACAAAGUUCACUCAGAGGUAGUCCCACGCUGCUUGACCCUGAGAGGGUCUCGCCUGCUGAGUACCAGUAGAUGGAGCACCUAUUUAGAAAUACGAGGGCGAGAUUAAUAUGAAGUGCUUCAAAUGAGAACUUUAAAAUAAAUUCCUAAUUUCCAGGGACUAAAGUGUGUAUACGACGAACAAGGCAUCCUAAGGUCCAAUUACGUGUUUCGAAUGGUGGAAUAGCCUUAGAAGACGCUCGGUCGACCGAGUGGUUAAACUUUCCAAAGUUGGUCAACCGGGCCCACAGGGCCCACGACCUCCGAUUUCCGAUCCGAAAGUUCUUGUGGGUUCAACAAGGUAUAAUAUGCAUGUCCCGCAAGUUUGGUCCAAAAUCAAAAAGUCGAAUCACUCGCGAUCACACGAUCGGACAGUUACCGUUAAUCCUAAUUUUUGAAUCAUUGAAUUGGAGCAUUCGGAAUUCUGAUUCAUGAUCUGCAAUAUCCUACACGAUCCUAAAGAUGCCUAAAUCAACAUAUAUGAAAAUGGAGUCGAUUCAACGGUCCAAACAUAUCGAACCCAGAUAACGCCCAAUAUGCGAUAUCCAAUUGAUAGUCAAACGAUAAUCAAAUUCAUAUCCGAGCUUACCGUUAUGCUCAGGACAACAUAGGGAUCAUUUUAGGACCAAGAGGGACACCCAAACAGUGCCCAUGCGCCGCCACAUGUGCCAACAGAGCAUAGGUGCCCAAAGUAAUUCCGGAGAUCGUAAUAUCUCCAAAGCGCCAUCAAGACCUAUACUCACAUGAUCAGAAUAAUGAAUAGAGCAACUUUUGUUCUUGGACUAUGGCCAAAAAGUGGCUGGAGAUGGCCGAAAUUGCUAGCGGAAAAACAGCCAAAAGGGUUUAGGUCAAAAUUGCAGAAAUCGUCUAUCCAACCAUCAGCUUGAACACAUUCAGAGGAUGAAAAAGUAUACCAAGAUUGAAGAAAUUGGUGGCCGGAAUAGCCAGAACGAGCUCCAGAAGUUUCAAUCAAUAUAAUUAUUUAACCAUUUAUUUAAUCUAUGUAAUUAUUUAAUUUAUUUAAUUAUGAAAUUACAACUUUGCCCAAGGAAUAGGGUCAUUUUUGUCCCUUUUUAAUUUGGUAGGAUUUGGGGAAAAUGAAUGGCACCGUUGCGUAGAGCGCAUUGAUACGAGUUCAUAGAGACGUAGUGGGCUCAAAUCGGAGUUUUAACGAAGUUAGAUUUUAAAAACUCAAUCAGAUUCUUCUCUCUCUCUCUCUCUCUCUCUCUCUCUCUCUCUCACGAAACCCCCCAACCAUCCACUGUUUUGGCAUACAGUUUUUUCCUCCAACCCCCUCCGGAGACGAGACCAGUCCCAAAUGAACUAGCCCACCUUCCUCUCUCUGUCCCACCCCACCUCUGGCAAAACCAGUUGUUAUCGACGAUUCUGGCCACCAAAUUUAUCGAUCUAGGUAUGCUUUCUCAUUCUUUCAACUUGAUCUAGCUGAUGGUCGGGUUGGUUAGGAUCGAUUUUAAAGUUUUUCAACUCGUUUCACGAUCUUUGUUUUCACUGGUUUUUGGCUCGAAUUUCCGGCAAGCUCCGGCCACUUUUUCAAAGUGGCCCAAGAACAAAAGUUGCUCCACUAGUUGUCAUGAUCACAUAGGUAUGGAUAUUGAAGGGUGUUUUGAGAAUUUUUCGGCCGCCAGAAUUUUCUCAAGUCACCCAAGUGAUGGCGAUGCUUGUAGCGGCGCGGGGGCCAUGGUUGGGUGGCCCAUUUGGUUCUAAAAUGUUCCUCAUGUUGUCCCGAGUACAACGGUAUGCUCGAAUUGAAAUUGGUUAUCAUUUGACGAUCGAACAGAUUUACGCAUAUUAGGCGAUAUUCGGGUUCAAUAUGUUCAAACGGUUGGAUCGACUCCAUUUCCAAAUAUGUUCAUCUAGGUAUCUCUAGGAUCGUGUAGGAACUCAAGGAUCGAGAAUCGACUCCAUUUCCAAAAAUUAUGUAAAACGGUGAUCGUCUGAUCUUUCGAUCACGAGCUAUCCGACUGCUCAAUCUGGACCAAAUUUGCAGGAUGUGUUUAGUAAACUUUGUUAAACCCGUAGGAUUCGGAUCGGAAAUCGGAGAUCUUGGGCCCCACGGUCCCAGUUAACCAAAUUUGGGAACACGUAGUUGGAUUAUUUUGAGGUUAUUUCACCUUUCGAUUGAGGAUUCUUCCAUGUGGUCUAGUUAAACAAUCCCCUGGUUGGAUUGUUUCCUCGAUACAACUUUAGUAUAUAUAUAUAUAUAUACAUAUACCUUCAUUCUUAUUUAUUGGUGAGGAUCCUUCCUCUCUUGUUGUGUCAACAGGCACGCGUUUUGGGUGAGAGUGGUUUGGGCAAAGUUUUCAGUGAGUUUGAGCAUUAGUAAAUAAGGUACGGGAUAUAAGUUCUACCUUGGUUCUAGCUUAAUUAUAAAUUUAGUAUCGGCUUUGAAUGCUUGUUUUUUAGAAUUGUUUUUCCAAACGAUGGGGUCAAUAUGUUGUUUUUAAUUAUAACAAAACUUCAUUUUUGUCCACUCACAAUUUUCUGUUUUGCGCCCCCAGGCAGUAGUUGACCUGAGCUGAGCGGCCGAGCUGAGCCCUGAACUUCCUAGCCUUGAAACUUCAGUAGGGCAACCUUUGUUCGUUUCUUUUGCAUUAAACUUGUUUUCGUUUGUAAACUGAAUCCCUUUAGAAUUUCUCGGUUAUUGCCCAUGUUAGGGUUGAUGUAAAGCCGGAGGCCUAUUAUGUAAAUUGUGUGUUUAUACAUUGUGCAUGCUGCUGGAUGGGAUUUAUUAAUGUGCUUGCCAUGUUAAUUUUUUUUUGGGAAAGUCCGUUUUUCAGGGGAGAUUUUGCCGAAAUUUCAGUAGAAAAUCUCGUCCCUCUUUUCCUUAAUUUGGAAAAGAGGCUUUGAUGUUAGUAAGCGGGCCCGACAUCUGUUUGAUGUCAGAAAUAUCACAGAGUCUGUCAUGGAUUUCAAGGAAUAUCACAGGAUUCAUCUAGAAGCAUCUCACUGCCCAACUCGACUGAGAAUUGGUCAUCAUCUUAGGAAACUCGCCCCUAUUCCGACUAAGAAUUGCUCGUCAACCAAUCCAUAUGCAUCUCACCACCCAAGCUCUCUUGUUGCACUAGGAGCGUGUUUUGCUCUCUAAUUUUAGUUUUUUAGUUUUUUAGUUUUUUUUCAUUUUAGUUGUUGUUUAAUUUUUAAACAUGUUUUUUAAAUAACCCUUAUAUUAUAAUUUAUAUCCAAGGGUGGGUGACCACAAUUUCCUUGGACCACAGGAAUUCAGAAGAACGAGACUGAGUAAUUCAUAUACUAAUCCUUUAACGAGCAACAAAACAAAUCAAAUCAAACAAUCCGAAUGCAAAGUGAAAGAAGCUGCUCAGAAACUCUAUGAUCAAAUAUCCAACACUAAAUAUACUUAAGUGUUUCGUGUUCAUCACUAUAAUACGAGAAACUUUCGUGUGUAUUUGUAAGACACUACUACAAAAAGUGAAAAAGACGACAAGAAAAAAAACGACGGUUCAACAAAAAACCGUCGUUGUGUUUGAAAAGACAAUGGUUUCAUAAAACCACCGUGUAUGAUUAACUUAAACACCUAAAAAUGGAGAUUCCAAUGGGUUUUUAAAAAAAAAUGACACACCUAAUUAAAAAAGCGUCGUCAUAUUGAAAAGGCAUUCCUCAGAAUAAACUCUGAGCCCACAAACAACUGCAGAAGGUAUGAAUCCACCGACGUAGAAAGUAAAGACGAUGGUUUACAGCAACAGCCGCCGUUUUUACUCCAUAAUAAACACGACCAAGUUUUCGUAUCAUGCACCAUAUAAAUUCAAAACAAUCCACGGCGGUAUAUUAUAAAUACCACCGUAUUAAAUAAAUAUACAACGACGGUAAAGAUAAAUUUAUCGAUUUAUUUUUGUUAGUGUACUACGACGGUAUCUAUAACUCUAACCACAUUGGUUUGUUCAAUUAACGCUGUAUAAUAAAAUUUACCACGUCGUGAAGGUAAAAUUACCAUCGUAUUUAUUCAAUUUAUAUGUCUACCCUUAUAUCUAAACCGUCGUCUUAAUAUUAUUAUUGUUUUACAAUUUAUUUCUUGAAUUUUGGUAUCCUACGACGGUAGAUCAACUUAAUGACAAGAAUUUAGAAUAACCACGAUGGUUUAUAUAGAAAACCGCCGACAGAAUCAUAUUUUUCUGAGAUCCCAAGAGAUAUGAAAUCUUACCAGAUGGAACUCUAUUCCUCAUCAUAAUCGGACCAUCAAUGUGAGAGAAAGACAAUAUUUUAGACGUUGAUGAUUUAUGUGUCUUUGUGUCUUUGAGAUACACAAAGGCACAUACACAUCAACAUCCAAAAAUUUGCCUCUAAAAUUUGAAGACGGCAGCCACAUAUUUGCAUUCAGAUAGACAAUUUUUUGGAAGUUGAUGAUGUGUGUAUGUUUGUGUCUUUCAGAUACACAAACGCACACACGCAUCAACAUCCAAAUAAUUGCCUCCAAAAUUUGAUGACGGCAGAAACGGAUUUGCAUUCAGAGAGACAAUUUUUUGAACGUUGGUGAUGUAUGUAUGUUUGUGUCUUUCAGAUACACAAGCAUACACACACACCAACAUCCAAACAAUUGCCUCCUAAGAGGUGAGACAGAACCAAGGGCAAGAAGAAGUUUGAACCCUAAUUGAAAACUGAAACUGAAAGAACUCGUGAAAAAAAACUCAAUUUAUUAUAUAAAAAAUUUCAUAUCCACGCCGGUUUUAUUACACCUAACGCCAUUUAACAAAUGGAAUCGACGUCAGUUCUUACCAACCCUUUAGACGUAUAAAAGAAUAACGACGUCGGUUAUGUUAGUUUCACAACGUAGUAAAGACAUAUUAGGGCGGUUUUUUAGAGAUACCACGACGCGAAUAAAUAAAAUGCGUCAUCUUAUUCUCAGAGGGAAAAACCAACGCCAUAAGCUAUUAAGUAACUGACGUAGAAAGUAAAGACGUCGGUACUAGUAAACUUACCGACUUAGUACUUGAAAUAUACUAUGACGACAUCUGUAACACUACUGACGCAUAAGUUAAACUAACCACGUCGGAAUUGUGUGUGUCGUUUAAUAUAUGUAUCAGGGCGUAAACAACAUAUUUACCGCCGUGUAAAAUCAUUUACUAGGGCGGUAAAUUAAUAGCGUCGUGUUAUGAAACGGUUCGUUAAUAUUUUAAACUUUUCGCCUUGACUGACCUAUACUUAUACUGUUUCCAAACCAGAGAAAAAAUUUCAUGCUGUCCUCAUUUUUACUUCCCAAAGCGCCGUGUCUGAAUCUCAUCGGCUUCCUCUCCUCUUCGUCUUCGUCCCUGAAAAAUAAUUUUUGUUCCUGUUUUGCAACUCCAAGCGAAAACUUUCAUUGCAAGCAAAAGGUAAGCAUUUCUCAUCUUUGUUCAUGUUUUGCAUAUGCAUAUAAUCUGUUUUACAUUUGUCAUCUUUGUUCCUGUUCAUGCGAAAAUCAUUUUACUUUUUGGAUAAAAUCUACUGACAAAGAACAAAGUGUCAUUGACCACGAUGAUAAAAUGUACUCUGUCUUUGUGUGUUUGAAGUAGUAAACCAAACGGUCUUGGAACAAUUUAUGAAUUUCAUAUUAUUACUAACGUCGGUAUUUUAUUACUAACGUCAUUGUAAUUGAAAACCACGACGUUUGUUGAAAAAUAUAUUUACUUUUUUCCCUCUUGAAAAUCAUUUUAAGUUUUUAAGUUUUUCCAAAUAUAAAGACAAGAAGCAAAAAGUCUGGAAACACUGCUUUAGACAACUGUGUUUUAUAUAUUACGUCGUUUGUAAUGUAAAACCACGACGUUUUCUUUCCACAGUAGUGAAAAUUUAAAAUUUACAUCGUUUACUAUCAAACCACAUCGGUAGUUAACUACUGUCGUUAUAUAUAUCUUAUUGCAUCGGUUGUUUUUAUAUUCCGUCGUGUGAAAUCUUAUACUACGUCGUUUUUUUAAAUAAGCGUCAUUUUUUUAUUGACUUUUAUUUUAUUUUUUCUCUGCUUGCAGGUCUAAUUUCUCUGUAACCAUGGUUUCUCAAGCGCCAAGUAAGGAUUCUAGCUUGAACAAAAAUGAAUGUAAGGAGCUUAAAGUUUCAAAACCUCAAACCAAGCCCUCAAAGAAGAUGAAAUUUGUUUCAUCUGCUGAGACAGAACCAGGCAGCAUGACAACAUUUUCUGAGGAGCCAAAGUCUAGUCGUGGUAUAAACACAAUGCCCCGUGUUGUGAAGAGAAAAUUGCAGAAAAUCAAGCCAGUUAUUGAGUACAACAAAAGGGGGAAACCAUAUGGCCCUGCACAUACUGAGAUGCAGUCCUACAUUGGUGUGCUGGCACGAUCCAGAGUCCUAAUUGUGGACAAGAAACGAACUGAAAUCCCUAAGGAUAUAAAAGAGCAGAUUUGGGAAGCCGUUGACAUGGCUUAUGUGGUAGGGCAAGGGGGUAAAAAAAUGGUGUUAUCAUCUGCUGGCAAGAAAUGGAAGGAUUUGAAGUCUACAUUAACGAGGCAUCAUAUUCUUCCAUUCAUCAAUGAGAAGGAGAAGUUAAGACAACCCCCUGAAUUAUAUAAAUUCAUAGAGAAAGCAGAGUGGGAUGCCUUUGUAGCUUCAAGGUUAUCCGAACAAUUUGAGUCUGUCCAUGCUGAACAAGCAUAGAGGAGAGGGAAAUGCGAGUACAAUCAUCGAUUGUCUCGAAAAGGAUAUGUUGGUUUGGAGGAUGAUUUGGAAGAAAGCAUGCCAGGGGUAGAAAUUGAUCGAUCUACCUUUUGGAAGAAAGCUAGAGAAGACAAACACGGUAACAUCCCCGAUCCAAAGUUUGCGGAGAAAGAAAAAUUAAUUGUAAGCCUAAAUUCACUUCACUCUGUUUUAAAUUUGUAUUAAACUACAUUGGAAUUUUAAUUAGACUUGCAUAUGGAACUAACUUUCUGUUUUUAUUGACUUUAAUGUGUCUUUGUGUUAAUUAGGAUGAAUUGCAAAAACAAGUCAGUGAAGGCACUCUUACUGUCUCUAGAAGUAAUGAUGUGUUGACUAUGGCUUUGGGUCCCGAGCAUCUAGGGAGAGUUAGAGGUGUCGGGGCUGGGAUUUCCACUAGGCAAUACUUCAAUUUACCUAGACAAUAGAGGGUAAAGUUUAACGAUCAAUUAAGGGAAAGUGUAAGAGAUGUCCUUAAAGAAGAGACCUUGAAGAUGGAGGCUAGAACCAAGCAAUUGGUAGAAGCUGAGAGGGAGAAUUAGCUAAAUCAGCUGUGCCAACUAAUUCCAAAUUUUGAUCCAAGCGUGCUGAAACUGACAACUUUCCAAGGUCCUGAGCAAAGUCCCAAAAAUCCAAUGUCGGAUAAAGCAAGCUGCUCUGGGGCGCUAGAUGUCAGAGCCCUCAAUUUUGCGAAUGAUAAUGCCAAAGAUGGAGAAAAGCAAGAAGAAAUGGUAACUUCUAUGAACUCUGCAUACUGCUUUUGAAAACCAAUUAGACGUCGUUAUCUUAAUUACAGACGUUAGAACCAACCCACAACGACGUCUUUUAUUUACCGUCGUCUCAAUUUAAAUUAGAUAGUGUUUUCUCGUAUUAACCGUCAUCUGUAUUCCUUACCAUGAUGGUAUGUUUGUGCAAUAUUUCAUUUUGUACAAACAGUCUUAUCUAUCUUUCUUUAUUUCUUAAAACAGAAAUCCAAGGAUACAGAACAGCAAGCUGACAUGGUAAAUUCUCUGAAAUUUGAAAUACGCUCUUUCUCUCUCUCUCUCUCUUUAUCUGCAAUUGAUGUUAUCUGCAUUUCUGCGAACGCAUGCUUUUAAAUUUGUAUUUGCAUUUGUUAAUUUUUGAGGGCUCUGUUUUAUACCGACGUAAUAAAGACAUAAGACGACGGUUUUUAGUAACCGUCGUUUUAACUUCAUAUUACGUCUGUUUUUUAAAUAAACCGUCGUUGGAAUUCUAGUACCACGACGGUGUUGUGGAUUCAAAUAGUGUUUUUUUUUUUCAAUCUUUUCUUCACUCACUCUAUUCCACUCUCUCUUUCUCUAUCUCUCUUUAUCUGCAUUUCAUCUUAUUUGUAUUUCUGCUAAAGCAUACUUUUAAAUUGAUAUUGGCAAUUGUUAAUUUUCUAGGGCUCUGUUUUCUACCGACAUGAUUGAUACAUACGACGACAGUUUUCACUUGCCGUCGUGGUUAUUUAAUUUACACGUCAUUUUUUUAUCUUCCCCGUCGUUUUAUCUCAAUUACCACGACGUUUAAGUUUGUGUAGUUUACUCUGGUUUUUUCACUUCUGUAUUAUAUAUCUUUUCUUAUUUCUUCAAGCAAAAAGACAAGUGCUUGGACGUUUCUGAGAAGGAACAACAAGUACCAGAUUACUCAAACCUAGUCUUGCCAUCUUCUUUACAAGCCCUUUGUCGUUAUAUGGAGACGACAUUAAGGGUUCAUGAGAAGGCUAUGAUAUUUACAAUUGAGAAGGAGGUGUUUGGUUUUGAGCAUCAAACCUUCGUCUUGAUUGAAGAUAUUACACAGUUUGCAGCCAUGGAUGAAAUUGGGGCUACUGUGGUUGCUGUAUACAUGAGGUUUGUCCUUAACAACUCAUUGUCAUUUCACACUCUCCUUUCUUUAAAAAAAUUAAAAAACUCAUGACAUCAUUUUAUAUAUGUAGGUGCCUAUUUGAUGUAUUGAAAACAGCAAAUAUGGUGAACAUUGUUGGCUUUGUUGACCCCGCUCAAGUUAGUGCUAACUCUGGAUCAUUAACUCAAAGAUCACGUUUGUUAGCCAAUCGACUUCAAAAGAUAGAUGGGGAACAGAUUUUCUUUAUGCCUUACAAUCCAGGGUACGUUAGUCAACAUGAUUUUCUUUGUAUGAUGCAGUGUAUAUAAAACUGUUUAACCUCUAUGUUUAUUUUGUGUAGCCAUCAUUGGGUCUUGCUCAUUGUGAGACCAAAGAGGGAGACUGUGUAUUUUCUGGAUCCACUACCCGGAAAUUGAGUGGUUGAUGACAAGUGCAAAAACAUAGUGAACACGUAAGUUGAUCUACUCAAGUGUAAUGUGUGUUUGUAGCCUUUUUUUUUUUUUUGAAAUAACACUUUAUUGUCAUGAAACAGUGCUAUCAAGAUGUAUAAUUCACACAUUGGCAGACAAGGCCGUAAAGCACCUAUUUGGAAAACUCUACAAGGCACACCAAAGCAACCUAGCAGUGUAGAGUGUGGCUAUUAUGUCAUGCUCUUUAUGAGAGACAUCAUCACAGAUCCUUCUUUGGAAUUUGAGAAGAAGGUAAAUGGAAAACUUUAGGAUUUUAAUUUCUGUGGUUUUUGUAAGUGGACGACCGAAAAUAUAAUUACCGUCAUGUGAAUCUAUAUACCACGACGGUAAUUCUAUUUACUCUGCCACAGAUCCUACGAAACCAUUCAUGAAGGCUAAAUAAUGAUGUUUUAUUGAUUUGCAGUUUGAAAAGGGCAAAGAUCAAGCACCAUACCCCCAAGAAGCCAUUGAAGAAGUGAGGAAAGAACGGGCAGAUUUUGUUUGCCUUCAUAUGGAGUAGAGGAUUUUUACAAACAACUAUGAAAAAUGUACAAUUUUUUUUUUUUCAAUAGACAAUUUUUUGUACAGGGUUUCGGGUAUAAUGUAUAUGUUUUUUUUGGCUGUCAAUAAAAAUUGGUUUUCAGUUUUUAAAACUAAAGUAACUCCUUAAACCGUCGUCUGAAGACCCUUCCAACGACAUAAUAGUUUCAACAACAGUCAUCUUAUGAAACUUGAAAAUAAACAAACGACGGUAAAUUCAUUUAAUGACAUGUAAACUCAUGUAACACGGCGGUAUAUUUUAAAAGACAAUAAACGACGUUGAUAACACAAAAAGAGCCUUGAAGCAAAUAUCACGUCGAUAACUUGAUAACAGUCGACGUCUUAUGCAAUUUCAAUGACCUUCCCUAAACCCUAAUGCCAUGUAAGCUCGUGUAACACGACGGUAUAUUUUAAAAGGCAAUAAACGACGUUGAUAUCACAAAAAGAGCCUUAAAGCAAAUACCACGUCGAUAACUUGAUAAUAGUCGACGUCUUAUGCAAUUUCAACGACCUUCCCUAAACACUAAUGCCAUGUAAACUCGUGUAACACGACAGUAUAUUUUAAAAGACAAUAAACAACGUUGAUAUCACAAAAAGAGCCUUGAAGCAAAUACCACGUCGAUAACUUGAUAAUAGUCGACGUCUUAUGUAAUUUCACCGACCUUCCUUUUUAAACACCGUCGUCUGGUCAACUUAUGAAUUUUCAAAUGAAUAUUGAAACACUUAAAACGACGUUAUUUUAUUUAAGCGACGUAUAAAGCCCUAACGUCUUAUAUUAUAUUUAGUGGUAGUUUUGACUUAUUUUCUGACUUUUGAACUUCACUACAACGUCGGUUCAUUUAUAAGAGGCUGUGUGACGUCUAUUCUCUUUAUCCCGUCAGUUCGUACCAUAGACGACGUGAGAGUAACAAAACAACAUCCCGAUCCUGCGAUGUUGUAAAUUUUUUACAACGUCAGUAUUUGUAUAAAUACCGAAGUUUAACAUUCAUACAACGUCGGUAUCUGUAUCUAAAACCGACGUGGUUUGUUGUGUUUAUAACAAUUUUUUAUUGACCUUAAUUCAUAAUAUUCAUAAUAAAUUUGUAAAUUUUCAAAAAAUACACCACAACUGCUAUGCAGUCAUUAAGAUAUUUUCUUUGUCCUAAAGCUUUCAAAAAUGUAAUUUGAGUUAUAAAAAUGAAAUAUGUCCACAUAAACAAAUAAAUCACAACAUCCCUUAUAGUUUCUUCAAGCAAUCAUAUGGCUUGUGUCAUUCAUUGGUGGGGAUAUAUAUAUAUAUAUAUAUAUUUUUUAAAUACUGGUUUUAGCAAUCUAAUUUAGAGGGCAUUGUCGUAAGGACUCCGUAGCAAUUUUCAGUUUAUUUUUCUCAAACAUUGGUAUUUUUUAAAACAUUUUAAAUAUAUAUAUAUUACUAUUUAGGGUUUAGGGUUAGGGUUUAUGGUUGAGGGUUUAGGGUUUAGGGGUUUAGGUAUUUAUGGUUUAGGGUUUAGUAUAUGACCACCCUAAACCCUAAACUUUUUUUACAAUUUUGUUUUACAAAUUUGUUUACACCAUAAUGAACCGAGCAGACCCAGCAUCAAAGCGCCUAGCACCAAGGCAGCCACGCCUUCUCCCAUGCCGAAGGAAGACACACUUCCGAGGUGCCAGACACCUGCCGAAGCUCUCAGCUGCCAAACCUAAUCUCCAGGACACGUGUCGUCACCACAACAACUUGCACAAAGUCCCACAUUGGAACUUUGUGCAAAGCUCCCACUUUCACUUCCCUAUAAAUAGGGAACAGUACCCAGGUAAAACCAAGGGCUAUUCCCCCACUUUUACUGUUACUCUGCCAGAAUUACUACCCGUAACUGACUUAGGCAUCGGAGAGCCUUCGGCCGGCACCACACCGGUGUCCGAAGCUUAACGGUUGCUUCUCCUCUUUUUACCUUCUACAGGUCUCUCACCAACCCAUUUCACCGGGGGCCUCAGCCCUCUUCCCUGCUGAAGACCCAGCACAUCUAAUCACUAAGUUGUACUCAAUAUUGGCCGGGCCAUUUUGAGCAUCAACAGUUUGGCGCCGUCUGUGGGAAUCUGACACUUGAAUCCCCUCUUUCUCUAUCAGCCCAGCUGGCUCCUUCACCCCUCAGGCCCCGUCGCCUCUUCUUCACCCCACAUUCUGCUAUGCCGACCGAGGAUAGCCGCGAUACCCAGCACCAUACCCCCCGCGAUGGUACUUCUAGAAGGCAAUCUUCGGAAGAUGCCACUCUCCAGGCAGAAGUGGAGCGCCUCCGCGACAGUGUCACUAAGAUGUCGGAGAAAUACGAGCACCUUCAUUGCAAGAAUGUUGAGCUAGAACAUGACUACCGUGUUUUAAAGCGGAACUGGGAAAGGACUCGCACCCAGGAUGCCCAGCAAGACCUCACCUAGAACGUUGGGCUUAUUCAGCCGAACCAGCCAGUACAUUCCAGCCACAGUGCCUCGGCCCAAGCUAGGCUCCGCAAGGGUAAAGACCACCUUCAUCCGGAGAUAACCCAGUCACGACCCCUUUGCGUUCCCCCACCGAGGGACCGGCCCCACGAACCAGUCAGGAUCUACCAAGAUUGCAGGGAUCGCCUCUCGGACCGUCAGCCAAGGCCGAUCCCUAUCCCUGUCAACCUCGAGGACCCACGGGUGACACACCUGGGCCCCUCGCCAGCCCCCGUCCGCAUACCCGACGAGGAAGGUGUCGGGGACUCGGAUACUUGGGAAUUUUAUAAUUCAAACACCUGGCCAAAUUACCACACCGGGGCGCUGGAAAAUUGGGAACAAUCCCCAGCCCCUGUCUGCCCCGCCCCCAGGCCUUUGGCACCUGAAACUCUUCCUCAUGCCGACCCGGCCAUGAGGCUUCUCUUUGAAAAGGUUCGGCGCCUGGAAAGCGAACAACAUCGCAGCCAUCAACCCCUCUGGGCAAAACCACGACCAGGGCCCUUUACCGAACGCAUCCUCAACUACCACCAGGAGAAAGAUAUCCAGCCACUCCGCAUCGCUUUCUACACUGGCACGGAGGACCCUCUCACCCACAUCCACUCCUUCCAGUCUGCCCUUGGGUUCAAAGGCCUCACUGAUGAAGGCAUGUGCCUCCUUUUCCCUUCCACCCUCAGCGGCGCAGCCCUGAAUUGGUUCUACAGGCUCUACCCCCGCACCAUCAACUCCUUCGAUAGUCUCAAGCAGACAUUCCUGGACCAUUUUAUGAUCCAGACUGAUCGCCUAUACUCUGCCGACGACUUGUAUAUGCUUAGGCAGGCUGAGGACGAACCCCUUCGAGAAUAUGCAGCUCGGUUCAGUCAUGAAUACUCCCGCUGCCCAGACACUGACGAUCGCGCUGCCUUCGGCGCUUUUAAGAGCGGCCUCCGCGAGUCCAACUUCCGCUACCUGGUUCAUAGCAACAGUUGGAACACAUAUGUAGAGCUGAUGAAGCAGGCGGCGAUCCAUGCUAAGGCUGAAUACUUCAAUUCCAAGCGUGGCCCAGCCAACCUGGCGCGCAACACUUUCGCUGACCCUCCACCUGCUUCAACACCCGCCCCAGCCCCACCUCAGCAUUCUACCCCUGCCCCGAGUGCCCAGGACAACCAACAUAAGCGGAAGGAUAGCUACCAGCAUCCCUUCGGUAAUAACAAACGUGGCAGACAUGGCAACCAGCACUCUAGCGGAGGCAACCCUCCUAGGCCUGGUGAUCGGGCCCCUCUUUCCUUCACACCCAAGCCCAGGUUUGAGGUUUUUACGACCCUCAACACCACCUACGAGAACGUCCUGGUGCGUGAAGCCCCCAUCAUCCCCAAGCCACCCCCCCGGAGACCAUCCAACAAGCCUAUGCCAAACACGGGGGUCUUCUACCGCUUUCAUCAAUUCAGCGGCCAUGACACCGAGUCUUGUGUUGCGUUGCGCAACAUAAUUGAAGGGCUCAUCCGGGAGGGUAAGCUGGACAACUAUGUGCGCAACAUACCAGCCCCGCCUAACCCCCACCAACGACAAAUCAACAUGAUCUCCACCAUCAGCGGAAGUCCUACCCUGGCUGGCACCUCCAACAACUCCAUCAAACAUUAUGUCCGCUCCACCUAUGCGCACCAGGUCUUCAGCACCGAGCAGGGACGCUUGCCGAAGACCCACAGGACUGGCUGGGCCCCCAUUACCUUCUGCGAGGAGGAGGAGCGUGGUGUUAUCCUCCCCCAUGACGAUCCACUCAUUAUCCGGGCUGACAUUUCUAACUUUGACGUUGGGCGUAUCCUGAUGGACACUGGCAGCUCGGUCAGUGUGAUGUUUGCCGAGGCCUUCAAUGAACUCCAGGUCCCGCCUCACCUACUCGACCGAAGCAUCACACCCCUUGUGAGCUUCUCGGGUGAUGUGGUCCAGCCCAUUGGCAGCAUUCAUCUCCCUAUAACAAUUGGGGCCGCACCCCAGCGGACGACGAUCACUACCCCCUUCCUUAUCGUCGACUGUCCCACAGCCUACAACGUCAUCCUCGGCCGCCCAGCCUUGGCCCAAAUGAAGGCUUUUAUUUCCACACAUAUGCUGUUGUUGAAGUUUCCCACUCCUAAUGGCCCAGGCACGGUGCGCGGCGACCAACUCGGAGCCCGAAGCUGCUAUGCUUCAGCCGUCAAAUCCACCAAUCGCCAACAUAGGAAUGAAGCCCUAGCAGUAACCAAGGCUCCCGCCCCUCCUCAAGCUGGCACAGAACCACCUGAAGACCCAAGGGAGGAGUCCAUCGCCCCACAGGCCGAACCUAUGGAGGACCUGGAGCUGGUUACCCUCCAUGACGAUAUCCCGGAUCGACAAGUCCGGAUCGGCACCUCCAUCUCGCCAGAGCUUCGCUCUGACCUGGUCGCCUUCCUCCGCCUCAACUCCGAAGUCUUCGCUUGGUCCUACAAUGACAUGCCUGGCAUAUCAUCAGACAUCAUAUCUCAUAGGCUUAGCGUCAAUCCUGCCGUCAGACCAGUCCGACAGAAGCGUCGCGCUUAUGAUCCCGAGCGCUAUGAGGCCAUGAGGGCGGAGGUGGAACGAUUGAGUAGCAUCGGAUUCAUCAGGGAGGUUGACUAUCCUACAUGGCUGGCUAAUGUCGUGAUGGUCCGCAAGCCAAGAAAGGGCUGGCGCAUGUUUGUCGACUACACCAACCUUAAUCGGGCUUGCCCAAAGGACAGCUUCCCGCUACCCCGCAUUGACCAGCUAGUCGACGCCACAGCUGGCCACGCCCUCCUUAGCUUCAUGGAUGCUUAUUCAGCGUACAACCAGAUCUUCAUGCACCCCGAAGAUCAGGCCCACACCUCUUUCAUUACGGACCGAGGCCUCUACUGCUAUAAGGUGAUGCCCUUUGGCCUCAAAAACGCCGGGGCUACUUAUCAGCGUCUGGUGAAUCAGCUCUUUGCCCCACUGAUUGGCAAUACCAUGGAGGUCUAUGUCGAUGACAUGCUAGUCAAGAGUCGCACGGCUGACCAACACAUCCCUAACCUCUCUGCCAUGUUCACCAUCCUGAAGCGGUACAAAAUGAGGCUUAACCCCACCAAAUGUGCAUUCGGGGUGGCUUCCGGCAAAUUCCUGGGCUUCAUGAUCAGCCAGAGGGGUAUUGAGGCCAAUCCAGAAAAGAUCCAGGCCAUCUUAGACAUGACGGUGCCUCAGACGGUCAAAGAUAUCCAAAGCCUUACAGGGCGUGUCGCAGCCCUGACCAGAUUUAUCUCCAAAGCCACUGACCGCUGCGCCCCAUUCUUCAAGGCCCUUAAAGGCACCAAAAGAAACAUCACCUGGACUGCUGAAUGCGACACGGCUUUCAGCGAGCUCAAAGAGUAUAUGGGCCGGGCCCCUUUAUUGUCAACCCCUGAGCACGGAGACAUCCUCGUGAUUUAUCUCUCCAUUUCAGCUUCGGCUGUUAGCUCUGUGCUCAUCCGAUCAAAGGAUAACGCGGAACACCCAGUGCAUUAUGUUAGCAAGGCUUUGCAAGAUGCAGAAGUUCGAUACCCAGACAUCAAAAAAUUAGCGUUCGCCCUGGUUGUCUCGGCAAGACGCCUCCGACCAUAUUUCCAAGCUCACACCAUCCAUGUCUUAACUAACCAACCGCUCCGACAGGUGUUGCAGAACCCAGACACUUCUGGGAGGCUGGUCAAAUGGGCCAUUGAACUGGGUGAGUUUGAUAUUCAUUACAAACCUCGCCCGGCUAUGAGGGGACAGGCCGUUGCUGACUUCCUAUCCGAAUUCACGGAGCCCCAAGCUUCCGCAGCUACCCAGCUCAUAACCGAACCCAAUCCCCCGCCCAGCCAGGACCAAACCCCCACCGAAGGCAAUCUCGACCUAACCCAGCCCCUGUGGACCUUAUUCGUAGACGGCUCUUCUAAUGCCCGGGGCUGUGGGGCCGGCCUCGUUCUCAUCUCCCCAGACAAGGUUGCCCUCGAGUACGCCCUUCACUUCAAAUUCCAAGCCUCCAACAAUGAGGCCGAAUAUGAAGCACUCUUAGCUGGUCUUCGACUAGCCAAAGAGAUGGACGCCAGACAAAUUCAGAUCUUCAGCGAUUCCCAACUCGUGGUCCACCAGGUCAACCAGGACUUCACGGCUAAGGAUGCCUCUAUGACGGCUUACCUCCAGCACGCUCGGCACCUGCUGGCAACCUUCCACACCCACUCCAUCAAGCAAGUGCCACGCUCAGAGAAUAGCCAUGCCGAUGCACUAGCCAGAUUGGCAUCAGCCUUGGAGCAAGGAAUGGGUCGCCACAUCCACAUCGAGUUUUUGGCCCAGCCCAGCACACAAGCCCCACUCAUCUGCACUAUUGAUCACAGCCCUACAUGGAUGGACCCCAUCCUCCAGUUCUUACAAAACCAAACACUACCGGCUAACCCGGCAGAAGCACGACGCGUUCGCCAUCGCUCCGCCCGUUACUUGAUCAUUAACGGCUCCUUAUACAAGCGUGGCUUCAGCCUUCCUUACCUUCGAUGCCUGACUCCAGAGGAGGGUCACUAUGUCCUCCGAGAAAUCCAUGAAGGCAUCUGCGGCAACCACUCGGGCGCACGCUCGCUAGCCCAUAAAGCAAUCCGCCAAGGAUACUUCUGGCCUUCACUCCACACUGACGCCCAGGCCUUCACCCAAAAAUGCGACAAGUGUCAGCGAUUUGCCAACAUCCCACAACUCCCGGCUGAACCGUUGACUGCCAUGGUCAGCCCUUGGCCAUUUGCCCAAUGGGGACUGGAUCUCAUUGGACCUAUGCCAGAGGGCAAGGGCCAAGUCAAGUAUGCAGUUGUGGCCGUAGACUACUUCACCAAGUGGGCUGAGGCCGAGGCCUUGGCCACCAUCACUGCGGCUCGCAUCGAAUCCUUUGUGUGGCAGAACAUUGUAUGUCGCUUCGGCAUCCCCAACUUCAUCGUCACCGACAAUGGCCGGCAAUUUGACAACGCCAAAUUCAAACAAUUUUGUUCCAACCUCAAGAUUCGUCUGUGUUUCGCCUCCCCAGCCCAUCCUCAGUCCAAUGGCCAGGUCGAAGCCGUGAACAAAAUUAUCAAGAAGACCCUCAAGACAAAACUUGACAAAGCCAAGGGCUGCUGGCCAGAACUACUCCCAGAAGUACUCUGGUCCUACCGCACCACCUUCCGCACAUCCACAGGUGAAACGCCGUUCUCCCUAUCAUUUGGAACCGAGGCCGUGGCUCCGGUAGAGAUUGGCCAGCCCACAUACCGAACCUCCACUUACGAUGCCACGGCCAAUGACGAGCAGUUGGCCCUCAACCUCGACUUCAUUGACGAACUCCGGGACCAAUCGAGCAUGCGCAAUGCCGCGUACAAGCAACGCAUCGCCAAGUACUAUGACUCCCGAGUCAAGCCCCGUGCUUUCAAAAUGGGGGACUGGGUCAUGCGCAAGGUUUCCUUGGCUACCAAAAAUCCUAACGAAGGUACUCUCGGCCCUACAUGGGAAGGUCCUUACGAGAUUAUCAAAAUCUACCGCCCUGGCACUUAUCAGCUUCGCGAUUCCACAGGCAAGACGCUGCCUCACCCGUGGAAUGCUGACCACCUCAAGUAUUAUUACAAGUAAACAUAUCUAGACCCUAGGACAAUACUUUGGUCUUGAUUAUUUACUGUAAGGUAGAAGUAAGGUAUCUAGACCCUAGACCACUUGUACCUUCUGCCUUUCGGCAUCUAUUUCAAUGAAAUGCCUGACUCCGGCUCAUUCUCAUGCAUUCACAUUGUUAUCAUUUUUACUAACACAAUUGAUAUCAAGCUAAGUUCAUAUCAUAAAUAAAAACAGCCUUGCUCCAGGCAAGGACAAAUGUUCAUACAUAACCAAAAUAAACAAGUGUUCCAACACAAUCACUAGAGUACAAAAUAGCUAUAACACAUCACGAAGGCAACGCCUUCAGGACUCGGUCGAAGGGGCAUCCUCAGUGGCUGGCUCAGCCUCUGGUGUCGGGGCGCUAGCAUCAGCAGGAGGGGUCUGUGCAGGAGGCUCGCCACUGGUGUCAAAGUUAAUCUCCACCGAGGGGUUGAACCUAACCAACCUAUCUUCCCAGCAAAGCUGCUCAUCAACCAGUCGAUCCAUGAUAUAGCUCUUCAGCUCCUCUGAGGAUCGGAAGGACUCAAUCGCCUCGACUCGGGCAGCAGCCACCUCCUCGGCCUUCGAUCUCUUCAGCUCCUCCACCUCCUUGACCAAGGCCGCCUUUUGGACUCUCCAUAGUUCUUCCAUAGCCCUUGCCAUUCGGCAAGGGUCUAGCCAUUUUUUUUUUUUUUUUUUUUGAGCUUCGGGAGCUAGGCCUUCGAGGGAGCUGGGUCUUGAAAAUUUUAGACUUCGGGAGCUAGGCCUUCGAGGGAGCCGGGUCUUGAAAAUUUUAGACUUCAGGGGCUAGGCCUUCGAGGGAGCCGGGUCUUGAAAAUUUUAGACUUCGGGAGCUAGGCCUUCGAGGGAGCCGGGUCUUGAAAAUUUUAGACUUCGGGGGCUAGGCCUUCGAGGGAGCCGGGUCUUGAAAAUUUUAGACUUCGGGGGCUAGGCCUUCGAGGGAGCCGGGUCUUGAAAAUUUUAGACCUUCGAGGAGCCGGGUCCAUUGAAAAUUUUGGAGACUCGCCACUUCGUCAAUGGCCCUUGCCGUUCGGCAAGGGUCUAGCCAAAAAUUUUUUUUGGAGCUUCGGGAGCUAGACCUUCGAGGAGCCGGGUCCGUUGAAAAUUUUGGAGACUCGCCACUUCGUCAAUGGCCCUUGCCGUUCGGCAAGGGUCUAGCCAUUUUUUUUUGGAGCUUCGGGAGCUAGACCUUCGAGGGAGCCGGGCCAUUCGAAAAUUCAAGACUCUCAAAAUUUUGCCAUGGCCCUUGCCGUUCGGCAAGGGUUUAGCCAUAUACAUAUAUUUUUUGUUUUGAAUGGCCGGGCCUUCUUGAGUUGGGGCUUGGGCAUGUGGAAAGAGUUGGGCCCGUGAUGGGCUUCAGCAAGUAACAAGGCCUAGGGUUUUGGGAGGAGGAGGUAUACAAAUAAGAGGGUGGCCACCAUGCCGUUCGGCAUUUCCUCAUUCGGCACCUUGGAGUAGAACAAAUUCUUGAAAUCCCAUCUUGCCGUUCGGCAAGUUCUUGGAGUCACGGUUUUGGGCUUGUAUUGAUUUUGGCUUCGGGCAAGGGAACAAUGCUUCGGCAAGCGGCACAAACUUGGAAGGGUUGGUGACGGCUGGCCAAACUUGGAAGGGGCUGGACAGCCGGUGGCGCAAAGAAACUGCUGGGGUGAAAUUGCCGUUUGGUUGGAAACGGCUGGGCUGUUUUGGCUAGGCGUCGGGGUGGUGCUUCGGCAGCAAGACUCGGCAGGCUAGUUGGGUUGUGCUGUGCCGAUCGGCAGGGUUGGUCCGAAGAGGUGUUGCUGUGCUGCGAGCACAUCGGUUGUGGCUGGACACUUGCCGUUCGGCAAGGGUGAUUGGGGAGCAGGGCAAGUGUGCGAGAUCCUUGCUGGGGCUUCGGCAUGUGGGCUGCGAUUUGAGCAGGGCUCGGUGUGAGCGAAGUCUGCGGGAAGAGAUUGGCUUCGGCAAUUGAGCUUGCCGUUCGGCAGGAGCCUUGGGGAUGGCGGGGGUUGUGCUUCGGCAGUUGUGAGCACGGCUGCGGCAGUUGUGAGCACGGGUUGGCUUCGGCAGCUGGGUUAGUGCUGUGCCGAUCGGUAGUUGUGCAGGUGCAGAUCGGCAGGCCGUGGGUGAUUGGCGAGAGGUCUGCAGGUGGCUGAGCUUCGGCAAGGCAGCUGGAGGAGUUGGGCGGUGCAGCUUUGCUUCGGCAGGGGCAAGUCUGUGGUGGUUUUUAGGUAUUCCGUCGGCAAGAAGACCUUGGCGGUGCAGCUGGGGCCUAGGCACGAGGGUGCCAAAGGUGACGUAAAGCUUGCAUGUUUGCAAGGCGAUGUGGCUAGGCACGGGGGUGCUGAAGGUGACACAAGGUGUGGUUGGGCACGAGGGUGCCGAAGGCAACACAGAGCUUGCGUGUCGCAAGGCGAUGUGGCUAGGCAAGGGGGUGCCGAAGGCAACACAAAGCUAGUAUUUUGCCAGGUAAUGUGGCUAGGCACGAGGGUGUCGAAGGCGACACAAAGCUUACAUGUUUGCAAGGCAAUGCAGCUAGGCAUGGGGGUGCCGAAGAUAACACAGAGCUUGCGUGUCGCAAGGCAAUGUGGCUAGGCACGGGGGUGCCGAAGGCAAAGGGGAUGCCGAAGGUGACACAAAGCUUGCAUGUCGCAAGGCAAUGUGGCUUGGGCACAAGGGGUGUCGAAGGUAUAAAACUUGCAUGUUGCAAGAUGGUUGCCGAAGACACUUGCAUGGCACAAGGAAAUUGCCGAAAUGCAUGAAACUUGGAAAGAUUCUGAAGGGAAGAAAUGAAAAUGUGCAUUUGGCACAAUGCUUGCCGUUCGGCAGGCAGGUGGGGGAGGUUGAUGAGCUCGGCCUUCGGGUACCUGGGGUGUGCACGAAGGGGACUUGGGGUGUGUCUGUGUGUGAGCCCACAUGGUAUGGCCAACCCUUUGUUGUUCGGCAAAGGGCCGAGAGCCUUGGGCCUGGGCCUUGGUCUUCGGUGGCUAGGGUGCGCUUCUAUUUCAUGGGUGCCGAAGGGCACUGAAGAAGGGGAGGAUCGACAAAGGCUUUUUGUGUCAAUUCCCACAGACGGCGCCAAACUGUUGAUGCUCAAAAUGGUUCAGCCAAGAUUGAGUCCAACUUAGUGAUGAGGUGUGAUGGAUGAUGGAUGAAGGUGAGGACCUACGUGGUUCACCCGAAUGAUGGGCUACGUCCACGGAGAAGGGUGUUCUCAUUAUGAUAAUGUUUGUUUACAUUUGUACAAGGGGAUUAGACCCAAAUAUAAAGAUAACAAGUGAGAAGCCCAGCCCAGAGAUGGAUCCAGAAGAGAGAGUCCAAGGCCUAAGGGUCUAGAUCCAAGACCAGGAUCCCUUCUAAGGAAAGAGUAGUCUUCUUUUAUAGGUGAGGGGGAGUCUUCACUUCUUGUAGUUUUCCGAUGUGGGACUCCUCUUGCUUUGCUUAGAGUUGUGACUUGUGGUAAUGCCUCUUUGGCUAAGGUGGUGACCUCUCAAAACAUGGUACGUGGAUGAUCUAGCCAAGCUAGUUGCUCGGUCAGUUAUGGUACAAACAAUAUGUUUAGGGUUUAGAAGAUUAUUCUGAAAUCAUUGACUGUAUUGUUGGGUUUUAGAUAUAUGUUUUGCGAUCUUUUGAUGUUUUCGUAGGUAUGUUCUUCAUCAAUCUAUGUUGUUAUGAAUAGGGAAUGGCUUCAAUAUUUGCAUGCUCUUCUUGGAAAUGGUCUGAAUAAAAGAAGAUUUAGCCUCCUUUUCUUUAAGUGUUUGACGACGGUUUUUCAUAUAACCAUCGUCUUUAUUUCAUCUACAAGGCGAUGUUUAUUUUGCUAUUUUCAGAAUCACUGUUUACUAGCUUAAAACGUCGGUUUUGGAAAAAAACCGAUGUCUGUAUAAGUACAAAACGUCAGAUGUUUUAAAAAAACCGUCGUCUUUAUGUUAAAUUACUUUCUUUCAAAGUAAUUAUAAUCUGCUAUAGUGAUGUCAUUGCUUGUCUUUUCACCUUAUUAUAAAUAAUAGGGUAUUUUUUCGGAGAUGGAUAAGUCAUGGAUGCACCCGGAUAGAAGAUCGAAGGCAUAUGAGUUAGGGGUGGAAGCAUUGAAAAUCUUCUAACCACAACACAUAUUCACUAUCCAUGUGUUAAAUGUGGGAAUGUUCCAUUGUUUGGGGUUGGAAUUAUAAGGGACCACUUAUACUUUAAUGGAGUUCACCAAAGUUAUAAGAAUUGGACAUUUCACGGAGAACCUUGGCAAGCAACUACUAAUGCUAGUAGAAAUGUGGAAGAAGAUGAUGAACAUAGUAGGUACAGUUUUGUGUCUGAAGAAAUAGAGAUGGAUGAUAAUGAUUUAGGCGAUUUUGGAUCCGAUCCUUAUAAGUUCGCCAAUUUCAUUGGCGAUGGAGAUUCACCCUUGUACCCUGGUUGUAGUAAGUACACCAAGUUGUCGGCAUUAGUAAAGUUAUAUAAUUUAAAGGCAAAACAUGGGAUGAGUGAUGUCUGUUUUAUAUAAUUGUUGAUACUUCAAGGAGAAUUGCUUCCAGAAGGAAAUACAAUACAUUCCUCUAUGUAUGAGGCAAAAAAGACUUUGUUUGCAUUGGAGCUGAGUUAUGAGAAAAUCCACACAUGCUCCAAUGAUUGCAUCUUGUAUAGGAAGGAGUAUGAACAUUCAACUCAUUGUCCUACUUGUGGAAUCUCACGAUGGAAGGAAGGCAAAGAUUCAAUCUUGAAAUAGGGUGUCCCAGCAAAGGUAGUGUGGUAUUUUCCACCAAUUCCAAGAUUUAAAAAGAUGUUUCAAUCACACAAGACAGCUAAAAGUUUGACUUGGCAUGCUAAUAGAAAAGCAAUUGAAGGUCAGAUGUCUCAUCCGGCUGAUUCUCCCUCUUGGAAACUCGUUGAUGAUAAAUGGCCCGAGUUUGGUAAUGAGUCGAGAAACUUGAGAUUGGCUCUCUCAUCUGAUGGAUUCAAUCCCCACAGUUCUCUAAGUACCAGAUACAGUUGUUGGCCUGUUAUCUUAAUUACAUAUAAUCUCCCAUCAUGGCUAUGCAUGAAACGAAAGUUCAUGAUGUUGACCUUAAUGAUUUCCGGUCUGAAACAACCCGAAAAUGAUAUAGAUGUCUACUUAGAGCCUUUGAUUGAUGAUUUAAAAUCUUUGUGGGAUGGGAUUAAAAGUGUGUAUGAUGCUCAUAUAGGAGAAUACUUUACACUCAGCUGCAUUAUUGUGGACAAUUAAUGAUUUUCCCGCUUAUGGAAACUUAUCUGGUUGUAUCGUAAAAGGAUAUAAAGCUUGUCCAAUAUGCAGUGAUGAUACACCUAGUCACAGGUUGAAAAAUGGCCACAAAAUAUGUUACAUCGGGUAUAGCAAAUGGUUACCAAUAUAUCAUCCAUUUCGGAGGCAAUGUGCAGCUUUUAAUGGGAAACCUGAAUAUGACACGCCUCCAAAGCCAUUAACCAAAGAAGAAGUGUUACAAAUGGUUGAAGGUAUUAAUUAUAAAUGGGGCUCGAAAAAAGGGGGAGAUGGAAGUGAAAAUGAUGGUGACAGAGUUUGUUGGAAGAAGAAGUCAAAAUUCUUUGAUCUCGAGUACUAGAAAUACCUUCCUGUGAGGCAUGCCCUUGAUGUUAUGCACAUCGAGAAAAAAGUUUGCGAUAGUAUCAUUGGUACGUUGUUGGAGAUCCCUGGAAAAAAUAAAGAUGGGAUUGCUGCUCGUUUGGAUUUAUUGAACAUGGGGGUGAAGACUUAUUUGCAACCCGAGUAUGGAGAAAGAUGUACUCGCUUGCCUCCAGGGCAUUGGAAUUUGUCAAGAGCAAGAAGAGACGGUUUGCAAUUCUUUCUAUGGUAAUGAAAGUCCCUGAAGGUUACUCUUCAAAUAUUAAAAAUCUUGUAUCUUUACAAGAUUCAAGACUUCUUUGGCUUAAAUCACAUGAUUGUCAUACCGUGAUGCAACAAUUGCUCCCUGUGGCAAUUCGUUCUGUCCAGGAGAAGCCUGCAAGGUAUGCAAUAACUCGAUUGUGCUUCUUCUUCAAUGCUAUAUGUGCAAAGACGGUAGAUGUUUCCAAGCUAGAUAAGUUGGAAGAAGAUGUAGUAGUAACUUUGUGUUUGCUUAAGAAGUACUUUCCCCCUUCAUUCUUCUAUAUCAUGGUUCAUCUAGUAGUACAUCUUGUCUGAGAAGUUUGUCUAUGUGGGCCAGUUUAUUUUAGAUGGAUGUAUCCGUUCAAAAGAUAUAUGAAAGUGCUAAAGGGGUAUGUUCAAAACCGAAAUCAUCCUGAAGGUUGCAUUACUCAACUGUAUAUAGCUGAAGAAGCUGUAGAGUUUUGCACCGAGCAUUUAUCUGAUGUUAGUACAGUUGGAGUGCCAUCAAAUCAGAAGAUGGGACUUUCAAAGCCCUUAUCAGGUUGCACAGUGAGUUUAGUUGAUCGGGACUUGUUGAAUCAGGCACAUCUAUAUGUCUUGGAGAAUACGGAGGAAGUUCUACCUUAUAUCGAGUAUGAGUUUUAUUCUUAAGUAGUCAUUUUAAAUUAUAGUCCUUAUGUUUAUCUGAUAUGUUUGGGACUGUAAUGCUUGAAUUUUUCGUGUUAAGUAGAGAACAUAUGAUCCACAUCAAGACCACUUAUCCAAAAUUUAGAAAGAGAACAAAGUGGCUACAAGAUAAGCACAAUACCACUUUCAUUCAAUGGCUACGCUUUAAGGUAUAUGGAAUUGAAUAACAUAUUGCACUUUUAAUUUUCUUCUUUUUAUGUUAGAUUGAAUUAAGAUAUGAUUCAUUUGCAGGUUCAAAGUCAACUUAAUGGGGAAGACAAUAAUGGUGUAUCAGAAAAUUUGAGGUGGCUAGCAGCUAGUCCAAGCAAGAGACGACCUUUAAAAGAAGAUAAAACGACCACGUAACAAAUAUACCGUCGUCUUACUUAACAAACACGACGAUACACUCUUAUUACUAAACGUCUUUACAAUAUACCACGUCAAUUUAUGUCUUUAGGACUUGGUGAGAAAAUGAAUUACGUCGUCUUUAGAAAUAAAAAUGACGUAGAAAAUGGUAACCACGUCGCCUUUUAUAUGCACACCGACGUUGUAAGGUCUUUUCACCGUCAUCAUUUAAAAUAAAGGAGACGUACAAAACCUCGUUCUUCCCAUAUUUACUGUCAUCAUUAAAUGUUUUCACGUCUCCCUAGUGACAAUGUGUCGUGCAAUACUACACACAAACGUCGUCUAUAAAAACAAAGAUGACGUAGUAGAGCGUAACCACGUCGUCUUUGAUAGGUUAUGCGAUAUUUGUAACACGACAAACAACACGGUGUUUAUAAUAACUGACGUUGUAAAUCACAUUUCACCGUCAGUGUUUAAAGUAAAAGAGACGUACGAAUCUGUUUAUUCCCAUAUUUACUGACGUAACUAACAGUUUUCACGUCUACUUUUUGACCAUGUGUCGUGAAAUGUUCUAAAACAACAUUUCCUGUGGAAAAAGAUGUGCCGUGGUAUGUUUUCCUAACGUCGACUCAGACAUACUAAUAGACGUGUGUAUGUCUUUUAAUACGUCAACUUCUGAGCUAACACUGACGUUGUACAUCAUUUUCAAUGGGAUAUCUAGAAACAAAAGUAACGUAAUAUAUCAUCACGUGUCAUGGAAUGUCUUCAUCAACAGCGUCAGAUUGAUUGUUUAGAGGUGGUAUUUUAAUAAACAACGUCAUGUUUUAUUAUUUAGACGACGGUUGUUUCCCUAAUUGAGUCAUUUAUAGGUUCACUAUUAGUUAUUUUGGUGGUCAUUUUCUUUACUUUUAUGUCGGCUUUUAUUUAUUUCGAUGUUGUUUCUCUACAAACAACGUCUCCGAUUUACCGUCAUGGUUUGUUUUUUAAAAAGAUGUCGAUCGAGUUAACGAUGGUCAGAAAACUUGCUAGACGACAGUGAAUUCCCGUCGUCUAUUGCCCUUUUUGUAGUAGUGAGACCCCAUGUAAUAUUAACCUAUAUUAUAGGAGCAUUUCAAAAUAGACUUGGUCAAUAACCAAAGUGUUAUUAUUAUCAACAAAUAUAUAGGUAAUCUAUUAAUAUUGGGUUGGACAGAGAUAUUUCCAUAUGUUUCACUUAAGUCAAGUCCAUAUUUGCAGAAGAUAUUUGUAGCCUCAGAGAAGAAGUUGGCCACAGCCACAACCACAGCCACAGCCUCAGAGAUGCUAAAGUGACAGUGAGGUGCAUAGAGAGGGAAAGGCAAGCACUAUAUCAAAUCACCAUACUAAGUCCAAGUCAAGCCGAAUUAAUAUCUGCAAGUUGGGGCACGCGUUGGAAUACAAAUCACCAUAUUAAGUCUAAGUCAAUAGUUGGUUGCAAGGCAAAUCACCAUAUCAAAUCUAAGUCACAAGUCUUCGAUCUCAUCCAUUAAUUUCUCCAAUAUUUAAUGAUUUAUUACUUGUUUACAUGGACCACUGACAAAUUUUUCUUUAAUUAUCUUUUUCCACAUAGUGACGUGCAUCAGAAUCAGUUGAACGUUGUAUAGAUUUUUUAUUCCUUUUAGAAAAUUUGGUAUAGUCCACUUCUGAUGACAUAAAUGAAAUUGGACCUAUAUCUAAGAGCUCCUUUUUCCUUUUUGUAAAUUAUAAGUAGAGAGUUCUCCUCAUUACAAAUUACAAGACACCACCCUAGAUUCUUAUUUUUUGUUGGACCCACCUUUGACUCUUAACUAUAAAAAACCUAAACUUUGUAUGACAUUAUGAUACAAAAAAUUAAAAGAAAAAUAACUUGUGUAAGAAGCAAAACCCUUCAAAGCACGAACAAUGGGGAAACAAAAAAAAAAACAUUAUACAAUUGUUAAAAACCAAUUUGGUUGCUGUUGAGAAUUAAAGUAGUUGAAUAUUAAUUUAAGUAUUGUGAUCAUCAUUCAUUUCAUCCAAGCCAUUACAAUUAAAAAAUAAAAAUAAAAUACCCAGCCCACCCCCAUCCCCUAUCCCAUGUCUCUGAUGCACCUCCCCUUUUCCCCCUUUUUGUACGCCCAUCUCUCUGUCUUCUCUCCCUCUCUCUCAUAUGGGUUGGGUAUGGUCAGAAAAAAAAUCCAGAUGCAUCUCACUACCCAACCCGACUGAGAAUUGGUCAUCGUCUUCAGCAUCUCGCCCCUAUUCCGACUGAGAAUUGCUCGUCAACCCAUCCAUAUGCAUCUGAUGACCCAAGCUCUCUUGCUUUAGUGGGAGCGUGUUUUGCUCCUUAGUUUUAUUUUAGUAAAUUUAGGUUUUAGCCACAAAAAAACUUUCACUUUUGGAAAAAGCCAAAGCUUUUUCAAAAAAGACAGAAAAACCUCUCAACUUUCAAAUCAAAGACAUGCAAAUGUAAAGGAUUCCUUAGGAAAUCCAAAAAUAAAUAAGGGCAAUUUUGUCCAUUUUAGCUUCUUUUAAAAAAUUUCUCUCUCCUUUGGGUUUUUCCAAAGUCUCCCUUUUAUUUUUUCAUUUUAGUUAUUUUUUCAUUUUAGUUGUUGUUUAAUUUUUAAAUUUGUUUUUUUAAUUACCCUUAUAGUAUAAUUUAUAUCCAAGGGUAGGUGACCACAAUUUCCUUGGACCAUAGGAAUCCAGAAGAACAGGACUGAGUAAUUCAUAUACUAAUCAUCUAAUGAGCAACAAAACAAAUCAAAUCAAAGAAUCCGAAUGCAAAAUGAAGGAAGCUGCUCCGAAACUCUAUGAUGAGAUAUCCAACACUAAAUAUACUUAAGUGUUUCCUGAUCAUCACUAUAAUACGAAAAACUUUCAUGUGGAAUUGUAAGAACCCAUGUAAUAUUAACCUAAAUUAUAGGAGCGUUUCAAAAUAGACUUGGUCAAUAACCAAAGUGUUUUGAAAAACUCUCGUAUUAUAGUUAUUGAAUAAAAACCCAAUUUUCAUUUAUUAGUAUCAAUAAAUAUAUAGGUAUUAUAUUAAUAUUGGGUUGGGCAAAGAUAUUUCCAUAUGUUUCACUUAAAGUCAAGUCCACAUUUGCAAGAAGAUAUUUGUAGCUUGUGCCUAGGGGGAUGGGAUGCAAACUCAAUGGUUGAGUGGACACGGGAAGGCACCUUACCAAGUCAAGCCGAGUUAAUACCUGCAAGUCAAUUGGGGCACGCGUUGGAAGAAAAAUCACCAUAUUAAGUCCAAGUCAAUAGUUGCGUUGAAAGGCAAAUCACCAUAUCAAGUCUAAGUCACAAGUCUUUGCGAUCUCAUCCAUUAAUUUCCCCAAUAUUCAUUGAUUUAUUACUUGUUUACUUGGACCACUGACAAAUUUUUGGGCUUCUUAGAUCAAGGUCCAAAACGAUUAGCUGUCAUUGGAUUUAGUCCUCGAGUUUUUGACAUUUAGAUGUAGGUCCUUUGACAUUUAUGGAUAAAAUACAAUUUAAUCAAUAAAAAGUAAAGACCCACAUAUUAUACCAAUCGAUCAGACAAGCACCCACAUUAAAUUAUGUAUCUGACAUACAGGUAAAUAGUGUUAUUAUUAGCAAUGAAAAAUACUUGGUGAUAAAUCAUAUUACCUAUAAGUUAGGAACGUAAAUUAGAAGACUACCUAUAAGUCAGAUACAAAAAUAGAAAAAAUAAAAUUGUAUGUUACCUAUAAAAUAAAAAAUAAAAAAAAGGUACAUAAAAUACUAUUACACAUUGUCGAAAAUAUGAAAAAAAAAAUAUAUAUAUAUAUAUAUAUAUAUACACAAUAGGCAAUAGGCAAUGUGACAUAAAUGAUUAUUACACGAUUCAAGUCAUUAUGGGCAACAUUAGAACAAAAAAUGAUUUUUAAAAUAAAAUAAUAAAAAUAUUACAUAAAAAAAUAUUUUAAAAGGAAUGUAAUUCUAUGUGGCACAAAAGUUAAAGGACUUGUAUCAAAGUCAUCAAAUCCGAGGAUUAAACCCAACUCCUCAAUAAGAAUUUGGAUCUACAUCAACUUUUCUACAAAUUUUUCUUCAAUUAUCUUUUUCCACAUAGUGACAUGAAUAAGAGUCAGUUGUACGUUGUACAGUUUUUUUCUUCUUCUUUUUAGAAAAUUUGGUAUAGUCCAAUUUUGAUGACAUAAGUGAAAUUGAAAAUUUGGUAUAGUCCAAUUCUGAUGACAUAAGUGAAAUUGAACAUAUAUUCUGUCAGCCACAACCACAGCCACAGCCUCAGAGAUGCUAAAGUGACAGUAAGGUGCAUAGAGAGGGAAAGGCAAGCACUAUAUCAAAUCACCAUACUAAGUCCAAGUCAAGCCGAAUUAAUAUCUGCAAGUUGGGGCACGCGUUGGAAUACAAAUCACCAUAUUAAGUCUAAGUCAAUAGUUGGUUGCAAGGCAAAUCACCAUAUCAAAUCUAAGUCACAAGUCUUCGAUCUCAUCCAUUAAUUUCUCCAAUAUUUAAUGAUUUAUUACUUGUUUACAUGGACCACUGACAAAUUUUUCUUUAAUUAUCUUUUUCUACAUAGUGACAUGCAUAAGAGUCAGUUGUACGUUGUAUAGUUUUUUUAUUCUUUUUAGAAAAUUUGGUAUAGUCUACUUCUGAUGACAUAAGUGAAAUUGGACCUAUAUCUAAGAGCUCCUUUUUUCUUUUUGUAAAUUAUAAGUAGAGAGUUCUCCUAAUUACAAAUUACAAGACGCCACCCUAGAUUCUUAUUUUUUGUUGGACCCACCUUUCACUCUUAACUAUAAAAAACCUAAACUUUGUAUGACAUUAUGAUCCAAAAAAUUAAAAGAAAAAUAACACGGUGUAAGAAGCAAAACCCUUCAAAGCACGAAAAAUGGGGAAACAAAAAAAAACAUGAUACAAUUGUUAAAAAUCAAUUUGGUUGCUGUUGAGAAUUAAAGUAGUGGAACAUUAAUUUAAGUGUUGUGAUCAUCAUUCAUUUCAUCAAAGCCAUUAUAAUUAAAAAUAAAAAUAAAAUACCCAGCCCACCCCAAAUCUCCCCUAUCCCAUGUCUCUGAUGCACCUCCCCUUCCCCCUUUCUGUAUGCCUAUCUCUCUGUCUUCUCUCCCUCUCUCUCGUAUGGGUUGGGAAUGGUGAGAAAAAAAUCCAGAUGCAUCUCACUACCCAACCCGACUGAGAAUUGGUCAUCGUCUUCAGCAUCUCGCCCCAAUUCCGACUAAGAAUUGCUUGUCAACCAAUCCAUAUGCAUCUCACCACCCAAGCUCUCUUGCUUCAAUGGGAGCGUGUUUUACUCCUUAGUUUUAGUUUUUUCAUUUUAGUUGUUGUUUAAUUUUUAAACUAGUUUUUUUAAUAACCCUUAUAUUAUAAUUUAUAUUCAAGGGUGGGUGACCAUAAUUUCCUUGGACCAAAGGAAUCCAGAAGAAUGGGACUGAGUAAUUCAUAUACUAAUCAUUUAACGAGCACCAAAGCAAAUCAAAUCAAAGAAACCGAAUGCAAAAUGAAGGAAGCUACUCCGAAACUCUAUGAUCAGAUAUCGAACACUAAAUAUGCUUAAGUGUUUCGUGAUCAUCGCUAUAAUACGAGAAACUUUCAUGUGUAAUUGUAAGACCCCAUGUAAUAUUAAACUAAAUUAUAGGAGCAUUUCGAAAUAGACUUGGUCAAUAACCAAAGUGUUUUGAAAAGCUCUCGUAUUAUAGUUGAAUAAAAACCCAAUUUUCAUUUAUUAGUAUCAAUAAAUAUAUGGGUAUUAUAUUAGUAUUGGGUUGGGCAAAGAUAUUGCCAUAUGUUUCACUUAAGUCAAGUCCACAUUUGUAAGAAGAUAUUUGUAGCUUGUGUCCAGGGGGAUAAGACUCAAAGUCAAUGGUUGAGUGGACACGGGAAGGCACCUUACCAAGUCAAGCCAAAUUAAUACCUGCAAGUUGGGGCACGCGUUGGAAUACAAAUCACCAUAUUAAGUCUAAGUCAAUAGUUGGUUGCAAGGCAAAUCACCAUAUCAAAUCUAAGUCACAAGUCAUCGAUCUCAUCCAUUAAUUUCUCCAAUAUUUAAUGAUUUAUUACUUGUUUACAUGGACCACUGACAAAUUUUUCUUUAAUUAUCUUUUUCCACAUAGUGACAUGCAUAAGAGUCAGUUGUACGUUGUAUAGUUUUUUUAUUCUUUUUAGAAAAUUUGGUAUAGUCCACUUCUGAUGACAUAAGUGAAAUUGGACCUUUAUCUAAGAGCUCCUUUUUUCUUUUUGUAAAUUAUAAGUAGAGAGUUCUCCUCAUUACAAAUUACAAGACGCCACCCAAGAUUCUUAUUUUUUGUUGAACCCACCUUUGACUCUUAACUAUAAAAAACCUAAACUUUGUAUGACAUUUUGAUACAAAAAAUUAAAAGAAAAAUAACAUGUGUAAGAAGCAAAACCCUUCAAAGCACGAACAAUGGGGAAACGAAAAAAAAACAUGUUAAAAAUCAAUUUGGUUGUUGUUGAGAAUUAAAGUAGUGGAAUAUUAAUUUAAGUAUUGUGAUCAUCAUUCAUUUCAUCCAAGCUAUUAUAAUUAAAAAUAAAAAUAAAAUAUCCAGCCCACCCCAAAACUCCCUUAUCCCAUGUAUCUGAUGCACCUCCCCUUCCCCCUUUUUGCACGCCUUAUCUCUCUGUCUUCUCUACCUCUCUCUCAUAUGGGUUGGGCAUGGUGAGAAAAAAAAAUCCAGAUGCAUCUCACUACCCAACCCAACUGAGAAUUGGUCAUCGUCUUCAGCAUCUCGCCCCUAUUCUGACUGAGAAUUGCUCGUCAACUAAUCCAUAUGCAUCUCACCACCCAAGCUCUCUUGCUUCAGUGGGAGCGUAUUUUGCUCCUUAGUUUUAGUUUGUUCAUUUUAGUUGUUUAAUUUUUAAACUUCUUUUUUUAAUAACCCCUAUAUUAUAAUUUAUAUACAGGGGUGAGUGACCACAAUUUCCUUGAACCACAGGAAUCCAGAAGAACGGGAUUGAGUAAUUCAUGUACUAAUCAUUUAACGAGCACAAAACAUAUCAAAUCAAAGAAUCCGAAUACAAUAUAAAGGAAGCUGCUCCGAAACUCUAUCAUCAGAUAUCGAACACUAAAUAUACUUAAGUGUUUCGUGAUCAUCACUAUAAUACGAGAAACUUUCAUGUGUAAUUGUAAGACCCCAUGUGAUAUUAACCUAAAUUAUAGGAGCAUUUCGAAAUAGACUUGGUCAAAAACCAAAGUGUUUUGAAAAACUCUCGUAUUAUAGUUGUUGAAUAACAACCCAAUUUUCAUUUAUUAGUAUCAAUAAAUAUAUAAAUAUUAUAUUAAUAUCGGGUUGGGCAGAGAUAUUUCCAUAUGUAUCACUAAAGUCAAGUCCAAAUGUGCAAGAAGAUAUUUCUUUGUAACGGCUUUCUUCCUUUUCUCCUAUAUAUAUCUGAUGCAAGCUAGCAUAUAUGGAAAAACACGGAGACAACCAUAUCUCAAUAUAUACCUGCAGUAUUUUUGCAUUAUCGAUCAAUUAACAUGAAGGGCGACGGAAGGUGCUUGAAACUCUUUCUUGCAUUAUCGAUCCUUUUCCUACAAAACGUAAAAGGAGGAGAAGUUGGCCACAGCCACAGCCACAGCCACAGCCUCAGAGAUGCUAAAGUGACAGUGAGGAGGUGCAUAGAGAGGGAAAGGCAAGCACUACUUGCAUUCAAACGUGGCCUGGUGGAUGACAGUGAGGUGGAUGAGUCCAAUCCUCUCUCAACUUGGGGUUCAGAAGCCGAGAAACAAGAUUGUUGCAGAUGGGAAGGAGUCUAUUGUAGCAACCAAACUGGCCAUGUGAUUCAACUUCAUCUUGAAUAUUCUUCCUAUGAUGAGAUGAUUCUUGGAUAUUCUUUCCAAGGUAAGAUGAUUAGUCCUAAACUGAUUGAGUUGCAGCAUUUACAAUAUUUGCACCUUGCAUCCAUUGAUUUCUAUGAGAGCCAAAUUCCUGAUUUCAUUGGUUCUCUAACCAAUCUAAGAAACCUCAGUCUCUCUUCCUGUAAUUUGGUUGGUCAAAUUCCAAGUUCGUUUGGAAACCUCACGCAAUUGCAAUAUCUCGACCUCAGCUAUAAUUAUCAGCUUCAACCAGAAAAUCUCAAUUGGCUCCCUGCCCUUUCUUCUUUAACGUAUUUGGACCUUUCAGUCAUUGAUUUCAAUGGGAGCCAAAUUCCCGAUUUCAUUGGUUCUCUAACCAAUCUAAGAAACCUCAGUCUCAGAUUCUGUGAUUUGGUUGGUCCAAUUCCAAGUUCGUUUGGAAACCUCACGCAAUUGCAACAUCUCAACCUCGGCUAUAAUCAGCUUCAACCAGAAAAUCUCAAUUGGCUCCCUGCUCUUUCUUCUUUAACGUUUUUGGACCUAAGCGAAAACUUCAAUGGGAGCCAAAUUCCCGAUUUCAUUGGUUCUCUAACCAAUCUAAGGUACCUCAGUCUCAGUUUCUGUAAUUUGGUUGGUCCAAUUCCAAGUUCGUUUGGAAACCUCACGCAAUUGCAACAUCUCAACCUCGGCUAUAAUCAGCUUCAACCAGAAAAUCUCAAUUGGCUCCCUGCUCUUUCUUCUUUAACGGAUUUGUACCUAGCCGGAAACUUCAAUGGGAGCCAAAUUCCCGAUUUCAUUGGUUCUCUAACCAAUCUAAGAAACCUCAGUCUCAGAUUCUGUGAUUUGGUUGGUCCAAUUCCAAGUUCGUUUGGAAACCUCACGCAAUUGCAACAUCUCGACCUCAGCUAUAAUCAGCUUCAACCAGAAAAUCUCAAUUGGCUCCCUGCUCUUUCUUCUUUAACGUUUUUGGACCUAAGCGAAAACUUCAAUGGGAGCCAAAUUCCCGAUUUCAUUGGUUCUCUAACCAAUCUAAGGUACCUCAGUCUCAGUUUCUGUAAUUUGGUUGGUCAAAUUCCAAGUUCUUUUGGAAACCUGACGCAAUUGCAAAAUCUCGACCUCAGCAAUAAUCAGCUUCAACCAGAAAAUCUCAAUUGGCUCCCUGCUCUUUCUUCGUUAACGGAUUUGGACCUAAGCAGAAACAAUCUCAGUACUGUUUUCGAUUGGCCAGAAGCAGUACUUAAUAAGCUCCCUAAACUAGUAGUAUUGGCCUUGGAGAACUGUAGUCUUCCUCCUCCUCCUCCUCCUCCUACUCUUUACAAAACAAAUUCUUCUACAUCUCUUGCGUAUGUUGAUCUCUCUGACAACCAUCUCACUUCUUCAAUAUUUCUUUGGUUGUCCAACUACAGUACAAGCCUUGUUGCUCUUGGCCUCUCCAACAAUCAUCUAUCUGGUUUCAUUCCCAAUUUCAUUGGAAACAUGAGCUCUCUUGUGGAUCUGGAUCUCUCCAACAAUAAUCUAACUGGUUUCAUUCCCGAUUUCAUUGGAAACAUGAGCUCUCUUGUGCAUCUGGAUCUCUCUGACAACCACAUUGAAGGAGCGAAUCCAAAUUCGUUUGCAAGGCUGUGUAAUUUGCAAACAUUGUCGCUUCAAACAAAUCAUCUGAGUGGACAAUUAUCCAAGUUUGUUCAACUAUUGCCUAGAUGUGCACAAAACUCGUUAAAGGAUUUGCAACUGUCUGAGAAUGUUCUUGCGGGGUCAUUAAACAAUCUUACAAGCUUCUCAUCUUUGGGAUUCUUGAAUCUUAGCGCCAAUCAAUUAAGCGGAAAAAUACCUGAAAGUAUUGGGCAAAUGUCCAAACUAUGGUGCAUCGAUUUCAGCAUGAACUCUUUGGAAGGGGUGGUUUCUGAAACUCAUUUCUCAAAACUCUCUGAUUUAUAUCAGUUGGAUUUAUCCUAUAACUCACUAGUUUUAAAUUUUCAUUCUGAUUGGGUUCCUCCCUUCCAGUUGAAUUACAUAUAUUUGGCCUCCUGCAAUGUCGGUCCUCUUUUCCCAAAAUGGCUUCAAACUCAAAAUGAUUCUUACCAUCUUGAUAUUUCUAAUGCUGGAAUUUCUGAUAUCCUUCCAAGUUGGUUUUGGAGUAAUUUUCGUAACGCGGAAAUUAUUAAUCUCUCACAAAACCAAAUAAGAGGAAUAGAAGGUUCAAUUCCCUCAAUUCCGUCAGAAGUCCAUCAUCUGGAUCUCUCUAAUAAUAACAUUUCAGGGUCGCUUUCUUUCCUAUGUGCAAGUGCAGAUAUGAGUUUAACAAUUCUUAAUCUUUCAAGCAACAGUUUUUCUGGAGAACUUCCAGAUUGCUGGAGCCAUUUGGAGACUCUAGUCAUGCUUGAUUUGAGUUACAAUGCUUUUUCUGGAAAAAUGCCCAUGACAAUAGGCUCUUUAUUUCAAAUGCAAACUUUGAAAUUAAGACGCAACCGAUUUGUUGGAGAAUUGCCUUCAUCGUUGAAGAACUGCGCAAGUUUAGAAGUUAUUGAUCUGGGAGAUAAUAAAUUAUCAGGACCAAUACCUGCAUGGUUAGGUGUGAGCUUCAAGAAUUUGGUUAUCCUUAUGCUUUCUACUAAUCACUUCAAUGGAAGCAUGCCCUCGCAAUUAUGCCAUCUAACACACAUUCAAAUUAUGGAUUUCUCUAUGAACAACAUCUCUGGAAGCAUACCCAAAUGCCUCAAAAAUUUGACUACUCUGGCUCAAAAAGGAAAUCCAAGUCUAUCCAGCACACGUAUUCAUGGCGGAAGUGAGGUUAAUGGGUCAAUUGCUCCUACUAAUUAUGACAAUGAUGCAAGCUUCAUAUGGAAAGGAAGAAUGCAGACAUACAAAAGCACUUUGGGCCUUGUGAAGAGAAUUGAUCUCUCAAGCAACAGAUUAACAGGGGAGAUUCCAGGUGAAAUCAUGCAUCUUGUUGGGUUGAUUUCUUUAAACCUUUCGAGAAACCAGUUAAUGGGUCAAAUAACUCCAGAGAUCGGAAACUUGGAGUCAUUGGAUUCGCUUGAUUUAUCAAGAAACCGGAUAGAUGGAAGAAUUCCGACAAGCCUUGCUCAGAUAUAUCGUCUUAGUUUCUUGGACCUGUCAUAUAACAACUUGUCUGGCAAAAUACCAACAGGCACCCAGCUCCAAAGCUUUGAUCCCCUUGAUUAUGCUGGAAAUCCUCAACUCUGUGGACCUCCACUUAAAAAGAUGUGUGCUGAUCAAAAUGAGCCAACUGACUUGAGCAAUGAAGAGGAUAAGGAUGAGUUUAUAACGCUGGGAUUUUACAUCAGUAUGGCGAUUGGAUUUGCUGUUGGAUUUUGGGGAGUUUGCGGCACUUUGAUAUUCAACAGGUCAUGGAGAUAUGCAUACUUGAAGUUCUUGAAUGGUUUAAAUGAUUGGCUCUAUGUGAAGAUAGCUUUGAGCAAGCGGCAACUGAAGCCAACAUAAACUUAAUAGAUAAGCUCGCCACGGUACUCUUUCUCUCUCAUCAUUAAUUUUGUUUUAUAAUUAUUUUUCUUAUUGCAUUUUUUCCUUUUCUCCAAACUGACGGGUAUUAAUUUGUUUACUUCGAUAUUUAGCUGCAGCAUCUAAAUUAGGAGAAAAGUAGCUGUAGCUGAAUGCUUCCUUUUAGUUCAAGUGAGGAAGAUUGCCAGUACGCGCAUGCACAGGUAUCUGGAGAAGAGUUUAUGAGUUAAUUUGGAGUGCUUAGUAGGAAUAAACGUGAUUUAUAUUGGUGUUAAUUACUUGUCAGAACAAUUAAUUCGGAGUUCUCCGAUUUAUGUAUUUUUUUUUUUUUUUGUUUAUUUAGAGAAAUAAACAGAUCCAUGCAGAUCCAAUCAUAACAUGGGCAAUUAUAAUUAUACAUGAAGAACACUGCCCCAGAGGACGGUUCUUGCAAACAAUAAAUCAUACAAAUAAGCAAGACAGUACAAUUAAAGCAAGAACAGUGAGCAAAAGCCAAGCUCACUCCGAUUAAUGUAUUAAUUCCAGCUAUAGUGUUAUUUUAAUUACCUAAGCCAAAGCCAAAGCAGACUUGAUUUCAAAUUACAAUGUGUGGCUCUGUUUUGGUCAUCUAUUUGCAACGUACAGCUUCUCCUUGUAAAUUGGGGGUCAGCUUCUCCUUGUAAAUUUGUGGCUCUGUUUUGGUCAUUCUUUCCUUUCAUAAUUCAACAUCUUGUUCUGGCCACAUGGUAGAAGAUGCCUUUUUGUAAACAGACUUUCUGUAUUUGGCCAGGCUUGCAAUGCUCUAUUUUGUGGAUUUUAAGAUUGUAUUAGGCUUACUUGUGAGCUGCAAAAUGCCUUGUACCAAAAUUUAUGUAUAAAAUGUGUGCUAAAUUGUGUGGAGUAGAAGAUUGAAGGUCUUCCUAGGCAAGCAAUCACAAGCAUUUUCUCUCUUUUCAAUUUGUAGAAAUGUUCAAGUUCUUGCCCAUUACUUGCAGAUAUAUAGUGUUGUAUAGCAUAAAGGCUCCAACAUAUGCAAUUCCAUCAAGGCCUGCAGGCCAAUCACUGCUUUCUCUUGGAUAUUACAAACAUUUGUAGAGCCAUAAUGAAAACUUGGUAGGCAAACCCAAAUACUCGCAUUGACCAUUUGCUUAAACUUGAUAGGCUAGCAAGGGGCUUGUAGCCCAAGCAAUUAAGAGCAUCUAUCUCUGAACUCGAGGUCCUAGAUGUGAUUCCGACAAACAAAAAACUUGGUAGGCCAGACCCAAAUGAACCUAGUUUUCAUAAACUUGUUUGUCAGCUUGAUAGUGGCUUAUUAGAAGUCCAAAUUGGUUGGGAAAGUAAUGUCCACCAAUUUUAGCAGAUACCCUUUUGGACAAUGUUGAACAGAGCACUUAACUUGAUUGUUAAUGACUAGGGCCCCUGAUAACAGAGAGAGAGAGAGAGAGAGAGAGAAGAGAGUUGAAGAAGAAAGAGAGUAUUUUUAGAGAGAUUUGUAUAUUGAUCUUUUCAUCAUGACUGAUUACAAUAAUGACUCUGUUAUAUACAGAGUUGAAGAAGAAACAUUCGGAUGAUCCCGGAAGCAAAUGAUCGACAAACGUCAAUGUGCAAUAUUGAACUUUGGGUUAAAGUAGCUUGAAUUCCACCAACAUCAUGACAUUGUACGACCUUUGUACUGAUGGAGCCCGGAAGCAAAUGAUCGACAAACGUCUAGAUCCAAGAACAAUCAAAUGAGAACGACAAACAUCUAGAUCCAACUUCCAAGAACAAGCAAAUGAUCGACAAACAUCUAGACCUAUUUAAUAAUGCAGUCCCGCUCACCUAAGGUCCUAAAAAUGAGGUCCUGUGAGGUCCUCUUUAAAAACGGCCCUUAAAUUAAUGUAACGGCCCAUAUCUUCAUUAUAAUGAAGGUGUUUGCUUUGAAUGUUCAACGGUAGAGUGGGAUGAGCCAGGGUGUUGUGGUAAACAGAACAGGGUUAGUUCAUGGGAAAUUGAGACUCACUGAAAAUUCAUAUUUCCUUCUCUGCCUUUGAGUCUUAAACGACCAUUACACUCUGUAUUCUUGGGUAAGUUUUUUAUUCUGUUUCCAAGCAGGGAAGUCUGUUACAUGCUUUUUUAAUGACUUUUUUGUGCUACUAGGAGCAGAAACUGAGUGGGGAAAUUUGAUUAAAAGACGAUACAUUCGGGUUCCUGAGAUUGGAAAUGGGAACUCUUUUCCUUACUCGAUUUCAAAUCUAUCUUUGGAACAGCUAGUCAAUAUGCUACUGAAACCUCAACUUGUUAAUCAUGCUUGAACUUUAGCUGCUCUACAACAGCAAUCGGCUGCUAAUGGAGAUUUAAUAGCAGAUAUGAAGACCAUGCAAGCCAAACUCAACCAAAAGAAUCCGGGUGUCUUUUCAGAAGGUAUAUCUCUACCGAAUCAAAACCCUCCCCAAUCAUCUAUGGAUCAAUCUGCUGCAAUAAACGUGAACACAUCUCAUGCAAUUCUACCAGGAAAGUUGAACAACCUAACAAAGUUUGGAAGUCAAACGCCCGUUGGAAAUAGUACUGACAAGACAAAAUUAGAUACUGAUUUUUCCGCAGAUCAAUUAAGCCAGUUGAAUUCUAGAGGACAGGGAAUUGAAGACAAAUUAGCUGCAGGGUUUGUAAGUCCCUAUAACCAUGUGAACCAGCUGACAUUUGCCAACCAAAACCAAAGUGCGGCGCAACUACAAACUAGCCCACGGCCCCUUUGGAAUCAUUACAGUACCACUCCCAACAAACUGAUAUGCCUCAUUUAGAUUUCAAUAGCACAAAUGGUUCGCUUCCAUUCCUAGACAAUGAUGAAUGCAUAUUUUUCCAGUCUUGUCAACCCUUUGCUGGGACACUUAGAUCACUGGGGCCUUUGUCUCUGUUUGAUUUGCAAGAUUCUUCAGCUGUUUUAACUGAAGCAAAUAAUUCCUCCCCAACUUCAAUUGGUCAGGAAAUGUGGGAUAAUAGCCUGAAUAAUUGUAGGCUCUUACCCCACGUGGAUCAGCUCACUUCAUCCCAUCGAGAUCCAGGUUGCCUUAAUUGUAUUUCUAACUCAAGCAGUCUAAGAGAUUUCUCAGAUGAGAGCAACAAUCAAAGUGGGAUUUACGGAACGUUGCUGUUGGUAGUGGUGUUAGCACUGUUAUUGACCUUUCUGUUUUCUACACUAAAGAAUGCAGAUUUCCACAACCCCUCAGAUUGCUUGGUUGGUAACCUGAGCUCGAGCCGGGAUCUUCAGUCUCAGUUUACCUCCGCCCGCCUAGGCGACUCCCAGGCUUUCUCCAGGCAAGACCAGGCAGACAACUCAGGCCAUGCUAACAAGCUAGGAUCAGAGGUCAUACAUAUUUGAGUGCUAAAAUACAUCAAAUAUUGAAUGCCUUAAUACAUUCAAGAAUACACUAUGAUUCCUUCAUUUCCUAACAAUUCAUUGUCCAGAGAACAGAACAGCUAAUAUCUCCUAAAGUAGAAAUCAAGAAAUAAAAUAGCUUUUAAAUUACACAACAGAUUCUACCCCCAGCUUGCUUGCAGUAACGAAAAUAAGCAAUUGAUGACGCCCUUAUUGCGACGUUGAAGGAAUUUCACGAGGAUGUUAAAAAGUAAUGAAGCCACACAAAUUUUGUGCACGUCAUGUCAAAAAUUAGCUCAAGUAAUUACAAGAUAUUCACAUUGAAUCCAUACAGAAAUACCAAAAGCAGCAGAUGACACACAUAUCAAGCACGUCGCUUACUAAGACGCCAAGAGUUAGGUUCAUGGUAUCUAUCAUAUAGCGGUUCAAUACGUUCUUGACGCUUGCGCUUGCUCAUCUUGGUGGGAUCUGCCACUUUGAAGAACCUGGGUGCCAGUUCCACAAGCCAUUUGGGGUCGACGACCGUCACCUCGCGCAUGUACUCCUUUGUGGUCAUAACCAGCUCAUGGUAGAUCACCCAAUCUGGUUGUCUCUGGAAGAGGGCGCUGCUUGGGUGUAUAUAAACUGGUUGGUUCUCCACUAGGGUUCUAUAACCCUCCUGCGGGUCCUUUCUAGCACCGUGGAAGAAAAACCCUGCUGUAAUUGCCUUCCUGAUCUUUGUAAAAUUCUUUCCAGCACUGACAACAUCUAGUUUAUACCUGAAAUUCACAAUCUAUAGUCAGAAUGCAAUUUCAUCUUCAAAUCAGAAUACUCAACUCAGAAAUUGUUGAUCACUGUUAUAAACUAAAGCAAGGGGUGCUAGUAGAGACAUUGGCAUGACAAUCUUUAUAAUAAUCUAUCCUAGAGCUUACAUGACAAUGCUAUGUCAAUCGAAGAAAUCUGUUAAUGGCGAUGGUAGGAUGUGUAAUAUGCCAUCUGAAUUUCCAUAUCAACUUAUAAAACAGUUUUGCAAUAUUUUGUACAAACAACACUUGACCAAGAAAAACAAUUCCAGUAUCAAAAUAACUAACAUGUCCGCACAAGAGAGCACAUUUGAAGAGCAUAUACUGGCAAUUUAGCUAUACACAAAAGGGUAGUUAUAAUUUAUAAAGAUACUAUACUUAACCACUGAAAAAAUGGUGGAAAAAAGCACUUCUGCUAAUAAUGCUCUGAAAACAGUGUAUGAGGUAACAUCAACAUGACAAUUCGUAAUGACCUAUUCGCUGCUCAGGUACCAUAUAUCUAGAUUUUAAAACACAAACUAGGCCUGAACAACAUUUCAGCAUUUCCGUCAAGUACAGACAGCAAAAGGCAUGCCCAAUUCACGACUACUACAAAAAUACAAUGUGCCAAACAUGAGCAAACCUAGAACAUUAAUCUACAUCUCUUAAAACCAUUCAUGCACACGUGAAACCAGAAAAAAAGAUCCAUACAACCACGAGUACGCAUCAAGAUAAAUUAGAAGAACAUACUUGUCCAUGAUGCUGAGAAGCUGUUUUCUGACAUCCUGUGCCCUCCUCAAGGAUCGAGACUGAACAAAAUUCUCAAAACACCAUGGCCCUGAAAAAUUCUUAGCUUUCCAUGCCUCAUAGACUGCAAGUAAAGUCAGAUGAUCUCCCUCUGGCUGGAAAAACUUGGCUCUCUUCUGAUCUGCCUGGGCUUGUUUUUCCCUAGGCCUGUAAAAAAUAUUACCAGUCUGAAUCAUUGCAAUGAUGAGCAAUAUGUAUAUGGCGGGAAGACGGCGUCGAAAAAUGGUUGAGAUGGGCGGAUUGUUCGUCGCUGACGGCUGGAGCGUUUCUGUUUCAAAAAUAAUCUCAACUGAGAGGAGGGAUUUUAGCGAUUAGGGUUGAGAAUUGAGUUGGAGUGCACCGGGCGUAUCGAUACGCCUAAAUUUGGAUCUGUGAAACUAGAGAAACUAAUAUAAUAAUAAUAUCAUUUAUCUUUCCAAAGGCAAAAAACUUGUAAGUAAAAAUUUAAUAAAUUACAGAGAAACUUUACUAAAUAGAAGAAUAUUAGGUUUUUUAAAAAGAUGAGGAAAAUUUUGGAAAAUAUAGUUAGUGGAGAUUUUUUUUUUUUUUUAUACAGACAAUAAUCUAGUUUUUUUAUUUUUAUAAUCAUUCUAGGCCUACUUUAAUUUUUAUUUUUUAACAGCUAAUAGGAUAUUGGCACAUGAGUUGAUCUAUAGUAUUUUUUUACUACUUUUUGUUAGGUUAUUUUUAAUUUAAAUAUUCACUAGCCUCUCUCCACGCGCUUCUGCGUCUGUGAGAGGCUUUUUUUAAAAAAAUUUGAAUUUAUUUUAGAAUUAAAAAAGAUAAUGAGUAGUUGUGUUCUAUAAAAAUAGGAUCCAUGAUCUGAUUUUUCUUUUAAUUUUAAUUUUUUUAAUAUGAAAAAGUGUGAAUUUACCAUAUUAUUCUCAUUUAAUUAAUAAUUUCAAUUCUUAAUGUUUGCAUUAAUCAAUGACAUUUUCUAGUAUUUUAAAUAUUUUAUCAUUCUCUAUCUUUUGCUUUGUAUAUAUGGAUAUAGAUAAUAAUAAAAUACUCCCUUUCAUUGAGAUAUUGUUAUGCUUAAAUCGUAUACACACCACAUUGUAUUGAAACGUUAUAGUGACUAAACUCUUCAAGUAUCUUGCAAUUAUCAGAUAAGGAGUUAGUAAUCACACAGGAAAAUAUUCAAUUUAUAUGUUUCUGGUUAUAAUAGUCAUGAUGCAUUUCACACCUUUGUUGGUCUAGUCAAUGCUGUUAUACUUCAGAAUUCAGAUAGAUAAAAAAAAAUGAAUCUUUUCACUUGUACUGUUUUUGCUCUCUUUGAUAUUUACUUUCUCAAUGAUUUUUUCAAGAAUAUCACUCACCAUGAAACGCACUGAACAAAACUCUAAAAUACAACUAUUCAUAUAUUGCUCGAACUUAAAUCGUUUUUUUCCUCCAAGCAUACAGACUCAAACACAACUUUAUUAAAUUGUUUAAAAUGGUUAAUUCCUAAUUUGUUUUGCCAUUAAGUUUUCUUGAUGAUUUUUUUGUUUAAACUUUCGUGAUUUAAUUUUCUAAUUAUUUUAACCUUAAAAAAAUUUAAAUUCCAAAACAUAAUGUAAUUCCACACUUAAUUGGGGUUUUCUCUUCAACAAGAAUGAAAGGAGAAUUACCAAAAUUAACAAAGUGAUGAACAAAAAAUAAUUUUGGUGGAUUAUUAUCGCGUUUGGAGUGAGUUUUGGUGUUUGAUUUGAUUUUGAUUAUUUAAUAAUACUAUUUUGGCCAUUGGAUUUGAUUUUGAGACAUUGGAAUUUUUUUUUUGGUACAGUUGGAUUUGCUCAAAUUAAAUCUUAGCCGUUAUAUAUAACGAUAGAAAUUAAAAUUGGAAAAGAAAACAAAACAGUAGUUUGAAGGAAGCCGUUGGAUUCCUACGAUCCUUUCAUUCCAGCUCGUUAUGUGUCCUGACGACACGGGCCCCACGUCUUCUCAUCCAUUAAUCCCAACUCAAUGAACUUCCUUUUCAAACCCAACAAAAAAGAAAAAAAAAAAAAAAAACAGCGAUCUGAUUUGAAUGCUCUUCUUUAUCAUGCAUUUUGUCCAGGAUAGGGGACUGAUUUUCCAGGCCAAGUGGGCAAAACAGUAGAGAUUUUAAAAUCAACUUUCCGAACGUAAAAUUAAAGUGGCGCGUUUAUGAAAAAGUUUCCCUCCCAUUUCCUCCCACUUUUCCCCCUCCCCUAGAAGAAUACCGGUAUAUAUUUUUCAUUUUCGGAAUUUCCAUUUUCUCUCAACUCAAACGUCAUUUGCUCGUCAUCCUCCUCCUUCAAUCCAACCACAGCCAUUUUUAGCUCGAAUCUUCUAAAACUACUACUUCGUUGUAAUUGGAUAUUAUUGAUUUUAUGGGUAGAGAGCGAGGUUAUGUUGAUGACGAUAUUGAUGAAAGUAAGUUCAAGACUUCGGAAGCAAUGAACCGCUACAAGAAAAUCUUCAGUGUUCAAGCUGUGACGGUUGAGCGGGAGGUCAAAUUGAGUGACUUCGAGGAUCUUGGGCUUCCCAGAAUCUUCAAAUCAAGAGGUUGGCUUUUGGCAAUGGGUCCUUCAGAGCCUGCUAAUAUCCAGAUUGUCCAAGAAUUCUACGCAAACAUUCCUCCUUUCUCCGCCGAGCAGAAAACCCCACCUGGGUUGGGCCCUUUUGGUUCUUGUUUGUGGGAUGAGACUCUGCAUUUCUCUAGCGGUCGAGAAUACCCUGACUCAUUUGAUGUGUAUUUGCGAGGUAAGGUGUUGAAUUUCUCUGUUUCUGGCAUUGCCCAGUUGCUUAAACUUACUAGGCCAAACCCAAAUGAAAAAUCACCUGGUUUUCCUGGGCUUGUUGUUGAUAAUCUUGACUUGAAGGUGGUGAAAUCUACUUUGGGUUGGAACAAGAAGGUCAGGGUUUUGCGUGAAAAUCGACUGAGUGAUUUGUACAAAGUGCUUAACAGCAUAGUGAGAUAUAAUAUCGAUCCUCCUUGUCACGUUAUCCCUUCUUUGCUUAGCCCUGAUAGAGCUCGCCUUCUUUAUGCCAUUGGGAACAAUGUACCUAUUGAUCUGGCCACCUACAUUUUUCGUGCCAUCUGCCGUGCUGCAUUCCCAACUUCCAUGCCCGACUCCCUGCCUUUUACUUCCUUGAUCACACGCUUCGCCAUGGCUUCUCACGUGCCAGUUGAGCCUACAGAUAAGCUUUAUUCUCCUUGGUCGCCUUUGGACAACGUGGAUGUUUUUGGCUAUAGCUUUACUCCAUCUUCUCCGGCAGUCAAGCAACCUCAAGCGGUGGUGAGCCACACGCCCAGUAUGGCCAUACUUACCAAUGGCGUUGCUGAGAACAGGGGCGAUGUGCACCCCGUUUCCACCCACUCGGUCAUCCCACCUUCUUCGAAACAGCCAUCUGCAGGUCAGUCAAAUGUUAAUAGACAGACGUUAACAACAACAAAUGUAAUUUUCCUUAGAUUACACUUGGACAUUCAGCUUAUUACUGUAAAAUGCAUAGGCCCUUAUUGUUUUUAAGUGCAGGUGGUAAAAAUUUCCGGGGGUUUUCGUUGGUAGCAUCAUAGUUAGUAACAGAGUUGAACUUAUAGUAAGCAAUUAGGCAUCAAACAUGGCACGUUUCUGUGAUUAGUACUUAUGUCCUUCAAUUGUGUAUAUAUUGUUUGCAUGGUAAGUGGAAACCUUUAGAAGAUAAGCUCUCUGUUUGAAAUCACAUCUGUAUUCUUUUAAGGUUUGGUGUGAAGGAUAAACCAUGAAGUAGUCUACUAAUGCGAUAAUGGCUUAUAUUUUCACAUUUUCCUGUCUUCGUUGCCUCUGUUCUUGAAAACGUAUAAAGUGAUGGAGAGGUCUUAUUAUUUUUGGAAAAUUUUACAAUGUUCCCACAUCCCUGUAAUCUGUAUUUGACAUUGUACAUUGAUAAUAAAAUGAACGACUCGGAUACUUCAUGUGACAAUGAGGUAUGAACUUCAUCACAUUUUGUCUCUUUAAGGUUAUAAUAGUCUCGAUGCAUUUCACACCUUUGCUGGUUUAGUCAAAGCUGUUAUACUUCAGAAUUCAGAUAGAUUAGAAUCAGAUGAUUGCUUUCUCUCUGCUUGUUACCAAAUACUCUGUCAGUUUAAUAUCUUUGUGUGUAAACAAUAUAAGAAAAACGAAUCUUUUCUCUUGUGCUGUUUUCGCUCUCUUUGAUAUUUACUUUCUCUCUGUGCUUGUGCUGAAGAAAUAAUGGAGGCUGAAGAAGAAAAUAACAGCAAUUUGAUUCCUAACUCGCAUGCUUGUAUAAAUCCGUUAACUUCAACUUCUGACUCGCAUCCAAAUAAGAAAGUGAAAAAAGAUCCAUUGGAACAUGCAGCUGGUGAGGUGUCAAAGUUACUGCAGGAGUUUUUGGCAAGUCAAAUGAAACUACUAGAUUGCAANNNNNNNNNNNNNNNNNNNNNNNNNNNNNNNNNNNNNNNNNNNNNNNNNNNNNNNNNNNNNNNNNNNNNNNNNNNNNNNNNNNNNNNNNNNNNNNNNNNNAAGACAAAGUGGAUACUCUUACUAAUUAGUCAAUCUGAAGGUAACUUUCUUGAUAAAAAUUGAGCCAAUAGCUCAGGGGAUAUAAAAUAGGUCUUAGACAUAAAGCCACUUAUCAACAUUUACUUUCUCUCAGGAAAAGAAGAAAGUUUGAGAUACGCUAUCCCUUCUGGCCAUGGUAUGGCUCUCUCUCUCUCUCUCUCUCUCUCUCUGUCUCUCUCUGUGUCUCUCUCUCUCUGUCUCUCUCUCUCACUUGUUAGCUAUGAAUUACAUGCUUCAAGAACAUAACUUAUAAUCCAUUCAAGUUUUCUUGUUUUAUGUUUUGAAAGGAGCUUUUAGGGUUCAAUUAUGUGGUUCAACUGAGAGAUUUGAACUGAAAUAUCCCAAUUGUAAAUCCUUCUACUCCAAAUUAAAGAGAAAAAGAAAAGUAUGAACCAAUUGGACAGAAUAUACUUGCACAUACUCCCUCCUUGAAUGAGUUUCAGUAAGAAAGCUAGUGUAGCCAAUUGGACAGAAUUUACUUGCACAUACUCCCUCCUUUGAUGUAGUUUCCAAGUGCAUCACCUUAUGAUACCUCUUCAUGUUUUCAAUUAGUAUUGCCUUGUGACAUGCCAAUUUUCUUCAAUGAUUAUAUACAGGGAGCAGAGUGGCCAAUUCUUUCCUUUCAUAAUUCAACAUCUUGUUCUGGGCACAUGGUAGAAGAUGCCUUCUUGUAAACAGACUUUUUGUAUUUGGUCAGGCUUGCAAUGCUCUAUUUUGUGGAUUUUAAGAUUGUAUUAGGCUUACUUGUGAGCUGCAAAAUGCCUUGUACCAAAGUUUAUGUAUAAAAUGUGUGCUAAAUCUUGUGUGUGGAGUACAAGAUUGAAGGUCUUCCUGGAAAAGCAAUCACAAGCAUAUUCUCUUUUCAAUUUGUAGAAAUGUUCAAGUUCUUGCCCAUUACUUGCAGAUAUAUAGUGUUGUGUACCAUAAAGGCUCCAUCAUAUGCAAUUCCAUCAAGGCCUGCAGGCCAAUCACUGCUUUCUCUUGGAUAUUACAAACAUUUGUAGAGCCAUAAUGAAAACUUGGUAGGCAAACCCAAAUACGUGCAUUGACCAUUUGCUUAAACUUGAUAGGCUAGCAAGAGCUUGUAGCUCAAGUGGUUAAGAGUAUCUAUCCUUACACUUGAGGUCCUAGAUGUGAUUCCCUCCUCCCAAUAUCGCUUGUAACCAAAAACAAGCAAAAAAACUUGAUAGGCCAGACCCAGAUGAACCUGGUUUUCAUAAACUUGUUUGUCAGCUUGAUAGUGGCUUAUUAGAGUCCAAAUUGGUUGGGAAAGUAAUGUCCACUAGUUUUAGCAGAUACCCUUUGGGAAAGUGUUGAACAGAGCACUUCACUUGAUUGUUAAUGACUAGGACCCCAAGGGUAUGUUCUUGGUAUGUUACCUUAGGCCUAAAACAACCCUUUUGUUGUGAUGAACUUUGAAAGGUGACCAAGAACAUACAAAAUUUUGUUCAUUAAGCCAUAGUGUAAGCUGAGAAUGAAGAAGGUGGAAAAAUAAGGCACAAAUGGAAAGAUAGCUUGCAUUCUUCUUAUUUUUAACAGACUUUUAUAUAUACCCUACAAUGUAAACUAGAAAAUAAUUAUAUAAAAUAAUGAAAUUCCAAAACUCUUUUGGAUCUGAAAGUCUAAACGUUUUCAUUUCUUCAGUUUUCCUCUCACUCUUUGGUUCUCCAUCAAUUUAUUUUUCAUCAUUCUCUCAUCUCAUCCCUCCUUUACAUGUAUGCAAUCAUUGUAUAUUAAAUUAGGAGAAGCGAGGAGAUGAGUAGAGCUGGGUUCAGGGUUGGUGACAAAGAAAAUGAAAUCAAUCAAUGAUGGAGAUAGAUGUCCAAAGAAAAAUAUUUUGAUGAAGUAGAGAAAUUGUAUUUUUGGGAAGAGUUGAGUGUCUAGAGAAUGGUGAGAAUAAAAAUAGAAACCCAUUGAAACACCGAGUGUAAACAGAAUUCUUGGUAAUAUGAAAUUUCUCUUUCACAUUCAAGCAGUCAAAUCACAUGAAAAGUUUUUGAAGGAACUAUGUUGUAACUACUCUUAACCACUUGAGCUAUACGUGUCAAGUUAGAUCUUCAAUAAUGUAGUAACACACUCUUCAAUAAUGUCUCACAAUGUUAGAUCUUUCAUAGUGAAAAUUAAAUUGAAGAGUGAGAAAGUGAUUUCUAAGAGCAACUCCACCGCUCUACACAAAACCGGGCAAAAGGCUGCCCUUGCAAGCCCAACACCCUCUAGCACGCAAGAUUGAGCCCGGGCAAUCAGUGGGUCCCACCAACCUGGGCAGGCCCAAAGGCAAUUCUCGCAUGGGCUUUAGCCCGAGGGUGGUGACAUCAGCGCACGGUAAUUCAAAUUUUUUUUACCAUUGGCGCGUGAAUUACACGCGCCAACGGUAAAAAAAAUUUGACUUCCGCGCGCUGACGUCACCAUGACGUCAGCCCUGACAGACCCCAACGGCCAUUUGACAAGUGUCGCAACCGGGCUUCUCCGAUGGGUUUUUUUCCAGAAAUUCGACGGUCAUUUCAAAAAAAUUCGAAAAAAUUCUGAAAUUUUUUUUUUUUAAAUACCAAAAUUUUUUGUAUUUUUUCACUAUAAAUACCUAACCAUUUUAUUUACUUUCCACACUAAAUCUUCAUACAAUUUCUUCUCCAUCCAAUAUUUUUUACUCUCCACUCACAUUAUUCACUUCCCACACCAAUUCUCCAAACAAACUCUUCUCCUUCCAAUAUUUUUUACUCUCCACUCAUAUUUUUCUACUACUUUCCAUUUGUAUAUAAAAAAUAAAAAAACAAAUGGCAUCUUCUGUCGAAACCAGAGGCUCGUGGUCAACUCAGGAAGAUAUUGCAUUGUGUCAGUCUUAGGUGAACGUUAGUCAUGACCCUAUCACGGGCAAUGAGAUGAAGUUCCAUCAUAUGUGGAGCAAAAUUCAUGGAGAAUUUUGUCAAAGAUCGGGUUCCAUUCGGACCGAAAUGGCCUUGUCUAGUAGAUGGAAACUUCUGAAUAAAGAGUUAGGAAAAUGGAGAAAUGCCUUGACAAAAACAAGGGAGAACAUUCGAAGCGGUCAAAAUCUAUCCGAUGAGGUAAAAUAUUUAUAAUUGUCAUUUUAAUAAAUUUAAUGUAAUUUUUUUUUAUUGCAUAUUCUAUGUCUUUUUGUUGCAUAAUCUUUUUUUUUUUCUUUUUGCAUUUCCUAUUUGUCUAUAUUUUCUUGCAUAAUCAAUUUCAUUCUUGCAUUUCAAAAUAGUUUAUAUUUUCUUGCAUAAUAAUUUUUUUUCUUGCACUUCCAAUUAUUUAUUUUUAAUAGAUCAUACAAGCACAAAUGUGGUUCGGUGCCAUGGGGCAAGGCAAAAAAAGUUUCGUGCAUUACCAAUGUUGGGAAGUUGUGAAGGAUUGUUCAAGAUUCAAAAUUAUUCCCACCGAUCCAACAGUUGUGUUGAAUGAGACGCCGCUUCACGAUUCACCAUCAACCGAUUCGCCAUUGGACUCCCCAAUGGAAACGGAGUCACCACUCCCACGUCCGCCAAGACCUAUUGGGAGAAAGGCGGCAAGGGCCAAGAGAGGGGGCACUUCAAACAAUGAAUGUAUACAAUUAUUGGAGCAAAUAGCUAAGAACACUUCACUAAGAAUUGAGAGAGACUUGAAAAGAGAUGAAGUGGACAAGGCACGAGAGGAAGCAUUUGUAAUUCAAUAGCAGCAGGCACAAGACAAAGACAUGGAUGAUAGAGAGAUGAAAAUCAUGGUCAUGGAUACGAGCCAUAUGUCUCCUGAAACAAAGGCCUAUUGGAAGCAUAGACGAAGGGAUGUGAUGAGAAGAAAACUUUUCCAUGACGACGGACCUAGCAAUACGGAUUGGUUAAAUGAUGAAAACCAUUAGGUUUUACUGAAACACCUUUGCCAUAUGUUGUAUUGUUGUAUUGUUGUAUUAUCCUUUAAUUUAUUGUAUUGUUUCCUUUUCAUUAAAUAAAAAAAGUAUUAAAUAAUAUGACUAUUUAUUAAAAACAUUUGAGCAUCAAAACAAAGAUUAAUUAAAAACAAACCUUAAUUUAUUGCAAACAAUACACAAAAUAAAUCAUACAUAAAAGCAUAAUAAUAAUAAAAAAGAUAGAGAUGGUGUAGUUUUAUAGAGGGAUUCAGAAGAUAGAAAUGACACGUUGCACAAUUUUAGAGGAUGAAAAUCUUAUCUGAAAUAUGAGAUUAUAAUUUUUUAAAAAUAUCUGAAAAUCUUAUCUAACAGAGAUAACACUUGACACAAUUUUAGAGGGUGAAAAUCUUAUCUGAAAUAUGAGAUUAUGAUUUUUUUUAAAUAUCUGAAAAUCUUAUCUGACAUGAGACAUGUGGCACAAUUUUAGAGGGUGAAAAUGUUAUCUGAAAUCUGAGAUUAUAAUUUUUUUUAAUGAAUAUCCGAAAAUUUUAUCUGGAAUAAGACAUGUGGCAACCAAGAUUCUCAUCCGAAAAUCUUUUCUGAAAAAUAAUAGACACGUGACAAUCAAAAAUAUUAUCCGAAAAUUUAAUUACAAAAGAUUAUCAAAAUUAAUAGUUUAAAGUAUAAAAAAAAUAGGAAAUAAAGUACAAUGAAUAGUAUUUGCCUUAGACUUGCCCUAGACUUAGCCCUCAUGGGUGGAACCACAAAUGGCAAGGCUGCCACUAUUCAUGCGAAUAGUGCCAGCCCUUGCUUGCCCUUGCCCUAGACUUAGCCCUUAGAGCAUGUCCACCGCAGCUCUUCUAGCCAGGGCAAGAGGCCCAUUUCUUCACUUUUGGACCUCCAGCGCAGCGCCUGCAGCCUGGGCAAGUCCUGGGUCCCACCAGCCUGGGCAAGCCCAAGGGCAGAUUUUGCCUGGGCUUCAGCCCGAGUUUGCUGAUGUCAGUGGUGAUGUCACGCUGACAUCAGCGAGUCAAAAAAAUUGAAAAAAAUUGAAAAAAAAUCAAAAAAUUUUUUUAAAAAAAACCAAAAAAAUUAUGGAUGUUUUCCCUAUAAAUACAUAACAAUUUUAUUCACUUUCCCUAUAAAUACAUAACAAGUUUAUAUUUUGUUGCAUAUUCUUUUAUUUUUCUUGCCCUUGCCCUAGCCUUUUGGGGUGGAACCAAAAAAGGCAAGGCUGCCACUAUUCAUAUGAAUAGUGGCAGCCCUUACUUGCCCUUGCCCUUGCCUUAGCCCUUAUGGGUGGAGAUGCUCUUAUGGGUGAAGUUGCUCUAGUCACGUGUCCAUUGUUUUCAGAAAAGAUUUUCGGAUGAGAAUCUCGAUUACCACGUGUCUUAUUCCAGAUAAAAUUUUCGGAUAUUCAUUAAAAAAAAAAUUAUAAUCUCAGAUUUCAUAUAACAUUUUCACCCUCUAAAAUUGUACCACGUGUCCCAUGUCAGAUAAGAUUUUCAGAUAUUAAAAAAAAAUUAUAAUAUCAUAUUUCAGAUAAUAUUUUCACCCUAUAAAAUUGUGCCACGUGUCAUCUCUGUCGUAUAAGAUUUUCAAAUAUUUUUUUUAAAAUUAUAAUCUCAGAUUUCAGAUAAGAUUUUUAUCCUCUAAAAUUGUGCCACGUGUCAUCUCUAUCUUUUGAAUCCCUCUAUAAAACUACACCAGAGGCCUCAUACCUCUCACACCAUCUCUUAUCUAUUCCUUCAUUUCUCAGAUUUUACAAAACACAUUCUACUCUCAAUGUCAAACUUGAGGAGGGUGUUAGAGAGGCAACAGAAAGAAAGGGAAGAAAUCCGGCGUAGACGUGCUGAAGAAGAUCGGGACGCCGAUGAAGAAGAGGAACAAAUGCUUGCAGUAGCGGUGUGUAUGCUUAAUCAAUCAAGACAACACCGUCGUCCUCGUGCCCCAAAUGUGGACAGACGUAGAGAGUCUCGGGGUAAGAAUCUCUUGGAGGAUUACUUUAUCCCAAAUUCGUUAUAUCCUGCUCAUAAGUUUCGAGAGAGAUAUAGAAUGCCGCCACAUUUGUUUCAAAAAAUCAUGCAUGAUAUUUAUAAUUACGACACAUACUUCAUUCAAAAGCAUGAUGCUGUUGGAGUUUUGGGUCUUAUCCCGGAGCAAAAACUUACAGCUGCUUUGUGGAUGCUUGCUUAUGGGGCAUCUGCAGAGUAGGUGGAUGAGAUUGCAAGGAUGAGAAAAUCAACUAUCCUAGAGUGUUUGGUGAGAUUCUGUGAUACAGUGGAAAAUUUGUACACGAGGGAGUACCUUUGCAAACCCACGCCGAGGGACCUGCAAAGGUUGCUACAAAAAGCAGAGGCUCGAGGUUUCCCAGGCAUGAUUGGAAGCAUUGAUUGCAUGCACUGGCAGUGGAAGAAUUAUCCUACUGCUUGGCAAGGAGACUACGGGAAUCGAAAGGGCCAAAAAAGUAUAAUCUUGGAGGUCGUAGCUUCAUUCGACUGUUGGGUUUGGCAUGCCUUCUUUGGGGUUGCCGGAUCUCAGAAUGACCUGAAUGUCCUUGGUCAAUCCCCGGUGUUCGACGAGGUAUUGCGAGGUCAUUCCCCCCAGGUCACGUACCAAAUCAACAAUACCGUAUACUCUGGUGCGUACUACCUUGCCGACGGAAUUUAUCCUAGGUGGACGACAUUCGUGAAAACAAUUCCGAAUCCCCAAUCCGAGAAGGAAAGAAACUUUGCUUCCUUUCAAGAAGGUUACAGGAAAGACGUGGAAAGGUGUUUCGGUAUCUUGCAAGCUCGUUGGGCAAUUAUCAGGGGUGCUGCUCGGAUGCUAGACGAAGAGGUGCUGAGGAGUAUUAUGAUGACUUGCAUCAUCCUCCACAACAUGAUUGUGGAGGAUGAGUAUGACUACGAUGCUCCAGAGGUGUUUGAACCCGAUCCCAUGAACACGGCAUUGACAAGAAUAUAUGAAAGGCCGAUGGGACCAAAUGGACUACCAAUGGAGCCCGAACCGUUAGUUCGGGAUGGUCGAUUCAACAACUCCAUGAUUGACCGUUAUGAAGAAAUGCAAUCUUCAUAUGUUCACGAGAGACGUCAAGUUGACUUGAUCGAGCACUUGUGGGAGAUGAAAGGCAAUCACAAUGGAUGAAGUCAAGAUUAGUGCUUUGUUUGGAAUUAUGCUUUGUUUUUUAUUAUGCUUUAUUUUGUGUGUGUUGUUUUAUUGGAAUUAAUGCUUUGUUUUUUAUUAUUAUUAUGCUUUUGUGUAUGGUUUGUUUUGUGUGUUGUUUACAAUAAAUUAAGGUUUGAUUUUAAUUAAUCUUUGUUUUGAUGCUCAAAUGUUUUUAAUAAAUAGUCAUAUUAUUUAAUGCUUUGUUUAUUUAAUGAAAAGGAAACAAUACAACAAAUUAAGGAUAAUACAACAAUACAACAAUACAACAAAUUAAAGGAUAAUACAACAAUACAACAAUACAACAUAUGGCAAAGGUGUUUCAAUACAACCUAAUGGUUUUCAUCAUUUAACCAAUCCGUAUUGCUAGGUCCGUCGUCAUGGAAAAGUCUUCUUCUCAUCACAUCCCUUCGUCUAUGCUUCCAAUAUGCCUUUGUUUCAGGAGACAUAUAGCUCGUAUCCAUGGCCAUGAUUUUCAUCUCUUUAUCAUCCAUGUCUUUUUCUUGUGCAUGCUGCUGUUGAAUUGCAAAUGCUUCCUCUCGUGCCUUGUCCACUUCAUCUCUUUUCAAGUCUCUCUCAAUUCUUAGUGAGGUGUUCUUAUCUAUUUGCUCCAAUAAUUGUAUACAUUCAUUGUUUGAAGUGUCCCCUUUCUUGGCCUUUGCCGCCUUUCUCCCAAUUGGUCUCGGCGGACGUGGGAGUGGUGACUCCGUUUCCAUUGGGGAGUCCAAUGGCGAAUCGGUUGAUGGUGAAUCGUGGAGUGGCAUCUCAUUCAACACAACCGAAGGACCGGUGGGAAUAAUUUUGAAUCUCGAACAAUCCUUCACAACUUCCCAACAUUGGAAAUGCACGAAACUUUUUUUGCCUUGCCCCAUGGCACCGAACCACAUUUGUGCUUGUAUGAUCUAUUAAAAAUAAAUAAUUGAAAGUGCAAGAAAAAAAAAUUAUUAUGCAAGAAAAUUAAACUAAUUUGAAAUGCAACAAUAAAAUUAAUUAUGCAAGAAAAUAUAGACAAAUUGGACAUGCAAAAAGAAAAAAAAAAUUAUGCAAGAAAAAGAAAUAGAAUAUGCCAAAAAAAAAAAGUUACAUUAAAUUGAUGAAAAUGGUAUUAUAAAUAUUUUACCUCAUCGGAUAGAUUUUGACCGCUUCGAAUGUUCUCCCUUGCUUUUAUCAAGGCAUUUCUCCAUUUGCCUAACUCUUUAUUCAGAAGUUUCCAUCUACUAGACAACGCCAUUUCAGUCCGAAUGGAACCCGAUCUUUGACAAAAUUCUCCAUGAAUUUUGCUCCACAUAUGAUGGAACUUCAUUUCAUUGCCCGUGAUAGGGUUAUGACUAAUGUUCACCCAAGAGUGACACAGCGCAAUAUCUUCCUGAGUUGACCACGAACCCCCGGUUUCGACAGAAGCUGCCAUUUGUUUUUUUUUUUUUUUUUUUUUAAUACAAAUGGAAAGUAGUAGAAAAAUGUGAGUGGAGGAUAAAAAAUAUUGGAAGGAGAAGAGUUUGUAUGGAGAAUUGGUGUGGGAAGUGAAUAAUGUGAGUGGAGAGUAAAAAAUAUUGGGGAUGGAGAAGAAUUGUAUGAAGAUUUUGUGUGGAAAGUAAAUAAAAUGGUUAGGUAUUUAUAGGGAAAAAAUACAAAAUUUUUUGGUAUUUUUUUAAAAAAAUUUCAGAAUUUUUCAGAAUUUUUUUAGCAAAAAAAACGAGGAUCGUCGGAUUUCUAGAAAAAAAUCCAUCGGAGUGUCCCUGGCGCGACACGUGGCUUUUUACCGUUGGUUGCUGUCAGGGCUGACGUCAGCGCGCGGAGUUUAAAUUUUUUUUUANNNNNNNNNNNNNNNNNNNNNNNNNNNNNNNNNNNNNNNNNNNNNNNNNNNNNNNNNNNNNNNNNNNNNNNNNNNNNNNNNNNNNNNNNNNNNNNNNNNNGAAAUGGAUUUUGUGAAGUAACCCAUCAUACACUGGUCAUGGAUCCGUAUGAAUCCAUGUGUGAAGUUGAUUUUCUUAAGCAUCAAAUGGGCAAAAGUAUGCUCUGAUGGAGUAACCAUUAUUUGUUUCUGAUAGGAUCAUGACAGUGUGCAUUCCCUUUUCCUUUUCUCCUGCAUAUUUUAUUUGUUUCUUUAUUGGUAAUUACUCCAAAUUGAAUGAUUUUGCGUUGGAAUUCUGUAGAGCUUGAAAGACAUUUCUGGAGAAGAGAAGCUGAAGAUCAAACCAUGCUCUGUUGUAUGGCCAUGAGGUAAAAAAAAUUUAAACUCCUCGUGCGCUGAUGUCAGCAUUACGUCAUCCAACUCGGGCUCAAGCCCAGGCUGAAGUUGCCCUUGGGCCUACCCGGGCUCGUGGGACCCAGCUGCUGCCCGGGCUGUCUUCCUCGCGUUGGAGCGACUUCGGGCUCGCCUAGGGGCCCUUUCACCCGGUUUGGGUCAUGCGCUGGGCUCGCUCUAAAGAGCUAACAUCAAAAGACCCUUAAAAGUAUGUGAUCAUUCUCAAUAUGGACCCCCAUAUUUCAAUUUCAUUAUUUUACUCCCACGGUUUUCAAAUUUGCUCAAUUUACUUUCCGUUAAAUUCACCGUUUGAUUAGACAUUAACUGCUAACGUGUCUACUGUGAGACAUAGCCACUUAUCAAUCCCCAUCCCAUCUAACAUGUAAUUAAACAAAAACUAAAUAUAUAAUAUUUAAAAAAAAGAAAAAAAAAAAAAGAGGCAUAUAGCCUUCCCCAUCCCUCUCACCGACGCACAGUCGCACCACCCGAUCCCCCUCCCUUUCUUCGUCCUUUGUAUCUCUCUCUCUCUCUCUCUCUCUCUCUCCCUCUCCGUCCCUUUCUCCCCCAUCCCAUCUUCUCGAGUUCUCUGAUAUCCCCCCCCUUUCGCGAUCUACCUCUCCUUCGAGAGGCUUCUCGAGUCCAGGCCCUGCGAUGCCGAUCAGACCGAGCUCAUCGAUCGCUCUCUCCAAUUGGGCUCUGUGCUCCUCGAGGCUGCUAAUCGUUCUGCGAGAAAACCAGCCUCCAAGCACAACUCUCUCACCUGUACUCUCCCCCCAAACCCCCCUCCAAGCACAAUUUGUAUAUAUUGAUAGGGAUGGGGAGCUGGGAGGAGAGUGGGACGGAGAGAGAGAGUGGGGGACGAAGAGAGGGAGAGUGCUCUGGUGGGGAAGAGGCAGGUGCGCCGCUAUCACGAACACAUUCAGACCACGAGCUGACGCAAGUUGAAAUCAUGCUUCUCUGUUUUUCUAGUUCUGUAGUCGCCGCUAAUCAUGCUGCUUUGAUUUUCCAUUGAUGUUUGCUUUGUUACUCUCAAAAAGUUUCCUUCCUUUAUUUAUUUAUUUAUUUCGAUAAUGAAAUUUGAAAUUUGAAUUGUGUGUUGCUUUGUUACUCUCAAUAAAUCUUCCUUCUUUUUCUUUUUUCUUACAGGAAUUGGGUUUUGGUGUUUCACCGACGAGCUGACGCCAGAGAGAGAGGGAUGGGGUUGGUGUGGGUGCGAGUGGGGGGCUGAACAAGGGGUGCUGGGUUUGUUGGGCUGAGGAGGGGCUGGGAUUUUUUAAGGUAUUUUUUUAAAUUUGAUUUAAUUUUAUCAUUUUAUAUAAAUUGUUUAGGAACUGAUUAGUUAGUGGGUGGGUCCCGAUUGCCCAUAUUGAGAAUGACCCCAAACGUUUUUUGAUGUUAGCUCAUUUCUAAAUUUGUAGAGUGAGGGAGUGACCACAGUUUUGAUAUAUUGGUGUCUAUUUUUAUUGGAGCUGAUUUUGUUUGCCUAACCUUACCAACACUCAGGGUAGAUUCCUGGUAAAUAAUAUUGCAACUCUUGCGCUUUUAGAAAUUGUGUGUAUAGUUUUGAGAAAUAGUACUAGAGAAACUAACUUUUAAGAUAUAUCAACUGAUGUGGCAGUGUUUUAAUUUUAGAACUUAUUUAUUCAUAAUAAAUAAGAUAUUGUCAUAUAUUAGUUGACACUUAAAAGUUGGUGUAUCUCUAGUACUACUGUGGAAAACAACACACAAAAUAAGAGUAAGACAAAAGAAAACUAAUAUUACACAAAAUGGGUCAUGUAAUUUUAAUAUAAAAUUGCUACAAACUCUUGUCAACCCUGGAAAGUUCAGUCCAAGUGGACGAGACAUGCUCUCUCUUAUUAAAAAUGCUAUACAUGUACACCAUGCUUUUGUCCUCAAAUUUGGACUCGUUAUACAGUAUAGACUACUUUAUUUAUAUACUUGGCUAAGAGUUCGAUUAUUUUCCUCCCCUUCUCUUAAAUGGAAAUCAUCUCUAGUUCUUUUCACCCCUAACAACAUAUGGAACUGCUGAGUUCAUAACUUUUCUAUUGUUUAUCUUUUAAUGCAUACAAUUAUAUCUUGGUUUUUUACUGGGUAAUUCAAAACUUGGAAACUCCUUCGACGACUUUACAAAAAAGGAUUUAGGUUUUUUUUGCUAAAAAGUCAGUAUAGUAUGAAUACCUAUUUGAUACGAUAUAGGUUUUUUUUUUUUUAAUUUAAAAAUUUAUUGAAAGGAUUUUUAAUUAUUUGUAUUGGCACUAUUAAUUUUGCCACAAAAUUCUCAGAGGUUUAAUAAUUUGCUUUUACAAAUACCAUGAUCGUUUUCAGAAAUCUCUCUUUCUGGAGGCAGAUUCCAGAGCCGUUUAAGGGAAAUUCGUAGUCGAGCUACCGAUGUUCAUGAUAAGGAAAAGGGAAUCAAGAUUACUGAGAAGGAUUGGGAAAAGUUGAAUGUACAAUUGCUUCAUACAACAAUUUUCCUACUGCUGCUGGAUUGGCUUCCUCAGCAGCUGGUUUUGCAUGUCUUGGUAACGGAUAAUACCCUAUUUUGGAUCAUAUUAUUGUUAAUUUGUUAUAUGAUUAGUGCCUUAACUUUGAGAACUCAUGACUCUGUUAAUAAUGUUACUUGGGUACUGGAUUAAUCAUUCUUUGCCAAUAGAUAGUAGUUAAGCAAUGAGCAUAUCAUAGCUAAGCCUCUGUUUCUACUUGCAGUUUUUGCCCUCGCAAAGUUAAUGAAUGCAAAUGAAGAUCACAGCCAGCUUUCUGCUACUGUAAUCAAUCUGAGAUUUUAAUAAGCCAUCGCAAUCUGACUAAGUUUUACAGAAUACUUAACACAAUAGUAAGUGCUGAUAUCGACCCUGAAGAACGUCUCCUUGACAGUAGCUUAAUUGAUUUUGACAGAGCAAGCCUCCUUUAUGCCAUUGGGAAUAAUAAUGUGUCCAUUGAUCAGCCCGCCCACAUUUUCCGAGCCAUUUGCCUGGCUGCAAGCCCAGACGACUACUACGAAACUCAUUCCCUGCCUUUUGGGUCGUUGAUCACUAGGUUUGCCAUGGCGUCUAAGGUGCGAAUUGAUCCUACGGAUCAGGUUAAACAACUUAUGCCACCUAUCAACUAGAUGAUGUUUCAUAAUGAUGAGACAGAUGAAACAAGUGAAGAAUCUGUUGUUGGAUUUACUCCUCCUCCUGCACCUGCUUCGGAGCCAAGUCCUCCACAGCUUAAUCAGCCUUCUCUUUCCCAGACGAAAAGCUUUGAGAAGUUUUCCAUAAAGCUGAGAAAGCGCAUGGCCCGACUUGCCAAUGAGGUCGUUAAGCUCACCGGUUGCGUACAUUGGGGCAUCCCAUUGAAAGAACCAUUUACAGGUCAUUCUAAUGUUGAGCUUGCUUUAGUUUAUAUGUGUUUUUGUCCUUUUCAGCUUUGUUAAACCCUGUCUUCAACUUUCAUUUCUAAUCCAUUGAUUAUCUAUGAAUUGUUAGGUUUUUGUUUCCAUUUGUUUAUUCAGUUGUUCUUCUUUUAUACCCUCUCAUUGGUUUCUGCUCCUCUGUCUUAUGAUUUUCCACUUCCACUUAUCACUCCCUUGUCAUACACACUUGCAGUACAAGAUAAAUAGAAUCUGAAGUUUGCCUUGUUCUGGAUGAUAAAUAGAAUUCUAUUUAGUUAUAUAUUUUCAAAGAUACAAGUUAAAUAAAGACGAUGUAGCGAGCACCAUAAGCUUCAAAAGAAUUUUCCUAGUUCUAGGCUUAAGUAUAUUUUUUAUCUAAAGGACCUCUGAGUUGACUGCAGGAACUGAUUCAGCCUAAUACUGUAAAAGAAUUGUCCCUUGAAUAUCUUUUUAUGUACAGCUGGUAAGAAAAUUUUCGGGUUUUUACUGGUGGAAGGAGAGUAAUAAACUUGAAGUUAGCAACUAGCACCGAAUGCUUCUGUGGUUAGUGAUUUAGUAUUGAAGAGAAGCUCUGUUUCUGAUCAUAUAUGUAAAAUUGAUUUUGAUUGCAUUAAUUAGUAAAAAAGAUCAGCUCUGUUUCAGAUCAUAUAUGUAUUCUUUAGUCAACUAAUGAGAUGGGGUGGUUAACAUUUAUUUAAGUGUGACUGGAACAGUUUUGAGUGAUGAAUUUUCCUAUUUUCACUAGGGAGCUGCCUUUGAAUUUGAUAUUUUCGGGAGUGAUUCGAUGCUUUUCUCUCUUUCGAAAACUUAACAAAAUUAAAUAUUCACAAUAUUCCCCAUCGUCUGUAUAAUAAAAAUGAAACUGCUUCUACAUGUGAUUAUGAACUCCAACACAUCUUGUGUCCUUGUGGUUGUAAUAGUCAGCAGUUAAUGCACUUCUUUGCUGCUUUAGUGGAUGUUUUUUAUGCUUUACUUUCUCUCUGUUAUUGUGCUGAAGAAAAUAUGGAGGUUAAACAAGAAAAUGAUGAGAAUUUUAUUCCCAACUCACAUACUACGACACAUCUAUCAACUUAAAUUUCCGGCUUGCAUCCAAAUAAGAAAGCGAAAAGGAUCCAUUGGCACAAGCAAUUGGCGAGGCGGCAGACCGAACCUCAGUAGAUUGCAAGUUUUGAAGGCCGUACACAUUUUAUUGAAUACUAAUCCAGAAGAGGUCCUUCUACUCAAAUAUCUUCCUGAUGAUGAGAAGACAGAGUGGAUAAUACUGGUUAUUACUCAAUCCUGGGUCUAACUUUCUUGAUAAAUGAUACUGAGCCAAUUAUUCUCAGGGGUUUAAACUUUUGCAUAGAGUCACUUAUCAGCAUUUACUCUCUCUCUCUCUCUCUCUCAUUGAUCCAGUAUUAGGAGUGAUCUUGCGUUUUAUUCUUUUCAUAUACAAUAUUAUUUAUAUCCUUUUAUGUCCUUUUACACACACUGAGCUUCUUGACAUGUUAUGGGCUUUUAAUCAUGCUUCGAAGACAUACUUUAAAUCCAUUUAUAUAUCUUCUUUAUCUAUUUAUUUCUCUUGUUUGAGAGGAGGUAUUAUUUCUCUUGUUCAUUAUAGGUUUCUUUGUAAUUCACAUAUAUAAAUCGAAUGAGUUUCAAUAAGAAAGUGUAGCCGAUUACUGCAAUAUACAGAAGGCUGUCUCAUCUGAAAGUAGAGCACAAGUGUGUGUGCUCCAUGGACAGCUUGAUAGGUUGAGGAAAGGAAGAAACCACAAGAGCAAUGAAGGCAAUUAUGUUUCACCACUUAUACCCCGGGAUGAUCCACAGAACGAAAUGGAAAACCACGUCUUGAUUUGUCACUUGAAGGAAAUCAUUGUAAACUAGCCAGCCAGAUGCACCAACAGAGUGCCUGUUGCGCUCCAAAAAUGUCACCCUUCCGCCGGUGAGGCAGCACAACAAAGCAAUUUUCCCUUUGCAUUUCCCUCCACUCCUGCUACAAAUUCAUGCUUACAACACAACGUAAGGUGCCGACACACCAAUUAUCUCAAAAAAACCAAAAAGAGAAUUGGCAUAGCUUGGAAGUAUUAAACACUUUGGGAUAGGCAUCAUGAUCAUUUUCUUGAAAUUAUGACAUAUUUUGGUAUGCUAAAAUCAAACACUAGUGUGUCGGGACCUUUGCCUUAAAAUAUAUAUAUAUAUAUAUAUAUAUAUAUAUAUAUAUAGAGCGUUGAAAAGGAAGCGAUAGUCUAAACUAGAUGAGAGUGUGGUUUCUCACAUACACUAUAUAUAUAUAUGGCGUUGAAAAGGAAGCGAUAGUUUAAACUAGAUGAGAGUGUGGUUUCUUACAUACACUACCAAGAUGCCAUGAAGGUUCGAACCUGAAAUCAUUAGUUUGCAAAUCAAAUUUUUUUUCUUACCAGGAACAGUUAAUCAUUAUUGUCUUAGAUAUGUCUAUUGAGAUUUUAAAUUACCUCAUUCACCUAAGUACCAAUUUCACCUUCUCUUCUUCUUUUGACUUGUAAGUCUACUUUUCUUUGUAGUGCAUUUGAGACUAGAAAAAGACGAGCCCAUAUUUGACUAAAACAAUUAAGUCAUCACUUGUCUACUUCCAUCAUGAAGAGAGUUUUUUUUUUCCUUUAAUUGUUUUUUAACCAGAAACUCUGGUAUUGACUGAGAAAGAGUCUGGAGUACGUUCUAUAACUAGAGGAUUUCGUAAGAUUAACUCCUUAUUGAAUGUUACAGCACACAAGCGCACACCCUGCAUACUGAAGGUGAAAGAUUUACACUUUGGAAGCCCCCCUCCCCUCCCCUACAUUAUUUAGUGGGAAAAAAAAAAAAAAAAAGGAAAAAGUAUAGAAUGAGGGUAACAAGAACCAAAGCUACUAUUUCUUUUUUGGGUAUACAAGCGAUAGUCUCUGAACUCAUUAAACUAAUGUAACUUACACGGAAAGGGGUUUGAAGUUCGGUGUAAGGGGUAAGCUCACCGUCCUAUCCAAUUAGCCUAACCCACAUUUGCAGAUGUAUACAAAUACAAUGAUAUAGUCCAAACUACUCUAAAUCUAAACUACUAUAUUACUUUCCUUUUAUAGUCAAUAUAUAUGACUUUUGCCCUUCAAACUAAUUAUGUCUUACCUACAAGCCAUUAUUUUAUUUUAUUUAUAAAUAAAACCCAAUUUUUAUAAGUAAAAUCCAAUGAUUGGAUCUGACUCAUCAAUUUACCUAAUUAAACUAAAAAAUCUGAUUUAUUGUACUUUUUUUAGAUUAAAAAAUAAUUAUGGAUAAUUAAUCUACCUAUACAAUGUCGGCCAAUUCUUAUACCUACAAAAUAUAGGUAAAUUGGUACACUUUUUCAAUUUUAUAAAUAACGUGCCUAUUUUUUCAUAACUAAUGUACCUAUUUAUUUUAUAGAACUAAUUCAAUAGUAACGUUUUUUUUAAAUAUAGAAAUAAUGUACCUAUUUUCUUUAAAAAUAUUUACGUAUUCAGAAUCUCGCCCCUAUUCUGACUGAGAAUUGCUCCUCAACCAAUCAAUAUGCAUCUCACCACCCAAGCUCUCUUUCUUCACUGGGACUGUGUUUUGUUCUUUAGUUUGUUUUUUUUUUUUUCCUUUCCAUUUUAGUUGUUGUUUGAUUUUUAAACUUGGGUUUUUUAAUAACCAUUAUAUUAUCAUUUAUUUCCAAGGGUGGGUGACCACAAAUUCCUUGGACCACAGAGUAAUUCAUAUACUAAUCAUUUAACGAGCAACAAAACAAAUCAAAUCAAAGAAUCCAAAUGCAAAAUGAAGGAAGCUGCUCCGAAACUCUAUGAUCAGAUAUCCAACACUAAAUAUACUUAAGUGUUUCUUGAUCAUCACUAUAAUAAGAGAAACUUCCGUGUUGUAAGACCCCAUGUUUAACCUAAAUUAUAGGGGCAUUUCAAAAGACUUGGUCAAUAACCAAACUCCCAUACUAUAGUUGUUGAAUAAAAACCCAAUAUUCAUUUAUUAGUAUCAAUAAAUAUAUAGGUAUUAUAUUAAUAUUCGGUUGAGUAGAGAUAUUUCCAUAUGUUUCACUGAAGUCAAGUUCACAUUUGCAAGAAGAUAUUUGUAACUUGUGCCUAGGGGAUGGGAUGCAAAGCCAUUGAUUGAGUGGACAUGGGAAGACACCUUACCAAGUCAAGUAAGGGCAAUACCUGCAAGUCAGUUGGAGCACGCGUUGAAGGGCAAAUCAUGAUAUCAAGUCUAAGUCUUCAUUUAUCUUUUUCCACAUAGUGACAUGAAUUAAAGUGGUGAGUCUCUCUUCCUUUUUGUUCACCUGUGUCCUUCAUAUUCACUUUUCAGUCUUUCAUUUGAAAACACUACAAUAGCACACUUUCCAAAGAGAUUCCCAAGCAGCUUAUUGACCUUUCGAGUUCGGGGAAAUUAGCAAGUGGAAAAAUAAUUUUCCGGAGCUUUGUCUCUAUGACCAGUUGGCUUUUCAAAGAAAGAAAAAACAUAAAAAUGGUAAAAUAAAGUAAUUGAGCAAUUAAAAAAGGAAAAGGAAAAAAAAAAAAUUACCGUUUGUUGACGUUUGAGUUAAAUGCGGAUGUGCAAAGUCUUAAAAUUCUAGUUUACACUCAAGUAUGUAGACUUAACAAUCUUUUUGUGGAACCAAAAAAUGGACUUGAUUUCAAAUUACAAUGUGUGGCUCUGUUUUGGUCAUCUAUUUGCGACGUACAGCUUCUCCUUGUAAAUGUGUGGCUCUGUUUUGGUCAUUCUUUCUUUUCAUAAUUCAACAUCUUAUUCUGAGCACAUGGUAGAAGAUGCCUUUUUGUAGACAGACUUUUUGUAUUUGGUCAGGCUUGCAAUGCUCUAUUUUGUAUUUGGUCAGAAUUGUGUCACCGAGAGUAUACAAUUCUCUUUAUAUUAAAAAAUUAACCAAAAUUUUAAAAAUAGUAUUUUUAUUUUAUUGAAAUUAAAAAAUAGUAGUAUGAACACUACAUCUAUCAUCCUCCUUUUUCCAGCAAAAGAAAUCCUAGUAGAUCUUUCUCAGCAAACUCUUCAUCAUUUCUCACUAGUCUAAUCGGCCAGCCAACACCUUCUUGACGUGUGAGUUACAUAUGGUUGUGGAGACUUAAAAGUCUUUGAAAAUUCUACCGCGCUCCAGGUGCAUCAAUGCGCCAUUAAUUAAACCUAAUGUGUACGUUGCGUAGGUUUUUUUCUUCUUCUUUAAAGAAAAUUUGGUAUAGUCCACUUCUGAUGACAUAAGUGAAAUUGGGUUACAAGAUGCCACCCGAGAUUCUUAUUUUUUGUGGGACCCACCCUGAACUCUUAAGUAGAAAAUACCUAAAUUUUGUAUAACAUUAAGAAACAAAAAAUUAAAAUUAAAAUAACAUGGUGAUAAGAAGCAAAACCCUUCAAAGAACGAACAAUGGGGAAACCAAAAAAAAAAAAAAAAAAACAUGCAUACAAUUGACAAAAAUCAAUUUGGUUGCUGUUGAGAAUUAAAGUAGUGGAAUAUUAAUUUAAGUAUUGUGAUCAUCAUUCAUUUCAUCCAUGCCAUCAUAAUUAAUUUGGUUUCGGUAAUUGUUAUUCCUGCAUCUUACUUUUUAGCUCGUGCAUCAUAAUUAAUUUGGUUUCUGUAAGUUAUGAUUACCUCCAUAAUAAAGAGAUUCGAAUCCAAAGUAUUAGGAAUUUUCUUUAGCAAGUGAUUUGUAUUCUUAUUUGUAAGAACUUAGAAUUACGCCUUGACAUUAUAGUCUCAGUGUGAUUUCCAUAACAUUAAUUUUGCAUUGUAUAUAGCAGAUAAUUUACUCCUUUAUAUGGCUCUGCUUUAGCUAAAUCGUGUUUUUCUUUGUAAAGACUUUCUUCCUUUUUCCCUAUAUAUAUCUGAUGCAAGUGAGCAUACACGGAGACAACCAUAUAUCAAUAUACACUUGCAGUGUUUUUGCACGUGCUUUUGAUCAAUUAACAUGAAGGGCGACGGAAGGUGCUUGAAACUCUUUCUUGCAUUAUCGAUCCUUUUCCUACAAAACGUAAAAGGAGGAGAAGUUGGCCACAGCCACAGCCACAGCCACAGCCUCAGAGAUGCUAAAGUGACAGUGAGGAGGUGCAUAGAGAGGGAAAGGCAAGCACUACUUGCAUUCAAACGUGGCCUGGUGGAUGACAGUGAGGUGGAUGAGUCCAAUCCUCUCUCAACUUGGGGUUCAGAAGCCGAGAAACAAGAUUGUUGCAGAUGGGAAGGAGUCUAUUGUAGCAACCAAACUGGCCAUGUGAUUCAACUUCAUCUUGAAUAUUCUUCCUAUGAUGAGAUGAUUCUUGGAUAUUCUUUCCAAGGUAAGAUGAUUAGUCCUAAACUGAUUGAGUUGCAGCAUUUACAAUAUUUGCACCUUGCAUCCAUUGAUUUCUAUGAGAGCCAAAUUCCUGAUUUCAUUGGUUCUCUAACCAAUCUAAGAAACCUCAGUCUCUCUUCCUGUAAUUUGGUUGGUCAAAUUCCAAGUUCGUUUGGAAACCUCACGCAAUUGCAAUAUCUCGACCUCAGCUAUAAUUAUCAGCUUCAACCAGAAAAUCUCAAUUGGCUCCCUGCCCUUUCUUCUUUAACGUAUUUGGACCUUUCAGUCAUUGAUUUCAAUGGGAGCCAAAUUCCCGAUUUCAUUGGUUCUCUAACCAAUCUAAGAAACCUCAGUCUCAGAUUCUGUGAUUUGGUUGGUCCAAUUCCAAGUUCGUUUGGAAACCUCACGCAAUUGCAACAUCUCAACCUCGGCUAUAAUCAGCUUCAACCAGAAAAUCUCAAUUGGCUCCCUGCUCUUUCUUCUUUAACGUUUUUGGACCUAAGCGAAAACUUCAAUGGGAGCCAAAUUCCCGAUUUCAUUGGUUCUCUAACCAAUCUAAGGUACCUCAGUCUCAGUUUCUGUAAUUUGGUUGGUCCAAUUCCAAGUUCGUUUGGAAACCUCACGCAAUUGCAACAUCUCAACCUCGGCUAUAAUCAGCUUCAACCAGAAAAUCUCAAUUGGCUCCCUGCUCUUUCUUCUUUAACGGAUUUGUACCUAGCCGGAAACUUCAAUGGGAGCCAAAUUCCCGAUUUCAUUGGUUCUCUAACCAAUCUAAGAAACCUCAGUCUCAGAUUCUGUGAUUUGGUUGGUCCAAUUCCAAGUUCGUUUGGAAACCUCACGCAAUUGCAACAUCUCGACCUCAGCUAUAAUCAGCUUCAACCAGAAAAUCUCAAUUGGCUCCCUGCUCUUUCUUCUUUAACGUUUUUGGACCUAAGCGAAAACUUCAAUGGGAGCCAAAUUCCCGAUUUCAUUGGUUCUCUAACCAAUCUAAGGUACCUCAGUCUCAGUUUCUGUAAUUUGGUUGGUCAAAUUCCAAGUUCUUUUGGAAACCUGACGCAAUUGCAAAAUCUCGACCUCAGCAAUAAUCAGCUUCAACCAGAAAAUCUCAAUUGGCUCCCUGCUCUUUCUUCGUUAACGGAUUUGGACCUAAGCAGAAACAAUCUCAGUACUGUUUUCGAUUGGCCAGAAGCAGUACUUAAUAAGCUCCCUAAACUAGUAGUAUUGGCCUUGGAGAACUGUAGUCUUCCUCCUCCUCCUCCUCCUCCUACUCUUUACAAAACAAAUUCUUCUACAUCUCUUGCGUAUGUUGAUCUCUCUGACAACCAUCUCACUUCUUCAAUAUUUCUUUGGUUGUCCAACUACAGUACAAGCCUUGUUGCUCUUGGCCUCUCCAACAAUCAUCUAUCUGGUUUCAUUCCCAAUUUCAUUGGAAACAUGAGCUCUCUUGUGGAUCUGGAUCUCUCCAACAAUAAUCUAACUGGUUUCAUUCCCGAUUUCAUUGGAAACAUGAGCUCUCUUGUGCAUCUGGAUCUCUCUGACAACCACAUUGAAGGAGCGAAUCCAAAUUCGUUUGCAAGGCUGUGUAAUUUGCAAACAUUGUCGCUUCAAACAAAUCAUCUGAGUGGACAAUUAUCCAAGUUUGUUCAACUAUUGCCUAGAUGUGCACAAAACUCGUUAAAGGAUUUGCAACUGUCUGAGAAUGUUCUUGCGGGGUCAUUAAACAAUCUUACAAGCUUCUCAUCUUUGGGAUUCUUGAAUCUUAGCGCCAAUCAAUUAAGCGGAAAAAUACCUGAAAGUAUUGGGCAAAUGUCCAAACUAUGGUGCAUCGAUUUCAGCAUGAACUCUUUGGAAGGGGUGGUUUCUGAAACUCAUUUCUCAAAACUCUCUGAUUUAUAUCAGUUGGAUUUAUCCUAUAACUCACUAGUUUUAAAUUUUCAUUCUGAUUGGGUUCCUCCCUUCCAGUUGAAUUACAUAUAUUUGGCCUCCUGCAAUGUCGGUCCUCUUUUCCCAAAAUGGCUUCAAACUCAAAAUGAUUCUUACCAUCUUGAUAUUUCUAAUGCUGGAAUUUCUGAUAUCCUUCCAAGUUGGUUUUGGAGUAAUUUUCGUAACGCGGAAAUUAUUAAUCUCUCACAAAACCAAAUAAGAGGAAUAGAAGGUUCAAUUCCCUCAAUUCCGUCAGAAGUCCAUCAUCUGGAUCUCUCUAAUAAUAACAUUUCAGGGUCGCUUUCUUUCCUAUGUGCAAGUGCAGAUAUGAGUUUAACAAUUCUUAAUCUUUCAAGCAACAGUUUUUCUGGAGAACUUCCAGAUUGCUGGAGCCAUUUGGAGACUCUAGUCAUGCUUGAUUUGAGUUACAAUGCUUUUUCUGGAAAAAUGCCCAUGACAAUAGGCUCUUUAUUUCAAAUGCAAACUUUGAAAUUAAGACGCAACCGAUUUGUUGGAGAAUUGCCUUCAUCGUUGAAGAACUGCGCAAGUUUAGAAGUUAUUGAUCUGGGAGAUAAUAAAUUAUCAGGACCAAUACCUGCAUGGUUAGGUGUGAGCUUCAAGAAUUUGGUUAUCCUUAUGCUUUCUACUAAUCACUUCAAUGGAAGCAUGCCCUCGCAAUUAUGCCAUCUAACACACAUUCAAAUUAUGGAUUUCUCUAUGAACAACAUCUCUGGAAGCAUACCCAAAUGCCUCAAAAAUUUGACUACUCUGGCUCAAAAAGGAAAUCCAAGUCUAUCCAGCACACGUAUUCAUGGCGGAAGUGAGGUUAAUGGGUCAAUUGCUCCUACUAAUUAUGACAAUGAUGCAAGCUUCAUAUGGAAAGGAAGAAUGCAGACAUACAAAAGCACUUUGGGCCUUGUGAAGAGAAUUGAUCUCUCAAGCAACAGAUUAACAGGGGAGAUUCCAGGUGAAAUCAUGCAUCUUGUUGGGUUGAUUUCUUUAAACCUUUCGAGAAACCAGUUAAUGGGUCAAAUAACUCCAGAGAUCGGAAACUUGGAGUCAUUGGAUUCGCUUGAUUUAUCAAGAAACCGGAUAGAUGGAAGAAUUCCGACAAGCCUUGCUCAGAUAUAUCGUCUUAGUUUCUUGGACCUGUCAUAUAACAACUUGUCUGGCAAAAUACCAACAGGCACCCAGCUCCAAAGCUUUGAUCCCCUUGAUUAUGCUGGAAAUCCUCAACUCUGUGGACCUCCACUUAAAAAGAUGUGUGCUGAUCAAAAUGAGCCAACUGACUUGAGCAAUGAAGAGGAUAAGGAUGAGUUUAUAACGCUGGGAUUUUACAUCAGUAUGGCGAUUGGAUUUGCUGUUGGAUUUUGGGGAGUUUGCGGCACUUUGAUAUUCAACAGGUCAUGGAGAUAUGCAUACUUGAAGUUCUUGAAUGGUUUAAAUGAUUGGCUCUAUGUGAAGAUAGCUUUGAGCAAGCGGCAACUGAAGCCAACAUAAACUUAAUAGAUAAGCUCGCCACGGUACUCUUUCUCUCUCAUCAUUAAUUUUGUUUUAUAAUUAUUUUUCUUAUUGCAUUUUUUCCUUUUCUCCAAACUGACGGGUAUUAAUUUGUUUACUUCGAUAUUUAGCUGCAGCAUCUAAAUUAGGAGAAAAGUAGCUGUAGCUGAAUGCUUCCUUUUAGUUCAAGUGAGGAAGAUUGCCAGUACGCGCAUGCACAGGUAUCUGGAGAAGAGUUUAUGAGUUAAUUUGGAGUGCUUAGUAGGAAUAAACGUGAUUUAUAUUGGUGUUAAUUACUUGUCAGAACAAUUAAUUCGGAGUUCUCCGAUUUAUGUAUUUUUUUUUUUUUUUGUUUAUUUAGAGAAAUAAACAGAUCCAUGCAGAUCCAAUCAUAACAUGGGCAAUUAUAAUUGUACAUGAAGAACAUUGCCCCAGAGGAUGGUUCUUGCAAACAAUAAAUCAUACAAAUAAGCAAGACAGUACAAUUAAAGCAAGAACAAUGAGCAAAAGCCAAGCUCACUCCGAUUAAUGUAUUAAUUCCAGCUAUAGUGUUGUUUUAAUUACCUAGGCCAAAGCCAAAGCGGACUUGAUUUCAAAUUACAAUGUGUGGCUCUGUUUUGGUCAUCUAUUUGCAACGUACAGCUUCUCCUCGUAAAUUGGGGGGUCAGCUUCUCCUUGUAAAUUUGUGGCUCUGUUUUGGUCAUUCUUUCCUUUCAUAAUUCAACAUCUUGUUCUGGCCACAUGGUAGAAGAUGCCUUUUUGUAAACAGACUUUCUGUAUUUGGCCAGGCUUGCAAUGCUCUAUUUUGUGGAUUUUAAGAUUGUAUUAGGCUUACUUGUGAGCUGCAAAAUGCCUUGUACCAAAAUUUAUGUAUAAAAUGUGUGCUAAAUUGUGUGGAGUAGAAGAUUGAAGGUCUUCCUAGGCAAGCAAUCACAAGCAUUUUCUCUCUUUUCAAUUUGUAGAAAUGUUUGUUGUAAAUAUGUUAGGUGGAGCCCACCUCCAAUUGGGAGAAGCUUCCUCGAAGCUUCCUCCAAUUGGAAGCUCCCUCUUCUGUUUGCCUACAAAGAAGGGAUCACCCUUCCUAUGUAAUCGGAGUAUGGAAUAAUACAAUGGAAAAGAACGGAAACAUAGAUUGAAUGAGGAGAAAAUUCUCCCUCCUCUCUAUCUCAAUUUUCUUCUCCAAUUUCUUCAGUUUAUAACACGUUAUCAGCACGAAUAUCUCUAAAAAUACCAGCUAGGAAAUUCGAUCAAAUCCUGCAGAACCAAGUUUGCUCAUAGAUUUGUUCGAUCCCUCUUGCAAAUCAGAAACCAUGCUCCGCCUAGCUCAUCGUCACCUUGAUUCCAGGUAGAACACCUCCUUCCUUCAUUAUGGACACAGGAAGCAGCCUUGUUUGGUUCCCCUGCACCAAACGCUACAUUUGCUCUAGAUGCCAAUUCCCAAACAUCAACCCAGCAAAAAUUCCAACUUUCAAGCCCAAAUUGCAACAACCCGAGUCACCACAACUGCUCGCAAGCCUGCCCAACUUACAUAAUCCAGUACGGUUCAGGCACCACAGCUGGGAUUUUACUUUCCGAGACACUCGAUUUUCCCAAGAAAAUUGUCAGAAGUGAUGAUGGAGACACUGCUGAUCAACGGGAGGGGACAGUACAACUGCUCUCUGGCAGCGCACUAUAGCAAUUCCAGUUCAAGCCAGUGCAGUCUAAGAGGAAGCGAACAAUGCGCACCCCCUAUUCUCCAUGUGCUUCCAAACAAGAUCUAUCGGCUCAGAAUCGCCAGCACCACUGCCCUUGCUUCACUCAACUUGGCCAUUGGGAAUCACAAAAUGGUGGUGGUGGAAGCCGAUGGAAACUAUGUGCAGCCAUUUGCGGUGGAUGACUUGGACAUCUACUCAGGCGAGAGCUACUCAGUGCUCAUAACCACCGACCAAGACCCUUCCAACAACUACUGGCUCUCAGUUGGAGUGAGAGGAAGAGAACCCAAAACUCAACAAGGCCUCACAAUCCUAAACUACCACCCAAAUUCAGCAUCAAAGCUUCCAGCUUCUUCCCCUCCUGUCACUCCUCUGUGGAACGAUUACAACCACAGCAAGUCCUUCACCAACAAGAUCUUCGCCUCAAUGGGGUCCCCGAAGCCCCCGAGAAACUAUGACCGUCGGAUCACCCUCCUCAACACCCAUUGACAUCCGACCAAGCCAUGAGCAUGCACUUCUCACGUGACUGCGACUCCUGCGACGGCGACGGCGACGGCCAGUGCGAGUUCUGCUCCGUCGAGUUUCAUCUUCGCGGUAAGUACCAUUCCGACCUCCCCAUACUCCACCAGGCCCAACCCAACAACGCAGCCGCCGACGACGACAACGACUCCAGUUCCGAGCUCUUGAGCUUUCCGUCGGUGUCUCCUUGGAUUGAUUGCCGUCGUCGAAAGCUCAGGAUGAGCCUCCGGUUCGAACACGCUCAGGUCUGGCUCCGAUAAGGCCAGCGACACCACAAGGCCUGGUUCCGGUCUGGACCAUCGGCGGCGCCGGACUGAUGGGUCCCAGUGACCAAGCUCGGCCGCCUCCCCGUGGCUCCACUCAGACCUUGCUCAUGGCUGCCGACACUAGCAAUGGUGCUGCUUGGGUUCCAUGUAAUGGCAUGGAGCUGGUCAACAGGUGAAGCCCAUAGUAGUUGUCGUAAAGUGGUGGAGAUUGGAAGGUUGCAGUUUUUAUCAUGUCUCAAGUUGAUCUUGCAAGGGAAGCUGCCCUUUUGUGCAUCCUGCUGUUUUGGUGGAAACUUAUUAACAACAAGGGGAGGACGCAUUCACUUUCUGGGGUACUCCAGAAGGUGAUCUGGUCCAUGAGCGAGCUCUUUGCAAGGCUAUGUCAAAAGCUUUGAUGAUGUAGUGGAUGACUGCACCAAUCACUUCACAAAAGCAGAGAAUAUGCUGUCGACAAAGUUGGCUGGACAGCACAUGUUGCCGAGUGCCCAUGUUUACAGCCCCACACACCGAAACAAUUAAAAUAAUAAUAAUAAAAAAACAAAAAAUAAAUAAAUAAAUAAAUAAAUAAUAAUAAUAAUAAUAAUAAUAAUAAAAAAAGGGGAUCACUCAGCAAGGGCAUAAGCGUUAAGUUUUCUGCUCCCUUAUCUUCUUUAUUAUUUCAUAUUAUAUUUAUCUGUUUUUCUUUUACUAACCAUUAACAAAAAUGGACCAUCGGUAAUACUAAAUAUAUUAUCAGUGGGAGACCGUUACUAAUACUAACGUUUAAUUUAUGAAUUUAAUUUACUGCAAAUUUACUUUACAGCACAUUUAUUUUAUUUACUGUAUGGUGUAGGUUUAUUACCCAUACAACAGUAUUUAUUUAAAAGGGUGGUGCGGUUUUAUCGCCCACACCUUUACUUUUAUUUAAAUGUAUGGUGCAGAAUUAGUGCCCAUACAAGCACGUUUACUUUACUGCAAAUUUACUUUACAGCACAUUUAUUUUAUUUACUGUAUAGUGUAGGUUUAUUACCCAUACAACAGUAUUUAUUUAAAAGGGUGGUGCGGGUUUAUCGUUCACGCCUUUACUUUUAUUUAAAUGUAUGGAGCAGGAUUAGUGCCCAUACAAGCACGUUUACUUUACCGCACAUUUAAUUUUAUUUAAGGUAUGGUGCGGGAUUAACGUCCAUACAGCAAGCAAUUUAAUUUAUGAAUUUAUUUUACCGCACAUUUACAUUUAUUUAAAGUGUGGUGCGGGUUUAUCGUCCAUACCAGCAAUUUAUUUUAAUUGUGCUGUAUGUGCUGUAUGAUGAGUUUUUACAGUAUGCAGAUCAGGACCAGAAGUUCCUUGAUCCUCAUCAUACAAUUACAUCAGGACUUGAAGAUCCUUGAUGAUGAUAUUAAUAUGAGAGCUGGCAGUCUCUCCGGUACUGUAUUUGUAAACAUGUGAUCGGACUUAAAAGUCCUUGAUUUCUGACAUGUAAAUAAGGAUAAUGAUGUAACAGUACCGUAUUGGUUCAUAGUGCCGUACACAUUGAUGAUAACUGUACUGGCAGAUGAAUAGAUACGUAUUCAUGACUUGAUGAAUAGUACUAUUCACAUGAAUAGUGACGUAUGCAUAAAUAUGAACCAUUUUGGGUAAACCGUCACUAUAUACAAAAGAGAACCUGCAGUUCCUUAAACUCAUGGAUGAGCAAUUAAAUGAGAUGCCAGAAAUUCCUCAAAAUAUGGGCAAUUAUGUAAGGGCUUGAAGUCCAGAAAUAUGUACAAAAAAUUGUAAAAAUGUCCAUACCAUGAGAACAUGUGAUUUUAACUUGAGGUUCAAAAUCUAAGUGUUGAGAACCUGAAGUUCCAACAAUUAAAUGGACAACCCUUGAGGUAUUAUUGCAAAUUGUGGUACGCCACAUAUUUCUUUGGCAUAAGAGAAUGAUGAAUUGAGACUCCCCACAUAUUUUGUUAUAUCUGGGUCGGAAGCUCAUGAACCCAAAUAUAUGAGAUAUUAGCGUGGCUUUUACUCAAUCCAUAUUUCAUGUUCAUUUAAAAAGGGCAAAUGAAUUCUGAGUUUGUGUUUAUCACAGGCCAAAAGUUCCAUACGUUGAAAUAUGAAAUUUGGGAGAGUCGAUGUGGUUAUUUGAACCUAUAAGGCACAAGGUUCCAAAUCGUCAUUUUGAAAAGACGUAAAAACCACAGGUGCAAGUUUAAGAAUAUGCGCAAUUAUUAUAACAGGAACAUACAACAGAUAGAUUUUUUCCUGCAAUGAAGGUGCAGGCCCUGUAAAAUCUAUAAAAUUACAUUAUGUUCUGGAAGCCUCUGAAGGAAGAGGACGGCGCCUCUUAAGCUUAGCCAUGAGCUUCUCAUGGUCUCCCAAAAUUCUUUCAUUGGAGACCUGCAGCAUGUCUAGCCUUCUCAGUGUAUCAACAGAGUAUGAACUCACCAGUUUCAACAAGGCAUUAUUCUCUCCUUUAAGUUUCUCAACCUCCUGUUGAGACUCAUGAAGCAUUCUUUGGAGAGACAAAUUUUCAGUAGCUAACCUCUCAACCUCGUUUGCUCUGGCACGCAAACGAUCAGCCAUGUUAGAAACAGAAACAGCACUCUGAAUGCUAAAAGCCAUUGAGUCAUUAAUAGCCUCUUCCUCUGAUCUCCCUGUCAACAACAUUUCAUCCAUUGGAGUAAUGAAAUUCCUAGCUACUAUGACAGCAGUAGCAUCAUUCAUCAUCACAGAAUCAUUAACUGUGAGAUGACGAUUUUUGGAUACAAAGGAUGGACGCCAAACUUGGGCGUCACUGGUUGUUGUGGGAGCAUCAUUUAAAUUGAAAUAAUUUGGGCAGGAAGAAGAUGAAGCCAUUUUUAAGAAGGUUUCGAAGAAAGCCUUAGGAAAACUAAAGUUUCAGAAAAUGAAGGAAGUUAAGUUGAAACGCAGUUGCCCCAAUCAAGGUUUGCAAAGGCAAUAUCUAUAAGAGGAAAUAUGGCUACUGUUUUUCAGGAUCCCAAUAUCUUCUCGGAUCCCCAUAUUUCUCUUUUUCUUUCCUAGAGUCCAAAACUUCACGUGGCCUCUAAUAAUGCCUGUCGGCACUUUCGGCGUUUUCAAGUAUUAUUUUCAAAGCCGAUCUUACUUUACGGAUUUCACAGAACUACUUUUUCAAAAGUAUCCCGAGAAUCUCGCAAUUUUCCUAUGGUUAAUUUGAAAUUCACCGGUUCUACCUAUUCAUUGUAUUUGUGUAUAAAUGUGUUACUAACGAAAUUUCCUUUGCAGAAGACAUCCAGUUUACUCCAUACGUAGUGAUGCGAUAUUUACUUGUUUUUCUUAUCAGUAAGCACUUAAUAUGCCUGAGAAGCAAGACUAUCUCUGAUCAUCCAUCCAGGAAGCAAGACUAUCCCUGAUCAUGUUUCUGCAAGAUCAGGGAAUUGUAAAGGCGGCCUUAUGCUCUAAUCUCCUGAGGUCCUUCUAGACUAGGAGAUAUGAGAGCUUAUUGUCUGCUCCCACCAGCUUCCUUCCCUGAUUGCUUACCUUCUCUUGCAAUCAAUAUCACAAUCUUUUUGCAUUUUUUCUCUUUUUAUAACUCUCUGUUCAUAAGAGAUUUUAUUUCUUUAGAAUGAACAUCUGAAGAAUGAAUCCAUGAAGUAAUCCUAACUAUGAGGGUUAUUUGUUUUGACAGAGGCAAAAGAGUUGUGAUUUUUGCUCUUGCAGGAUAUAACUAGAUCAUCAAGUGCUACAUUAUAUUUACUGGGCUGAUAUGAGCUUGAAUGAUACUUGAGAAAAGUUUCUCCCACCUAAGGAUGUAAGCAAUACUUGUGUUAUUUUAUGCUUAUAUACCUAUUUGAUAUUUUAUCUUGAAAGGUAACCAAAUGGGGAGAUAAGUCCGUUCCAAAAGAAUGACUUGUAUGUAUCCAUGAAUUAUUAAUGCAAAUUUUACAGAUUGCAAGUUGGAUACAUUGAUAAUACACUGCACAGAUUAAAAAUCCCAUCAGAACAUAACAUGGGUAUAGCAGUGAUCAAUAUGAUGCACGCCUGUUGCGUAGCAAAUGAUGUGGAUUGAAGUCCCAAAUGGACAAUCCUUUGACAUGUCAAUAUUGAUAUUAUGCACGCCUAAUGCGUAGCAAAUUAUAUGGGUUAAAGUCCCAUAAUACGGGUUAAAGUCCCAUAAAUUAAUUGACAUGUAUGUAUUAAUCUGUGGCAUGCCUGUAGCAUGACAGAUAUAUGGGUUCUAAAUGUUCCAACUCCCUAACUGGAGAUUUUCCACGCCAUACUAUAAAAUAACGCUCCAUUGGAGGUUAUAAUCCACAUUCUCACAUAAUAAAAGCCCCCUGAAGUGGCUUGGGUACCCAAAAGCAAAGAAAUGCUUAUAAUUGAUGCAUGCGCAUGCAAAUGAGAAUGGUGAGAUCAUGAAUUGAUGAAUGACAAUUUUUGAUUUUGGAGUAGCUACUCAAAUCAUCAAUGGGCUGUGUUGAUUGGAACCACGUUCAAUUAUUAAAUGUCGACAAUAUCAUUGGCCAAAAUGGAAAGAGGUAAUUCCAUUAUAAAUGAGAAUGAACGUGAAAGAACAAACCCACAAUACGAACCCCAAAAUUUGUUAAUACUGAAAGUUAUACUUGGGUGUUCGGAAUAAAAGGGAAUAUACCUACUUUGUAUGACACACUGUUUCUGGCAGAAACAAGGAAUGUUGGGUUUUUCUCCAUAUUUACAGAUUCAAUUGUGCCCCCCUUAUUACACAAUUACGGAGACCAACAUAUUAUCUUUAAGGGUUAUUAAAUGAACAGAGCAUAUCACCUGAAGUGAUUCCCUAAAGAUGUAUAAAAAGCUGGGUUAAAGCUAUAUAAUGUGUCAUAAAACUUAAUCCCUUUUAGACAAAAUCCGUUGAGAGGAUUAUCAUUACUCAAUAUUAAUAUGCAUAAAUUACCUCAGUGAGUACAUUGAUGUGAUUGCAACACAUUAAAAAUUCUGCAGAAUUCACGAAAUAUUUGUCUCGACUUAAGGAUCGAGCAUUGUGCCAACGAGAUUCUUGUUUAUACUAAGAAAGUAUUGAAGCAUUUUUAUGAGGAUUAUCCGUUGGUCCUUAAAUAUUUUUCCGGAAGUAUACUAGACCAGAUAGAGCUCAGCUCCACACUGUACUCUUUUUCCUUCAUCCAGGUUUUUAUCCCAUUGGGUUUUUCCUGGUAAGGUUUUAACGAGGCAGUGUAGCUCAAGGGUUUAGGGUAUACUAUGAAAAUUUUAGUGGUCGCUUACUGGACAGAAGCUAGUCCUAAAUUUUUCAGGGGAAGAUAUUCACCAGGGGGAGAAAGGUCUUAAUAAAGACCUUCAUACACUGUACUCUUUUUCCUUCAUCCAGGUUUUUAUCCCACUGGGUUUUUCCUGGUAAGGUUUUAACGAGGCAGUGUCGCUCCAGAUUGACUCACAGCAGCAGUGUCAACUACGAUAUUCAGAAAGGUGAUCAACAGUAUGACUUAAAGAUAUUUUGCCAAGCAUCAGGGGGAGCGUGCUAUCAAUAAAGAUCUUCAAACACUGUACUCUUUUUUCCUUCGUCCAGGUUUUUAUCCCACUGGGUUUUUCCUGGCAAGGUUUUAACGAGGCAGUGUCGCACGCGCGCCAAUACACUUAGAAUUUUAUGUUACACAUUAUUAUGUACUCUUUUUCCCUUUGACCAGUUUUUGUCCCACUGGGUUUUUACUGGCAAGGUUUUUAACGAGACAUAUUCCAUAUCAUUUGUGGUCUCCAAGGGGGAGUGUUGUAAAUAUGUUAGGUGGAGCCCACCUCCAAUUGGGAGAAGCUUCCUCGAAGCUUCCUCCAAUUGGAAGCUUCCUCCUCUGUUUGCCUACAAAGAAGGGAUCACCCUUCCUAUGUAAUCGGAGUAUGGAAUAAUACAAUGGAAAAGAACGGAAACACAGAUUGAAUGAGGAGAAAAUUCUCCCUCCUCUCUAUCUCAAUUUUCUUCUCCAAUUUCUUCAGUUUAUAACAAUGUUCAAGUUCUUGCCCAUUACUUGCAGAUAUAUAGUGUUGUGUAGCAUAAAGGCUCCAACAUAUGCAAUUCCAUCAAGGCCUGCAGGCCAAUCACUGCUUUCUCUUGGAUAUUCCAAACAUUUGUAGAGCCAUAAUGAAAACUUGGUAGGCAAACCCAAAUACUUGCAUUGACCAUUUGCUUAAACUUGAUAGGCUAGCAAGGGGCUUGUAGCUCAAGCAAUUAAGAGCAUCUAUCUCUGAACUCGAGGUCCUAAAUGUGAUUCCGACAAACAAAAAACUUGGUAGGCCAGACCCAAAUGAACCUGGUUUUCAUAAACUUGUUUGUCAGCUUGAUAGUGGCUUAUUAGAAGUCCAAAUUGGUUGGGAAAGUAAUGUCCACCAAUUUUAGCAGAUACCUUUUUGGACAAUGUUGAACAGAGCACUUAACUUGAUUGUUAAUGACUAGGGCCCCUGAUAACACACAGAGAGAGAGAGAGAGAGAGAGAGAAGAGAGUUGAAGAAGAAAGAGAGUAUUUUUAGAGAGAUUUGUAUAUUGAUCUUUUCAUCAUGACUGAUUACAAUAAUGACUCUGUUAUAUACAGAGUUGAAGAAGAAACAUUCGGAUGAUCCCGGAAGCAAAUGAUCGACAAACGUCAAUGUGCAAUAUUGAACUUUGGGUUAAAGUAGCUUGAAUUCCACCAACAUCAUGACAUUGUACGACCUUUGUACUGAUGGAGCCCAGAAGCAAAUGAUCGACAAACGUCUAGAUCCAAGAACAAUCAAAUGAGAACGACAAACAUCUAGAUCCAACUUCCAAGAACAAGCAAAUGAUCGACAAACAUCUAGACCUAUUUAAUAAUGCAGUCCCGCUCACCUAAGGUCCUAAAAAUGAGGUCCUGUGAGGUCCUCUUUAAAAACGGCCCUUAAAUUAAUGUAACGGCCCAUAUCUUCAUUAUAAUGAAGGUGUUUGCUUUGAAUGUUCAACGGUAGAGUGGGAUGAGCCAGGGUGUUGUGGUAAACAGAACAGGGUUAGUUCAUGGGAAAUUGAGACUCACUGAAAAUUCAUAUUUCCUUCUCUGCCUUUGAGUCUUAAACGACCAUUACACUCUGUAUUCUUGGGUAAGUUUUUUAUUCUGUUUCCAAGCAGGGAAGUCUGUUACACGUUUUUUUAAUGACUUUUUUGUGCUACUAGGAGCAGAAACUGAGUGGGGAAAUUUGAUUAAAAGACGAUACAUUCGGGUUCCUGAGAUUGGAAAUGGGAACUCUUUUCCUUACUCGAUUUCAAAUCUAUGUUUGGAACAGCUAGUCAAUAUGCUACUGAAACCUCAACUUGUUAAUCAUGCUUGAACUUUAGCUGCUCUACAACAGCAAUCGGCUGCUAAUGGAGAUUUAAUAGCAGAUAUGAAGACCAUGCAAGCCAAACUCAACCAAAAGAAUCCGGGUGUCUUUUCAGAAGGUAUAUCUCUACCGAAUCAAAACCCUCCCCAAUCAUCUAUGGAUCAAUCCAAAGUGCGGCGCAACUACAAACUAGCCCACGGCCUAUGCAGCCGCCUUUGGAAUCAUUACUCUACCGCCUUUGGAAUCAUUACUCUAAGAGAUUUCUCAGAUGAGAGCAACAAUCAAAGUGGGAUUUACGGAACGUUGCUGUUGGUAGUGGUGUUAGCACUGUUAUUGACCCUUCUGUUUUCUACACUAAAGAAUGCAGAUUUCCACAACCCCUCAGAUUGCUUGGUUGGUAACCUGAGCUCGAGCCGGGAUCUUCAGUCUCAGUUUACCUCCGGCCCAGUUUACCUCCGCCCGCCUAGGCGACUCCCAGGCUUUCUCCAGGCAAGACCAGGCAGACAACUCAGGCCAUGCUAACAAGCUAGGAUCAGAGGUCAUACAUAUUUGAGUGCUAAAAUACAUCAAAUAUUGAAUGCCUUAAUACAUUCAAGAAUACACUAUGAUUCUUUCAUUUCCUAACAAUUCAUUGUCCAGAGAACAGAACAGCUAAUAUCUCCUAAAGUAGAAAUCAAGAAAUAAAAUAGCUUUUAAAUUACACAACAGAUUCUACCCCCAGCUUGCUUGCAGUAACAAAAAUAAGCAAUUGAUGACGCCCUUAUUGCGACGUUGAAGGAAUUUCACGAGGAUGUUAAAAAGUAAUGAAGCCACACAAAUUGUGCACGUCAUGUCAAAAAUUAGCUCAAGUAAUUACAAGAUAUUCACAUUGAAUCCAUACAGAAAUACCAAAAGCAGCAGAUGACACACAUAUCAAGCACGUCGCUUACUAAGACGCCAAGAGUUAGGUUCAUGGUAUCUAUCAUAUAGCGGUUCAAUACGUUCUUGACGCUUGCGCUUGCUCAUCUUGGUGGGAUCUGCCACUUUGAAGAACCUGGGUGCCAGUUCCACAAGCCAUUUGGGGUCGACAACCGUCACCUCGCGCAUGUACUCCUUUGUGGUCAUAACCAGCUCAUGGUAGAUCACCCAAUCUGGUUGUCUCUGGAAGAGGGCGCUGCUUGGGUGUAUAUAAACUGGUUGGUUCUCCACUAGGGUUCUAUAACCCUCCUGCGGGUCCUUUCUAGCACCGUGGAAGAAAAACCCUGCUGUAAUUGCCUUCCUGAUCUUUGUAAAAUUCUUUCCAGCACUGACAACAUCUAGUUUAUACCUGAAAUUCACAAUCUAUAGUCAGAAUGCAAUUUCAUCUUCAAAUCAGAAUACUCAACUCAGAAAUCGUUGAUCACUGUUAUAAACUAAAGCAAGGGGUGCUAGUAGAGACAUUGGCAUGACAAUCUUUAUAAUAAUCUAUCCUAGAGCUUACAUGACAAUGCUAUGUCAAUCGAAGAAAUCUGUUAAUGGCGAUGGUAGGAUGUGUAAUAUGCCAUCUGAAUUUCCAUAUCAACUUAUAAAACAGUUUUGCAAUAUUUUGUACAAACAACACUUGACCAAGAAAAACAAUUCCAGUAUCAAAAUAACUAACAUGUCCGCACAAGAGAGCACAUUUGAAGAGCAUAUACUGGCAAUUUAGCUAUACACAAAAGGGUAGUUAUAAUUUAUAAAGAUACUAUACUUAACCACUGAAAAAAUGGUGGAAAAAAGCACUUCUGCUAAUAAUGCUCUGAAAACAGUGUAUGAGGUAACAUCAACAUGACAAUUCGUAAUCACCUAUUCGCUGCUCAGGUACCAUAUAUCUAGAUUUUAAAACACAAACUAGGCCUGAACAACAUUUCAGCAUUUCCGUCAAGUACAGACAGCAAAAGGCAUGCCUAAUUCACGACUACUGCAAAAAUACAAUGUGCCAAACAUGAGCAAACCUAGAACAUUAAUCUACAUCUUUUAAAACCAUUCAUGCAAACGUGAAACCAGAAAAAAAGAUCCAUACAACCACGAGUACACAUCAAGAUAAAUUAGAAGAACAUACUUGUCCAUGAUGCUGAGAAGCUGUUUUCUGACAUCCUGUGCCCUCCUCAAGGAUCGAGACUGAACAAAAUUCUCAAAACACCAUGGCCCUGAAAAAUUCUUAGCUUUCCAUGCCUCAUAGACUGCAAGUAAAGUCAGAUGAUCUCCCUCUGGCUGGAAAAACUUGGCUCUCUUCUGAUCUGCCUGGGCUUGUUUUUCCCUAGGCCUGUAAAAAAUAUUACCAGUCUGAAUCAUUGCAAUGAUGGUCAAGAUCUCAUCACUGCAUCCAAGGUCCACACUGGCCAGUAGCAUCUUAGACAAGGGUGGAUCCAGAGGAAACUCAGCCAUUUUCCUACCCAAUUUGGUGAGCAGCCCCUCCUCAUCCAGUGCUCCUAAACUGUACAAUUGUUCCAUGGCAGAAAUGAGUGCUUGGGGUGAAGGAGGAUCCAUAAAAUCAAAAGACAAGAGAUCAUUUAUCCCCAUAGCUUUCAUCGUAAGUGUAGUAGUCCCAAGAUUUAUCCUCUGGAUUUCUGGAAUUGAAGUAGGGGACAUCUCAUUGCGGUAUGCACUCUCAGUGUAGAGGCGGUAACAUUUCCCAGGGCCUGUACGCCCAGCACGCCCAGCUCGUUGCUUAGCUGAUGCUUGGGAAAUUGGAGUUAUGACCAGUGAAUCUAGCCCCUGCUUUGGGUUAUAAACAUUUUGCUUUGCAAAACCAGGAUCAAUGACAUAAAAUAUCCCAUCAAUGGUCAGUGAUGCCUCAGCAAUAUUAGUAGCCACAACUACUUUCCUCUUACCUGGUGGGGCAGGAUCAAAUAUCCUUGACUGCAUUUCACUAGGAAGGGCACUAUACACUGGUAGGAUAAUCAACUCAGGGACAUUUUUACCAAGACCUUUCAUCCUCUCAUAAAGAGACUGGCAUGCAAAAUCAAUCUCUUCUUGUCCAGUCAAGAAAAGAAGGAUGUCACCUUCAGGUUCUGUCAAGUGUAUUUGUAGAACAGUUAUUAGAGAUGCAUCAAGGUAGUCGCUUUCCGGCUGUUUAGUGUAGAGUAUCUCUACAGGAAAAGUUCUCCCAGGGAUAGUGAAGAUGUUACAGUUAAAGAAAUAACCGGAAAACUUCUCCGCAUCCAAGGUAGCAGAUGUGACAAUCAAACGAAGGUCUGGUCUCCGCUUCACAAGCUUCUUCAGUAGUCCAAAAAGAACAUCUGUGUGGAUUGUCCUCUCAUGAGCUUCAUCAAGCAUGACCACAGAAUACUGAGAAAGGUUCUCAUCAAUCAAAAUCUCCCUAAGAAGCAUACCAUCAGUCAUGUACUUGAUGACAGUGUCUGGACCAGUGCAAUCCUCAAAACGAAUUGCAUAGCCGACUUCCUCUCCUAAACGACAACCAAACUCUUCAGCAACCCUCUUGGCCACAGACAUAGCAGCCACCCUACGUGGCUGUGUACAACCAAUCUUACCCAUUGUCGUGUAACCCGCUUCUGCAAGAUACUGCGUUACCUGUGUUGUCUUACCCGAACCAGUCUCACCAAUGACGACAAGCACUUGGUUCUCAUGCACCGCUGCAAUCAAUUCUUUCUUCAGCUUGUAGAUAGGCAAGCUCUGCCUCUGUUCCUGGAUUGAGAGUUUUGACCUCUGCCCAAAACUGAUAGUUUUCCCAAAAGCAUCCUUCUUCCACUCAGGCAUAUCAUAUGCUGACAAACCAACACCUCUAAGUUCUUGUGCAAGAUGCCUCUCACCAGUCUCUGGCAUUGGAUCUUCCCAGGGACGAUUGAGAUCCUUUGGGAUAGAAUCCAACAUGGUUCUCUGCUGCUGCUCACGCACUUCUCUACGCUCCUUAAUGAGUGCGGACUGAAGUGCAGCUGCACGACCCAGUGACCCUUCUGGAUUCUUAAAGAUUUUCACAGGUGACAUAUCAACAGAAUACCUGCUCUGUCCAUUUAAAAAGGCUGGCUCGUCCUCAUUGAGCUCAAUCUCAAGCUCUUCCUCAGCUCCCUCUUCUUGAUAAAGCAUCCCAUCGGUUUCCUCAUCAUACAUAGGAUACUCUGUAACACCCAAAACACCUGAGGCAAUCAACUGUUUGGCUUCCCACUUCUCUGGCGAGCUCAUUCUCUUCAAUGGCCGACGUGAUGGGCCAACAUCAUCCUCUUCCACAAUCCUAAUCCCAGAAAGACCAGUCCUAGUCACAGGUCCAUCCUUUGAAAAAGAUGGGUUCGUCCUAAGAGCAUCAUCCUCUGAGCUCUUCUUCAAGGGGAGCAAAUCCUUCCCUGUAUGUUGAUCAACAUCCCUCAUUGAAAGGCUCAACUUCUGACCUGAAAUUGAAAUCACCUUCACAUAAACUUCCUGAUCCCUCUUCACCACAUCCUUAGCAUUGCUAAUUCGCCUAGUUGCCAUCUGUGAAACGUGAACCAGACCCUCCUUCCCUCUUAAAUCAUUCAACUGAACAAAACAACCGGUGUCCAUCACUCUCGAAACCCUGCCCUUAUAAACCUGAUACAAUUCGGGCUCAUCCGAAUGGUUCUGGCCGUUCUGCCGAUCCCUAUUACCUCUCCUAUCAUCACCAUCUUCCUUAACAUCUCCAUCGUCUUCAUACCUAUCUCUCUUAUGCUUAUUGUAUCGAUCUGUAUGCCUUCCCCUGUCAUCAUCAUCAUCAUUAUAAUGUGUAUCUCUGCGCCUCUCAUCUCUAUCAUACCUUUCCCUUCGCCUCUCCCUCCCAUCUCUAUCUCUACCUCCUCUGUGUCUAUCUCGAUCUCUAUCUCUAUCUCCUUCCCUAUAUCUAUCACUACCUCUACGCCUAUCUUCUUCUCGCUCUUCAUCUUGUUCUUCUCUUCUGUUUCGCUUUUCCUUGGUCUCCAUCUCAAUUUCCUUCUCGAUGUCCUUGACUCUAUCUUUAUUAUCAGCGACUGCCAAAGCCUUAAACUUGGUCUUCCUACCAUCAGAAGCGCUCUCUUUCUUCGAGUCCUUCUCAGGCUUUGGCUUUGGUGGAAGAAUAGCGUGAAUGAUAGUGAGGAGUGUACGGACAAAGUAAUCGGGCAUCUCGGCACCGUUUUUCUUUAAUUUGGUGUCAAACUCGUCCACCGUCUCGCACUUUCGUCCCAACUCAGUGAUGAACUCCGCCAGAACUUUGUCCCCAACCCCUAUAUGGGUUUCGAGCUCUGAACAGACCUUGGAAACCAAGGAAAGGUACUCGAGCUUCUUCAAACCAUCGUCAGUGGCAGCCAUUAUGAACUUGCAGAGGUCCUAUUCAUAUUCAAUACAAAAACAAAUCAUAUCAAUAGAAAUUUCAAAAUUUAUGAGAAGAUGCAUAAACCGUAUAAUAUUAACUUGCACAGGCCCUAUUCAUAUUCAAGACAAAAAAUUCAUAUCAACGGAAAUUUCAAAAUUUAUGAGAAGAUCAUUGCUAUAUACUUUUAAUCAGUAGCAUAAAGUUCAAAAUUCAUGAAUGAUAAAUUUAUCACAAAAAAAGAAACAAUUUCUACAACUUCAAACUCACCCAGCAAAAAAUAAAAUUUAAAUCUAAAAUUGCAUACCAGGAGGAUCUGGAGAGUUAAUUCAACUAAUAAUAAAGUAAACUUGGAAUGCCAAAGCAAAUUCAACUAAAACCCUGUAGAACCCAGGAAAUAAGAAACGGAAGAGAAUAAAAAAGAAAUAUGAAACAAAAUCAAGGAAACUGAUCGUUGCUAAAGGGUGGAUCUUAAAUAUGUGAUGGGAUGGGGUCCAAGAUUAGAAUAUAUUGCAGUAAGACAUCAUACUUGGGAUGAGAUGAGAUCAAAGAUGGUUGCGCAUCAACCGUUGUCGCUGUCGAGAGAGAGGAGAGAUGAGCAAUAUGUAUAUGGCGGGAAGACGGCGUCGAAAAAUGGAGGAGUUGACGGUUGAGAUGGGCGGAUUGUUCGUCGCUGACGGCUGGAGCGUUUCUGUUUCAAAAAUAAUCUCAACUGAGAGGGGGGAUUUUAGCGAUUAGGGUUGAGAACUUGAGUUGGAGUGCACCGGCUGUAUCGAUACGCCUAAAUUUGGACCUGUGAAACUAGAGAAAAUAAUAUAAUAAUAAUAUCAUUUAUCUUUCCAAAGGCCAAAAACUUAUAAGUAAAAAUUUAAUAAAUUACAGAGAAACUUUAGUAAAUAGAAGAAUAUUAGGUAUGCAAUAAAAAGAUGAGGAAAAUUUUGGAAAAUAUAGUUAGUGGAGAUUUUUUUUUUUUUUUUAUACAAACAAUAAUCUAGUUUUUUUAUUUUUAUAAUCAUUCUAGGCCUACUUUAAUUUUUAUUUUUUAACAGCUAAUAGGAUAUUGGCACAUGAGUUGAUCUAUAGUAUUUUUUUACUACUUUUUGUUAGGUUAUUUUUAAUUUAAAUAUUCACUAGCCUCUUUUCACGCUCUUCUGCUUCUGUGAGAGGCUUUUUUAAAAAAAAAAUUGAAUUUAUUUUAGAAUUAAAAAAGAUAAUGAGUAGUUGUGUUCUAUAAAAAUAGGAUCCAUUAUCUGAUUUUUCUUUUAAUUUUAAUCUUUUUAAUAUGAAAAAAUGUGAAUUUACCAUAUUAUUCUCAUUUAAUUAAUAAUUUCAAUUCUUAAUGUUUGCAUUAAUCAAUGACAUUUUCUGGUAUUUUAAAUAUUUUAUCAUUCUCUACCUUUUGCUUUGUAUAUAUGGAUAUAGAUAAUAAUAAAAUACUCCCUUUCAUUGAGAUAUUGUUAUGCUUAAAAUCGUAUACACACCACAUUGUAUUGAAAUGUUAUAGUGACUAAACUCUUCAAGUAUCUUGCAAUUAUCAGAUAAGGAGUUAGUAAUCACAUAGGAAAAUAUUCAAUUUAUAUGUUUCUGGUUAUAAUAGUCAUGAUGCAUUUCACACCUUUUGCUGGUCUAGUCAAUACUGUUAUACUUCAGAAUUCCAAUAACGCUACGGGCACCAACUUAUUUACCAACUUUUGGAUACCAACACAUGUGGCACAUGACAUGGCAACCCAUGUCAUCUGCCAUCUCAUCUAUUUUAAUUACAAAAUUAACAAAGUGAGAAUGAACAAAAAAUAAUUUUGGUGGAUUAUUAUCGCGUUUGGAGUGAGUUUGGGUGUUUGAUUUGAUUUUGAUUAUUUAAUAAUACUAUUUUGGCCAUUGGAUUUGAUUUUGAGACAUUGGAAUUUUUUUUUUUUUGGUACAGUUGGAUUUGCUCAAAUUAAAUCUUAGCCAUUAUAUAUAACGAUAGAAAUUAAUUGGAAAAGAAAACGAAACAGUAGUUUGAAGGAAGCCGUUGGAUUCCUACGAUCCUUUCAUCCCAGCUCGUUAUGUGUCCUGACAACACGGGCCCCACGUCUUCUCAUCCAUUAAUCCCAACUCAAUGAACUUCCUUUUCAAACCCAACAAAAAAGAAAAAAAAAAAAAAAAGCGAUCUGAUUUGAAUGCACUUCUUUAUCAUGCAUUUUGUCCAGGAUAGGGGACUGAUUUUCCAGGCCAAGUGCGCAAAACAGUAGAGAUUUUAAAAUCAACUUUCCGAACGUAAAAUUAAAGUGGCUCGUUUAUGAAAAAGUUUCCCUCCCAUCUCCUCCUACUUUUCCCUCCUCACUCCCCUAGAAGAAUACCGGUAUAUAUUUUUCAUUUUCGGAAUUUCCAUUUUGUCUCAACUCAAACGUCAUUUGCUCUUGUCAUCCUCCUCCUUCAAUCCAACCCGCAUCCAUUGUUAGCUCGAAUCUUCUAAAACUACUACUUCGUUGUAAUUGGAUAUUAUUGAUUUGAUGGGUAGAGAGCAAGCUUAUGUUGGUGACGAUAUUGAUGAAAGUAAGUUCAAGACUUCGGAAGCAAUGAACCGCUACAAGAUAAUCUUCAGUGUUCAAGCUGUGACGGUUGAGCGGGAGGUCAAAUUGAGUGACUUCGAGGAUCUUGGGCUUCCUAGAAUCUUCAAAUCAAGAGGUUGGCUUUUGGCAAUGGGUCCUUCAGAGCCUACUAAUAUCCAGAUUGUCCAAGAAUUCUACGCAAACAUUCCUCCUUUCUCCGCCGAGCAGAAAACCUCACCUGGGUUGGGCCCUUUUGGUUCUUGUUUGUGGGAUGAGACUCUGCAUUUCUCUAGCGGUCGAGAAUACCCUGACUCAUUUGAUGUGUAUUUGCGAGGUAAGGUGUUAAAUUUCUCUGUUUCUGGCAUUGCCCAGUUACUUAAACUUACUAGGGCAAACCCAAAUGAAAAAUCACCUGGUUUUCCUGGGCUUGUUGUUGAUAAUCUUGACUUGAAGGUGGUGAAAUCUACUUUGGGUUGGAACAAGAGGGUCAGGGUUUUGCGUGAAAAUCGACUGAGUGAUUUGUACAAAGUGCUUAACAGCAUAGUGAGAUAUAAUAUCGAUCCUCCUUGUCACGUUAUCCCUUCUUUGCUUAGCAUUGAUAGAGCUCGCCUUCUUUAUGCCAUUGGGAACAAUGUACCUACUGAUCUGGCCACCUACAUUUUUCGUGCCAUCUGCCGUGCUGCAUUCCCAACUUCCAUGCCCGACUCCCUGCCUUUUACUUCCUUGAUCACACGCUUCGCCAUGGCUUCUCACGUGCCAGUUGAGCCUACGGAUAAGCUUUAUUCUCCUUGGUCGCCUUUGGACAACGUGGAUAUUUUUGGCUAUAGCUUUACUCCAUCUUCUCCGGCAGUCAAGCAACCUCAAGCCGUGGUGAGCCACACGCCCAGUAUGGCCAUACUUACCAAUGGCGUUGCUGAGCACAGGGGUGAUGUGCACCCCGUUUCCACCCACUCGGUCAUCCCACCUUCUUCGAAACAGCCAUCUGCAGGUCAGUCAAAUGUUAAUAGACAGACAUUAACAACAACAAAUGUAAUUUUCCUUAGAUUACACUUGGACAUUCAGCUUAUUACUGUAAAAUGCAUAGGCCCUUAUUGUUUUUAAGUGCAGGUGGUAAAAAUUUCCGAGGGUUUUCGUUGGUAGCAUCAUAGUUAGUAACAGAGUUGAACUUAUAGUAAGCAAUUAGGCAUCAAACAUGGCACGUUUCUGUGAUUAGUACUUAUGUCCUUCAAUUGUGUAUAUAUUGUUUGCAUGGUAAGUGGAAACCUUUAGAAGAUAAGCUCUCUGUUUGAAAUCACAUCUGUAUUCUUUUAAGGUUUGGUGUGAAGGAUAAACCAUGAAGUAGUCUACUAAUGCGAUAAUGGCUCAUAUUUUCACAUUUUCCUGUCUUCGUUGCCUCUGUUCUUGAAAACGUAUAAAGUGAUGGAGAGGUCUUAUUAUUUUUGGAAAAUAUUACAAUGUUCCCACAUCCCUGUAAUCUGUAUUUGACAGUGUACAUUGAUAAUAAAAUGAACGACUCAGAUACUUCAUGUGACAAUGAGGUAUGAACUUCAUCACAUUUUGUCUCUUUAAGGUUAUAAUAGUCACGAUGCAUUUCACACCUUUGCUGGUUUAGUCAAUGCUGUUAUACUUCAGAAUUCAGAUAGAUUAGAAUCAGAUGAUUGCUUUCUCUCUGCUUGUUACCAAAUACUCUGUCAGUUUAAUAUCUUUGUGUGUAAACAAUAUAAGAAAAACGAAUCUUUUCUCUUGUGCUGUUUUUGCUCUCUUUGAUAUUUACUUUCUCUCUGUGCUUGUGCUGAAGAAAUAAUGGAGGCUGAAGAAGAAAAUAACAGCAAUUUGAUUCCUAACUCACAUGCUUGUAUAAAUCCAUUAACUUCAACUUCUGACUCGCAUCCAAAUAAGAAAGUGAAAAAAGAUCCAUUGGAACAUGCAGCUGGUGAGGUGUCAAAGUUACUGCUGAGUGGUUUCAAAGAUACCUAACGUCAGUAGAUUGCAAGUUUUUAAAGCUGUACGCAUAAUAUUGAAUGGUAACCCAGAAGAAUUCUCUCUACUGAUACUCUUCCUGAUGUUGAGAAGACAAAGUGGAUACUCUUACUAAUUAGUCAAUCUGAAGGUAACUUUCUUGAUAAAAAUUGAGCCAAUAGCUCAGGGGAUAUAAAAUAGGUCUUAGACAUAAAGCCACUUAUCAACAUUUACUUUCUCUCAGGAAAAGAAGAAAGUUUGAGAUACGCUAUCCCUUCUGGCCAUGGUAUGGCUCUCUCUCUCUCUCUCUCUCUCUCUCUGUCUCUCUCUGUGUCUCUCUCUCUCUGUCUCUCUCUCUCCCUCUAACUUAAUUUCUAGUUCUGCAUUUGUUGUUUUAAUUUUAUGCUUUUAACAUGUCAAACCAAUACUUCACUCUGUAAGAUUACUACUUAAUAUCUAGAUAGAAGAGAGAUUUGAACUGAAAUAUCCCAAUUGUAAAUCCUUCUACUCCAAAUUAAAGAGAAAAAGAAAAGUAUGAACCAAUUGGACAGAAUAUACUUGCACAUACUCCCUCCUUGAAUGAGUUUCAGUAAGAAAGCUAGUGUAGCCAAUUGGACAGAAUUUACUUGCACAUACUCCCUCCUUUGAUGUAGUUUCCAAGUGCAUCACCUUAUGAUACCUCUUCAUGUUUUCAAUUAGUAUUGGCUUGUGACAUGCCAAUUUUCUGAGCUUUUAGGGUUCAAUUAUGUAGAUAGAAGAGAGAUUUGAACUGAAAUAUCCCAAUUGUAAAUCCUUCUACUCCAAAUUAAAGAGAAAAAGAAAAGUAUGAACCAAUUGGACAGAAUAUACUUGCACAUACUCCCUCCUUGAAUGAGUUUCAGUAAGAAAGCUAGUGUAGCCAAUUGGACAGAAUUUACUUGCACAUACUCCCUCCUUUGAUGUAGUUUCCAAGUGCAUCACCUUAUGAUACCUCUUCAUGUUUUCAAUUAGUAUUGCCUUGUGACAUGCCAAUUUUCUUCAAUGAUUAUAUACAGGGAGCAGAGUGGCCAAUUCUUUCCUUUCAUAAUUCAACAUCUUGUUCUGGGCACAUGGUAGAAGAUGCCUUCUUGUAAACAGACUUUUUGUAUUUGGUCAGGCUUGCAAUGCUCUAUUUUGUGGAUUUUAAGAUUGUAUUAGGCUUACUUGUGAGCUGCAAAAUGCCUUGUACCAAAGUUUAUGUAUAAAAUGUGUGCUAAAUCUUGUGUGUGGAGUACAAGAUUGAAGGUCUUCCUGGAAAAGCAAUCACAAGCAUUUUCUCUUUUCAAUUUGUAGAAAUGUUCAAGUUCUUGCCCAUCACUUGCAGAUAUAUAGUGUUGUGUACCAUAAAGGCUCCAUCAUAUGCAAUUCCAUCAAGGCUUGCAGGCCAAUCACUGCUUUCUCUUGGAUAUUACAAACAUUUGUAGAGCCAUAAUGAAAACUUGGUAGACAAACCCAAAUACGUGCAUUGACCAUUUGCUUAAACUUGAUAGGCUAGCAAGAGCUUGUAGCUCAAGUGGUUAAGAGUAUCUAUCCUUACACUUGAGGUCCUAGAUGUGAUUCCCUCCUCCCAAUAUCGCUUGUAACCAAAAACAAGCAAAAAAACUUGAUAGGCCAGACCCAGAUGAACCUGGUUUUCAUAAACUUGUUUGUCAGCUUGAUAGUGGCUUAUUAGAGUCCAAAUUGGUUGGGAAAGUAAUGUCCACCAGUUUUAGCAGAUACCCUUUGAGACAAUGUUGAACAGAGCACUUCACUUGAUUGUUAAUGACUAGGGCCCCAAGGGUAUGUUCUUGGUAUGUUACCUUAGGCCUAAGAUACUCUGUCUGUCAGAAGAGAAGAAUGGAGAAGAGGGUGAACAGUGCACGAGAUUGCUGGGUUUUUGCAAGUUAGAGAGAUGAAGAAGGUGGAAAAAUAAGGCACAAAUGGGAAGAUAGCUUGCAUUCUUCUUAUUUUUAACAGACUUUUAUAUAUACCCUACAACGUAAACUAGAAAAUAAUUAUAUAAAAUAAUGAAAUUCCAAAACUCUUUUGGAUCUGAAAGUCUAAAGGUUUUCAUUUCUUCAGUUUUCCUCUCACUCUUUGGUUCUCCAUCAAUUUAUUUUUCAUCAUUCUCUCAUCUCAUCCCUCCUUUACAUGUAUGCAAUCAUUGUAUAUUAAAUGAGGAGAAGUGAGGAGAUGAGUAGAGCUGGGUUCAGGGUUGGUGACAAAGAAAAUGAAAUCAAUCAAUGAUGGAGAUAGAUGUCCAAAGAAAAAUAUUUUGAUGAAGUAGAGAAAUUGUAUUUUUGGGAAGAGUUGAGUGUCUAGAGAAUGGUGAGAAUAAAAAUAGAAACCCAUUGAAACACCGAGUGUAAACAGAAUUCUUGGUAAUAUGAAAUUUCUCUUUCACAUUCAAGGAGUCAAAUCACAUGAAAAGUUUAUGAAGGAACUAUGUUGUAACUACUCUUAACAACUUGAGCUAUACGUGUCAAGUUAGAUCUUCAAUAAUGUAGUAACACACUCUUCAAUAAUGUCUCACAAUGUUAGAUCUUUCAUAGUGAAAAUUAAAUUGAAGAGUGAGAAAGUGAUUUCUAAGAGCAACUCCACCGCUCAAGAUUGAGCUAGGGCAAUCAGUGGGUCCCACCAACCUGGGCAGGCCCAAAGGCAAUUCUUGCAUGGGCUUCAGCCCGAGGGCGGUGACAUCAGCGCACGGUAAUUCAAAUUUUUUUUACCGUUGGUGCGUGAAUUACACGCGCCAACAGUAAAAAAAUUUGACUUCCGCGCGCUAACGUCAGCCCUGAUAGACUCUAAUGGCCAUUUGACACGUAUCGCAACCGGGCUUCUCCGAUGAGUUUUUUUCCAGAAAUCCAACGGUCUUUGUUUUUUUGGCUAAAAAAAUUCCAAAAAAAUUCUGAAAUUUUUUUAAAAAAUACCAAAAAAAUUCUGUAUUUUUUUUUCCUAUAAAUACCUAACUAUUUUAUUUACUUUCCACACUAAAUCUUCAUACAAUUUCUUCUCCAUCCAAUAUUUUUUACUCUCCACUCACAUUAUUCACUUCCCACACCAAUUCUCCAUACAAACUCUUCUCCUUCCAAUAUUUUUUACUCUCCACUCACAUUUUUCACUUCCCACACCAAUUCUCCAUACAAAUUCUUCUCCUUCCAAUAUUUUUUACUCUCCACUCACAUUUUUCUACUACUUUCCAUUUGUAAAAAAAAAAAAAAAAACAAAUGGCAUCUUCUGUCGAAACCGGAGGCUCGUGGUCAACUCAGGAAGAUAUUGCAUUGUGUCAGUAUUAGGUGAACGUUAGUAAUGAUCCUAUCACGGGCAAUGAGAUGAAGUUCCAUCAUAUGUGGAGUAAAAUUCAUGGAGAAUUUUGUCAAAGAUCGGGUCCCAUUCGGACCGAAAUAGCCUUGUCUAGUAGAUGGAAACUUCUGAAUAAAGAGUUAGGGAAAUGGAGAAAUGCCUUGACAAAAACAAGGGAGAACAUUCGAAGCGGUCAAAAUCUAUCCGAUGAGGUAAAAUAUUUAUAAUUGUCAUUUUAAUAAAUUUAAUGUAAUUUUUUUUUAUUGCAUAUUCUAUGUCUUUUUGUUGCAUAAUCUUUUUUUUUUCUUUUUGCAUUUCCAAUUUGUCUAUAUUUUCUUGCAUAAUCAAUUUCAUUCUUGCAUUUCAAAAUAGUUUAUAUUUUCUUGCAUAAUAAUUUUUUUUCUUGCACUUCCAAUCAUUUAUUUUUAAUAGAUCAUACAAGCACAAAUGUGGUUCGGUGCCAUGGGGCAAGGCAAAAAAAGUUUCGUGCAUUUCCAAUGUUGGGAAGUUGUGAAAGAUUGUUCAAGAUUCAAAAUUAUUCCCACCGGUCCAACAGUUUUGUUGAAUGAGACGCCGCUUCACGAUUCACCAUCAACCGAUUCGCCAUUGGACUUCCCAAUGGAAACGGAGUCACCACUCCCACGUCCGCCAAGACCUAUUGGGAGAAAGGCGGCAAAGGCCAAGAGAGGGGGCACUUCAAACAAUGAAUGUAUACAAUUAUUGGAGCAAAUAGCUAAGAACACCUCACUAAGAAUUGAGAGAGACUUGAAAAGAGAUGAAGUGGACAAGGCACGAGAGGAAGCAUUUGUAAUUCAACAGCAGCAGGCACAAGACAAAGACAUGGAUGAUAGAGAGAUGAAAAUCAUGGCCAUGGAUACGAGCCAUAUGUCUCCUGAAACCAAGGCCUAUUGAAAGCAUAGACGAAGAGAUGUGAUGAGAAGAAAACUUUUCCAUGACGAUGAACCUAGCAAUACGGAUUGGUUAAAUGAUGAAAACCAUUAAGUUUUAUUGAAACACCUUUGCCAUAUGUUGUAUUGUUGUAUUGUUGUAUUAUCCUUUAAUUUAUUGUAUUGUUUCCUUUUCAUUAAAUAAAAAAAGUAUUAAAUAAUAUGACUAUUUAUUAAAAACAUUUGAGCAUCAAAAUAAAGAUUAAUUAAAAACAAACCUUAAUUUAUUGCAAACAACACACAAAAUAAAUCAUACAUAAAAGCAUAAUAAUAAUAAAAAAGAUAGAGAUGGUGUAGUUUUAUAGAGGGAUUCAGAAGAUAGAAAUGACACGUGGCACAAUUUUAGAGGAUGAAAAUCUUAUCUGAAAUAUGAGAUUAUAAUUUUUAAAAAAUAUCUGAAAAUCUUAUCUAACAGAGAUAACACUUGGCACAAUUUUAGAGGGUGAAAAUCUUAUCUGAAAUAUGAGAUUAUAUUUUUUUUUUAAAUAUCUGAAAAUCUUAUCUGACAUGGGACACGUGACACAAUUUUAGAGGUGAAAAUGUUAUCUGAAAUAUGAGAUUAUAAUUUUUUUUAAUGAAUAUCCGAAAAUUUUAUCUGGAAUAAGACAUGUGGCAACUAAGAUUCUCAUUCGAAAAUCUUUUCUGAAAAAUAAUGGACAUGUGACAGUAAAAAGUAUUAUCCGAAAAUUUAAUUACAAAAGAUUAUCAAAAUUAAUAGUUUAAAGUAUAAAAAAAUAGGAAAUAAAGUACAAUGAAUAGUAUUUACCUUAGACUUGCCCUAGACUUAACCCUCAUGGGUGGAACCACAAAUGGCAAGGCUGCCACUAUUCAUGUGACUAUUCAUGUGAAUAGUCACAGCCCUUGCUUACCCUUGCCCUAGACUUAGCCCUUAUGGGUGGAAUUGCUGUAAAAAGUUAACAUCAAAAGACCCUUAAAAAGUAUGUGAUCAUUCUCAAUAUGGACCCCCAUAUUUCAAUUUCAUUAUUUUACUCCCACGGUUUUCAAAUUUGCUCAAUUUACUUUCCGUCACAUUAACUGCUAACGUGUCUACUGUGAGACACAGCCACUUAUCAAUCCCCAUCCCAUCUAACAUGUAAUAAAACAAAAACUAAAUAUAUGAUAUUAAAAAAAAAGAAAAAAAAAAGAAGAGGCAUAUAGCCUUCCCCAUCACUCUCACCGACGCACAGUCGCACCACCCGAUCCCCCUCCCUUUCUUCGUCCUCUCUCUCUCUCUCUCUCCCUCUCUCCCUCUCUCCGUCCCUUUCUCCCCCAUCCCAUCUUCUCGAGUUCUCUGAUUCCCCCCCCCCUCUUCGCGAUCUACCUCUCCUUCGAGAGGCUUCUCGAGUCCAGGCCCUGCGAUGCCGAUCAGACCUAGCUCAUCGAUCGCUCUCUCCAAUUGGGCUCUGUGCUCCUCGAGGCUGCUAAUCGUUCUGCGAGAAAACCAGCCUCCAAGCACAACUCUCUCACCUGUACUCUCCCCUCAAACCUCCCUCCAAGCACAAUUUGUAUAUAUUGAUAGGGAUGGGGAGCUGGGAGGAUAGUGGGACGGAGAGAGAGAGGGGGGGACGAAGAGAGGGAGAGUGCUCUGGUGGGGAAGAGCCAGGUGCGCCGCUAUCACGAACACAUUCAGACCACGAGCUGACGCAAGUGGAAAUCAUGCUUCUCUGUUUUUCUAGUUCUGUAGUCGCCGCUAAUCAUGCUGCUUUGAUUUUCCAUUGAUGUUUGCUUUGUUACUCUCAAAAAGUUUCCUUCCUUUAUUUUUUAUUUAUUUCGAUAAUGAAAUUUGAAAUUUGAAUUGUGUGUUGCUUUGUUACUCUCAAUAAAUCUUCCUUCUUUUUCUUUUUUCUUACAGGAAUUGGGUUUUGGUGUUUCACCAACGAGCUGACGCCAGAGAGAGAGGGAUGGGGUUGGUGUGGGUGCGAUUGAGGGGUGAACAAGGGGUGCUGGGUUUGUUGGGCUGAGGAAGGGCUGGGAUUUUUUAAGGUAUUUUUAUUUUAUUUUAUUUUAUCACUUUAUAUAAAUUUUUUUAGGAACUGAUUAGUUAGUGGGCGGAUCCCGAUUGCCCAUAUUGAGAAUAACCCCAAAUGUCUUUUGAUGUUAGCUCAUUUCUAAAUUUGUAGAGUGAGGGAGUGACCACAGUUUUGAUAUAUUGGUGUCUAUUUUUAUUGGAGCUGAUUUUGUUUGCCUCACCUUACCAGUGGGUAUAUUCCUGGUAAAUAAUAUUGCAACUCUUGCGCUUUUAGAAAUUGUGUGUAUAGUUUUAGAAAAUGGGUCAUGUAAUUUUAAUAUAAAAUUGCUACAAACUCUUGUCAACCCUGGAAAGUUCAGUCCAAGUGGACGAGACAUGCUCUCUCUUAUUAAAAAUGCUAUACAUGUACACCAUGCUUUUGUCCUCAAAUUUGGACUCGUUAUACAGUAUAGACUACUUUAUUUAUGUACUUGGCUAAGAGUUCGAUUAUUUUCCUCCCCUUUUCUUAAAUGGAAAUCAUCUCUAGUUCUUUUCACCCCUAACAACAUAUGGAACUGCUGAGUUCAUAACUUUUCUAUUGUUUAUCUUUUAUGCAUAAAAUUAUAUCUUGUUUUUUUACUGGGUAAUUCAAAACUUGGAAACUCCUUCGACGACUUUACUAAAAAGGAUUUAGGUUUUUUUUACUAAAAAGUCAGUAUAGUAUGAAUACCUAUUUGAUACGAUGUAGGUUUUUUUUUUUAAUUUAAAAAUUUAUUGAAAGGAUUUUUAAUUAUUUGUAUUGGCACUAUUAAUUUUGCCACAGAAUUCUCAGAGGUUUAGUAAUUUGCUUUUACAAAUACCAUGAUCGUUUUGGGAAAUCUCUCUUUCUGGAGGCAGAUUCCAGAGCCGUUUAAGGGAAAUUCGUAGUCGAGCUACCGAUGUUCAUGAUAAGGAAAAGGGAAUCAAGAUUACUGAGAAGGAUUGGGAAAAGUUGAAUGUACAAUUGCUUCAUACAACAAUUUUCCUACUGCUGCUGGAUUGGCUUCCUCAGCAGCUGGUUUUGCUUGUCUUGGUAACCGAUAAUACCCUAUUUUGGAUCAUAUUAUUGUUAAUUUGUUAUAUGAUUAGUGCCUUAACUUUGAGAACUCAUGACUGUUAAUAAUGUUACUUGGGUACCGGAUUAAUCAUUCUUUGCCAAUAGAUAGUAGUUAAGCAACGAGCAUAUCAUAGCUAAGCCUCUGUUUCUACUUGCAGUUUUUGCCCUCGCAAAGUUAAUGAAUGCGAAUGAAGAUCACAGCCAGCUUUCUGCUACUGGAAUCAAUCUGAGAUUUUAAUAAGCCAUCGCAAUCUGACUAAGUUUUACAGAAUACUUAACACAAUAGUAAGUGCUGAUAUCGACCCUGAAGAACGUCUCCUUGACAGUAGCUUAAUUGAUUUUGACAGAGCAAGCCUCCUUUAUGCCAUUGGGAAUAAUAAUGCGUCCAUUGAUCAGCCCGCCCACAUUUUCCGAGCCAUUUGCCUGGCUGCAACCCCAGACGACUACUACGAAACUCAUUCCCUGCCUUUUGGGUCGUUGAUCACUAGGUUUGCCAUGGCGUCUAAAGUGCGAAUUGAUCCUACGGAUCAGCUUAAACAACUUAUGCCACCUAUCAACUAGAUGAUGUUUCAUAAUGAUCAGACAGAUGAAACAAGUGAAGAAUCUGUUGUUGGAUUUACUCCUCCUCCUGCACCUGCUUCGGAGCCAAGUCCUCCACAGCUUAAUCAGCCUCCUCUGUCCCAGACAAAAAGCUUUGAGAAGUUUUCUAUAAAGCUGAGAAAGCGCAUGGCCCGACUUGCCAAUGAGGUCGUUAAGCUCACCGGUUGCGUACAUUGGGGCAUCCCAUUGAAAGAGCCAUUUACAGGUCAUUCUAAUGUUGAGCUUGCUUUAGUUUAUAUGUGUUUUUGUCCUUUUCAGCUUUGUUAAACCCUGUCUUCAACUUUCAUUUCUAAUCCAUUGAUUAUCUAUGAGUUGUUAGGCUUUUGUUUCCAUUUGUUUAUUCAGUUGUUCUUCUUUUAUACCCUCUCAUUUGUUUCUGCUCCUCUGUCUUAUGAUUUUCCACUUCCACUUAUCACUCCCUUGUCAUACACACUUGCAGUACAAGAUAAAUAGAAUCUGAAGUUUGCCUUGUUCUGGAUGAUAAAUAGAAUUCUAUUUAGUUAUAUAUUUUCAAAGAUACAAGUUAAAUAAAGACGAUGUAGCGAGCACCAUAAGCUUCAAAAGAAUUUUCCUAGUUCUAGGCUUAAGUAUAUUUUUUAUCUAAAGGACCUCUGAGUUGACUGCAGGAACUGAUUCAGCCUAAUACUGUAAAAGAAUUGUCCCUUGAAUAUCUUUUUAUGUACAGCUGGUAAGAAAAUUUUCGGGUUUUUACUGGUGGAAGGAAAGUAAUAAACUUGAAGUUAGCAACUAGCACUGAAUGCUUCUGUGGUUAGUGAUUUAGUAUUAAAGAGAAGCUCUGUUUCUGAUCAUAUAUGUAAGAUUGAUUUUGAUUGCAUUAAUUAGUAAAAAAGAUAAGCUCUGUUUCAGAUCAUAUAUGUAUUCUUUUAGUCAACUAAUGAGAUGGGGUGGUUAACAUUUAUUUAAGUGUGACUGGAACAGUUUUGAGUGAUGAAUUUUCCUAUUUUCACUAGGGAGCUGCCUUUGAAUUUGAUAUUUUCGGGAGUGAUUCGAUGCUUUUCUCUCGUUUGAAAACUUAACAAAAUUAAAUAUUCACAAUAUUCCCCAUCGUCUGUAUAAUAAAAAUGAAACUGCUUCUACAUGUGAUUAUGAACUCCAACACAUCUUGUGUCCUUGUGGUUGUAAUAGUCAGCAGUUAAUGCACUUCUUUGCUGCUUUAGUGGAUGUUUUUUAUGCUUUACUUUCUCUCUGUUAUUGUGCUGAAGAAAAUAUGGAGGUUAAACAAGAAAAUGAUGAGAAUUUUAUUCCCAACUCACAUACUUCGACACAUCUAUCAACUUCAAUUUCUGGCUUGCAUCCAAAUAAGAAAGCGAAAAAACAUCCAUUGGCACAAGCAAUUGGUGAGGCGGCAGACUCACAAAAGGAGUUUUCGGCAAGUCAAAUGAACCGCAACUCAGAGGAGAGGAUGUACUUGCAGUGGUCUCAAAGAUACCGAACUUCAGUAGAUUGCAAGUUUUGAAGGCCGUACACAUGUUAUUGAAUACUGCUUAUUAGUAAAUCCUGGGUCUAACUUUCUUGAUAAAUGAUGCUGAGUGAGCCAAUUAUUUCUCAGGGGUUUAAACUUUUGCAUAGAGAGACACUUAUCAGCAUUUACUCUCUCUCUCUCUCUCUCUCUCUCAUUAAUCCAGUAUUAGGAGUGAUCUUGCUUUUUAUUCUUUUCAUAUACAAUAUUAUUGAUAUCCUUUUAUGUCCUUUUACACACACUGAGCUUCUUGACAUGUUCUGGGCUUUUAAUCAUGCUUCAAAGACAUACUUUAAAUCCAUUUAUAUAUCUUCUUUAUCUAUUUAUUUCUCUUGUUUGAGAGGAGGUAUUAUUUCUCUUGUUCAUUAUACUAAUGUAAUUUACACGGAAAGGGGUUUGAACUUCGGUGUAAGGGGUAAGCUCACCAUCUUAUCCAAUUAGCCUAACCGCAUUUGCAGAUGUAUACAAAUACAAUGAUAUAGUCCAAACUACUCUAAAUCUAAACUACUAGGGCAUGUUUGGUAGGGUUCACUAGAUAGGACUAUGCUAAAUUGAACCUGAAACCCAUGUUUGGAUAGAAAGGGGACUAAUUUAAAUGGGAUUGUAGAGCCCAACAGUAACAAAAACCCCUCACUCGUUCUCCUUAUACAGAGAAGCUGAAAAUGGGUUCACAAAAUAAGCGCUUCGUUAUAUUGAACACGCGACAACGCCUCUCUCUCUAGUUCUUGACUUCGCCCUCUAUCUAGUUCGCGACUCGACCUCUUCUUUGUUCAACAUCGACUCCUCUUCUUCGAAUCUUGACCCAGGCAAGUUUUUCUGGUCUUUCCCUUUGGAUACCUCUCUUUUCCUUCUUCCACCUCUUUGAUUUUUGCAAUUGUCCUCAACAAUUUUGACUCUGUGCUCUGAAUCUCUCCUUCCUUUUCUCUGUUUUUUGUUAUUCUUUUCUCUAAUUUUCGUAGAAUCCAUAUCUACUGUAGCGACAUAUAUAUAUUUGAUGUUAAUUGACAAUUAAUUUGCAAUGGGUAUUUAAGAAAGCCUAGAAAUUCAGAAUCUUGAGUUUAGAGUAGACUUUUGGCAUGAAUCUUGAGUUUAUUGAACUUACUGGUUCAUGUGGGAUGAUGCAUCUUUGUGGUUUCAGUUUUUAAAUAAGAUGCUCUCCUUUCAUCUUAUUUAAUCUGAAUAAAAAUAAGAUGUUUCUUUUCUGAUGUACGCAAUUCAUACCAGUCUCAUGUGUGACUAUAUUCAAUAGGAUUUGAGACAUGAUGACUAAACCUUCUGAAUAUCUUUCUAUGGCACUUGGUGGCUGGACUGAGGAUUUCUUGUAUUUUCAUGAGUUGUAUUCAUUGGAGACUUUUAAUAGGUACCUUAACAUGUAAAAUGGCUGCAUCUUGCCUACCAUCAUCUACUUUCAGACACCACAUAUAUAAUCUCACAGUUGAGGUGUAAGUUUUGAAGUGGAGCCUCAACUUAGGCUCUCUGUUAGAACGUCUCCUUUAAGUUCUCAUUUUGGGUAAAUGAGAUUCUGUAUUCACUCUAACUGUAUUCAAUUAGAUUAACUAACAUAAGAAUGUCUCUACCCUUUUUUUCUUUCUUUUUUAUAUUUUCCCUAUUUCCCCAUGGUCAUAAUUUACAGGCCUUUGUCUUAACUCUGGCACUACCUAGGUCUGCCAAUUUUCUUUUUUCUUGGUUGGUGAUUUAGUGCUAAAAGAUUACACAGAGGAAGAUUAGUAUUUGUUUUAUGCUUGCUGUUGAGUUUCUUUUGUAGCUAUGAGGUUGCCAUUUCUUAUAAAAUUUUUGCCAAAAAGUCAUACUAGGUUACCAUUUGGAUAGAAGGUACAUCAAAUCUUGAUUUGGGCCUUUUUGUUUGCUCAUGUCAUUGUGGUAAUGUUAUAGGUAGCUGGUGUGAAAUUAAAAAGAAAAAAACAGAGUUUGCAUUGCUAUUUUAUUAUUCAGCAUUCCAUCAGUUGUUUUAUGCUUGCUGUGGAGUUUCUUUUGUAGCUAUGGGGUUGCCAUUUCUUAUAAAAAUUUUGCCAAAGGUUACCAUUUGGAUAGAAGGUACAGCAAAUCUUGAUUUGGGCCUUUUUGUUUGCUCAUGUCAUUGUGGUAAUAUUAUAGGUAGAUAGAAUCUAACAAUUCUUUACAGUUGACUCUGGUGUGAAAUUAAAAAGAAAAAAAACACAGUUUGCAUUGCUAUUUUAUUGUUCAGCAUUCCAUCAGUGAUGGGCAGCUUGCAACUUUCUUUUAGUGAUUGGCAUGGGCAAAGUCCUUCUAAUGUCCUCUCACCACAUGUGGACAUUAUACCAGUAGAGCAAUUUCUCCUUUAUAUGAGAUAGAGAGACCAAUUACUCAAAAAUGAAUAAAAUACCAACAACAAAUUAAAGAAAACAGAGCAUCUGACACUGUUGGCCAUGUCAAAGCAAAGUCAUGCUAUGUUUUUUCUUUUUGUUUGGAGAAAGAUAUGUAGUUUUGGAGUUUGCAAUUGUGACAAAUCCCCUGUGAUUGAUUGUAUCUGUCAUUUGACAGAGCAAUUUGCGUCCUACAUGAGUAUCAAUUGAUUUUGGUCUCUCAAAUAAGAAAAUGCAAUAAAUAACAUGGUGUUCAUUAGCAGCAGCAGCAUCUUUUGGCCAAAAGUGAAAUAAUUCUGCGAUUUUUUUCUUCAUAUUUGUUGUGGUAUUAGGCACACGUUGGUUGAUAAUUUGGUCCAUUUGGGGCAAAUUUUCCAUACUUUGCAAUGGUAUUAAUUAUGGCUUUGUAGUAAUUGUUCUGUUUCAUAGAAACAUAUGAAACUGUUCGUUUUCAAUUUUUGGGGUUAUUUCACUUUCAAUAGAAUUGGUUAAGUGCAAUAAUUCUUUUCUUUUUUGAUUAAUAGAUAUGGAUCAUGCUUAGAAACAAAGUUACGCUUUUUUGGCAGAUUCCAAUUAUUGAUUAUGGUAUUAUUUUAUUUGUGCUGAUUAUUCUUAGGAAAGGAAAAUAAAGGUAACAGUCAAAACUUCGAACAAGGAAGAAAGGGACUAGGCGGUCAUGGUCCACAAAAUACAUCUAUAUUCAUGUCUUUGGAUGAUGAUAUCAAGAAAGUGUUUGUUGAGCAGUUGCUUAGUGACAAUGCUUGAGGACAUGGCCUAGCUAAAUUUAAUGCAUCUAUCUUUUUGGAAACACCAAAAAUGAUGCAUUGAUAAGAUUGGCUUCAUUUUGGAAACACCACAAAUUGUAUAACAUAUUGCUAGCAUUAAAGCCAAAUGGUUCAUGGUUGUGAGGUUUAUUAGUUCAUUUUGAAAUUGUGGAUGUUUAUUUGUAUGUAUUAAUGGUAGAAUUGUGUGUAGUGAACUGGACUUCUAAUUUCUGAGUAAUGUAGAUGACUUUGGCAUAUAUGAAGAAUUUCUAACUUUUGCAUAUAUGAAAUGUAUAUGUCAAUUUGGUUUGGAGAAAAAGAAAUGUAUAUGACAAUUUGGUAAUUCUAAUAACAAAAAAAACUUACAUUUAAUUAUUUAAAAAUAUUAUUUUUAAAUAUAAAAUAAUUAUUUUUUAGUCCUACAUAGCACCAAACAUAGGUCUUCGCUAUUUUUACAAUCCAGCUUUUUAGUCCGACACAGCACCAAACGUAUGUCAGUACUUAAUCCAGCUUAGUCCAAUCUGAGCUAAUCCAAGAUAAUCCUAGGAUUUAGUCCAGUCCAUGACAGUCCGCCGUACCAAACGACCCCCUAUAUUACUUUCCUUCUAUAGUCAAUAUAUAUGACUUUUGCCCUUCAAACUAAUUAUGUCUUACCUACAAUCCAUUAUUUUAUCUACUAUAUUACUUUCCUUCUAUAGUCAAUAUAUAUGACUUUUGCCCUUCAAACUAAUUAUGUCUUACCUACAAUCCAUUAUUUUAUUUUAUUUAUAAAUAAAACCCAAUGAUUGGAUCCGACUCAUCAAUUUACCUAAUUAAAUUUAAAAUUUUGAUUUAUUGUACUUUUUUUAGAUUAAAAAUAAUAAUUAUGGAUAAUUAAUCUACCUAUGCAAUCUCGGCAAAUUCUUAUACCUACAAAAUAUAGGUAAAUUGGUACCCUUUUUUAAUUUUAUAAAUAACGUGCCUAUUUUUUCAUAACUAAUGUACCUAUUUAUUUUAUAGAACUAAUUCAAUAGCAACGUUUUUUUAAAAUAUAGAAAUAAUGUACCUAUUUUCUUAUAAUUAAUGUACCUUUUUUUCUUUAAAAAUAUUUACGUAUUCAGAAUCUCGCCCCUAUUCUGACUGAGAAUUGCUCCUCAAUCAAUCAAUAUGCAUCUCACCACCCAAGCUCUCUUUCUUCACUGGGACCGUGUUUUGUUCUUUAUUUAUUUUUAUUUUUUUUUCAUUUUAGUUGUUGUUUAAUUUUUAAACUUGUGUUUUUUAAUAACCAUUAUAUUAUCAUUUAUAUCCAAGGGCGAAUGACCACAAAUUCCUUGGACCACAGGAGUUCAGAAGAACGGGACCGAGUAAUUCAUAUACUAAUCAUUUAUCGAGCAACAAAACAAAUCAAAUCAAAGAAUCAGAAUGCAAAAUGAAGGAAGCUGCUCCGAAACUCUAUGAUCAGAUAUCCAACACUAAAUCUACUUAAGUGUUUCGUGAUCAUCACUAUAAUAAGAGAAACUUUCGUGUGUAAUUGUAAGACCCCAUGUUUAACCUAAAUUAUAGGGGCAUUUCAAAAUAGACUUGGUCAAUAACCAAACUCUCAUAUUAUAGUUGUUGAAUAAAAACCCAUUAUUCAUUUAUUAGUAUCAAUAAAUAUAUAGGCAUUAUAUUAAUAUUAGGUUGAGUAGAGAUAUUUCCACAUGUUUCACUUAAGUCAAGUUCACAUUUGCAAAAAGAUAUUUGUAACUUGUGCCCAGGGGAUGGGAUGCAAAGCCAUUGAUUGAGUGGACACGGGAAGGCACCUUACCAAGUCAAGUCAAGUCAAUACCUGCAAGUCAGUUGGAGCACGCGUUGAAGGGCACCAUAUCAAGUCACAAGUCUUCAUUUAUCUUUUUCCACAUAGUGACAUGAAUUAAAGUGGUGAGUCUCUCUUCCUUUUGUUCACCCGUGUCCUUCAUAUUCACUUUUCAGUCUUUCAUUUGAAAACACUACAAUAGCACACUUUCCAAAGAGAUUCCCAAGCAGCUUAUUGGCCUUUCGAGUUCGGGGAAAUUAGCAAGUGGAAAAAUAAUUUUCCGGAGCUUUGUCUCUACGACAAGUUGGCUUUCCAAAAAAUCGAAAAGACUUUACAGUCUUUUUGUGUGAGUCAGUCAUCAUGAGUUUGCAUACGAAGACUUCAAAGUCUCCUUGAUGAUAGUCGUCCACAGCAAGCUCCCAACGUUAUAAAUUACUAAGAUGGACAAAUGCUCAAUAAAAUUUAAUUAGGAUAAUUAGUUGAUUUAAGGAAUAUCUCUUUUUCUGGUGUCAUUUUUUAUUGACCGGAGAAAUAUGUGUAUCCGCAUAUCCUACAUUGAUUGUCUUAGUAAUUUCCUUUGCAUCUAAAAAAAAUUUAUUUAACCCUAAAAAAAAAAUAUUACUCCAUCUUGAAAUGUUUCCCCUUAACCUUUGCCACACUAAUCACAAAGUAUACUAGUAAAUGUUUCAAACCACGUAGGAUAAUUUUUUGGGAGAUUCACUAUUAUACCCAAUAUAAGAGUUCAAAUUUUUUUUUUAAAAAAAACCUAUAUGAAAUGGGCUUUAGAACACACCCAAAACCCAUUUACAACAUAACAAAAAAGCUUUUAACUUCUUUUAAAGUACAAAACUGUCAUUGAUUUCUUAAAACAAACUCAACCCAAAAACCUCAUAAAAAAGCUUAAAACACUCAAUAGGGUAUCAAAGUAAUUUAAUAAUCAAAAUUAAAUUAAAUAGAUCCGGCUGUCAUUUUUUGAGUUUAUUUACAAAAAUUAAAUGGUGUGGGGUUAAUUUAUAAUUUUAGUGCUAAGAAUGGGUAAAUAUUUAUAAUUUUUUCAAGCAUUAUUGUAGAGAUAGCAAUAUAGUGCUAUUCCCGUUACAAAAAAAUAUUUUUCCUUUUGAAUGAUACAUUCAUAUGUAUUUGAAAUUGAACCUACAUACACAGGGUGGUUGUCCACAUGGCAUGGUAUGAGAGCAUCAUUGAGCUAUGUCACUAUUCAGCAAAACAGUAUGUUGUGUCACCGAGCGUACACAAUUCUUUUUAUAUUAAAAAAUUAACCAAAAUUUUAAAAAUAGUAUUUUUAUUUUAUUGAAAUUAAAAAAUAGUAGUAUGAACACUACAUCUAUCAUCCUCCUUUUUCCAACAAAAGAAAUCUUAGUAGAUCUUUCUCUGCAAACUCUUCAUCAUUUCUAACUAGUCUAAUCGAACAGUCAACACCUACUUGACGUGUGGUUGUGGAGACUUAAAAGCCUUUGAAAAUUUUACUCCUUUAUAUGGUUUUGUCUUAUAUGAAUGUGUGGCACUGUUUUAGCUAAACCAUGUUUUUCUUUGUAAAAGUUUUCUUCCUUUUUUCCUAUAUAUAUAGUUAGUGUGUAAUUAUAAGACCCUAUAUAAUAUUAACCUAAAUUAUGGGGGCAUUUCAAAAUUGACUUGGUCAAUAACCAAAGUGUUUUGAAAAGCUCUCGUAUUAUAGUUGUUGAAUUAAAACCCAAUUUUCAUUUAUUAGUAUCAAUAAAUAUAUAGGUAUUAUAUUAAUAUUGGGUUGGCAAGAGAUAUUUCCAUAUGUUUCACUUAAGUCAACCUCACAUUUGCAAGAAGAUAUUUAUAACUUGUGCCCGGGGGAGGGAUGCAAAACCAAUGGUUGAGUGGACACUGGAAGGCACCUUACCAAGUCAAGUCAAGUCAAUAUCUGCAAGUCAGUUGGAGUACGCGUUGGACGGCAAAUCACCAUAUGCAGUUUAUGUCACAAGUCUUCAAUCUCAUAUAUUAAUUUCUCCAAUGUUCAUUAAUUUACUACUUGUUUACUUGGACUACUGACAAAUUUUUCUUCAAAUAUCUUUUUCCACAUAUCGACUUGAAUUAAAGUGAUGAGUCUCUCUUCCUUUUGUUCACCCGUGUCCAUAUUCACUUUUCAAUCUUUCAUUUGAAAACACUACAAUGGCACACUUUCCAAAGAGAUUCCCAAGCAGCUUAUUGGCCUUCCAAGUUUGGGGAAAUUAGCGAGUGGAAAAAAAAUUUCCGAAGCUUUGUUUCUUCGACCAGUUGGCUUUUCAAAGAAAGAAAAAACAUAAAAAUGGUAAAAUAAAGUAAUUGAGCAAUUAAAAAAGCAAAAAGAAAAAAAAAAGGAAUUACCGUUUGUUGACGUUUGAGUUAAAUGUGUAUGUGCAACGACUUAAAACUCUAGUUUACACUCUUUGUGGAACCAAAAAAUUGAAAAGGCUUACCAGUCUUUGUGUGUGUCAGUCAUCAUGAGUUUGCAUACGAAGACUUCAAUGUCUACUUGAAGAUAGCUGUCCACAGCAAGCUCCCUACCCAAAGUUACAAAUUACUAAGACGGACCAAUGCUCAAUAUGACAGGACCCACCCUGAAUUUCUCGGAACUUGAGACGAAUCCUGUGAAAAACUAGUACAUCCCUCCAAUGUCAUGCCCACUUACCAAAACUAUAGCCUCUUUUCCAAAUUAAGGAAAAAAGGUACGAGACUUUUUGCCAAAAUUUCGGCAGAGUCUCCCCUGUAAAUUGGACUUUCUCCAAAUUUUUUUAACCUAUUAAAAAUACAAUUAACAUCCACAACUAGUAGCAUGCACAACUAGUAGCAUGCACAAUUUAACCUUUAAGCAGUUUACGAACUAGGCCUCUGGCCUUUAACAAUUCAGUCAGUUGGGGCACGCGUUGGAAGACAAAUCACCACAUUAAGUCUAAGUCAAUAGUUGCGUUGAAAGGCAAAUCACCAUAUCAAGUCGAAGUCACAAGUCUUCGCGAUCUCAUCCAUUAAUUUCCCCAAUAUUCAUUGAUUUAUUACAUGUUUACUUGGACCACUGACAAUUUUUUCUUCCAUUAUCUUUUUCCACAUAGUAACAUGAAUAAGAGUUGGUUGUACCUUGUACAUUUUUUUUCUCCUUCUUUUUUGAAAUUUGGUAUAGUCCAGUUCUGAUGACAUAAGUGAAAUUGAACCUAUAUCUAAGAGCUCCUUUCAAAGAAAAAACAUAAAAAUGGUAAAAUAAUGUAAUUGAGCAAUUAAAAAAGCAAAAGGGAAAAAAAAGGAAUUACCAUUUGUUGACGUUUGAGUUAAAUGCGAAUGUGCGAAGACUUAAAAGUCUAGUUUCCACUCAAGUAUGUGGACUUAAUAGUCUUUUUGUGGAACCAGAAAAUUGAAAAGACUUUACAAUCUUUUUGUGUGAGUCAAUCAUCAUGAGUUUGCAUACGAAGACUUCAAAGUCUACUUGAAGAUAGGUCCACAGCAAGCUCCUUGCCCAACGUUACAAAUUACUAAGAUGGACCAAUGCUAAAUAGGAUUUAAUUACGAUAAUUAGUUUAUUUAAGGAAUACCUCUUUUUCACGUGUUAUUUUUUUAUUGACCGGUGAAAUAUGUGUUUCCAUAGAUCCCGCAUUGAUUGUCCUAGUAAUUUCCUUUGCAUCUAAAGAAAAUGUAUUUAACCCUAAAAAAAAUGUUACUCCAUCUUGAGACGUUUCCCCUUAAACUUGUUUGCCACACUAAUCACAAGGUAUACUAGUAAAUGUUUCAAACCACCUAGGAUAAUGUUUUCAAGCAUUAGGAGAUAGCAAAAUAAUGUUAUUCAUGUUAUAAGAAAUAUUUUUCCUUUUUGAAUGAUACAUUCAAAUGUAUUUGAAAUGGAAUCUACAUAUACGGGGUGGUUGUUCACAUGGCAUGGUAUGAGAGCAUCAUUGAGCUAUGUCACUAUACAACAAAACAGUAUGCUAUGUCACCCAAUGUACUCAAUUCUUUUUAUAUUAAAAAAUUAACCAAAAUUUUAAAAAUAGUACUUUUAUUUUAUCGAAAUUAAAAAAUAGUACUUGUAUUCCUGCAUCUUACUUUUUAACUCAUGCAUCAUAAUUAAUUUGGAAUCUAAAGUACUUAAUUUAAUUACCUCCAUAAUAAAGAGAUUCGAAUCUAAAGUGUUGAUGCUCAAAAUGGCCCGGCCAAUAUUGAGUCCAACUUAGUGAUUAGAUGUGCUGAGUCUUCAGCAGAGAAGAGGGCUGAGGCCCUUGGUGAAAUGGGUUGGUGAGAGACCUGUAGAAGGUAAAAAGAGGAGAAGCAAUCGUCAAGCUUCGGACACCGGUGUGGUGCCGGCCGAAGGCUCUCCGAUGCCUAAGUCAAUUACAAGUAGUAAUUCUGGCAGAGUAACAGUAAAAGUGGGAGAGUAGUUCUCUGUUUUACUUGGGUACUGUUCCCUAUUUAUAGGGAAGUGAAAGUGGGAGCUUUGCACAAAGUUCCAAUGUGGGACUUUGUGCAAGCCGUUGUGGUGACGACACGUGUCCUGGAGAUUAGGUUUGGCAGCUGAGAGCUUCGGCAGGUGUCUGGCACCUCGGAAGUGUGUCUUCCUUCGGCAUGGGAGAAGGCGUGGCUGCCUUGGUGCUAGUCGCUUUGAUGCUGGGUCUGCUCGGUUCAUUAUGGUGUAAACAGUAGUCCCCCAAGUUCGCGGUCGAGAAGUAACUUCUGGGUUGGGAACUUGUGAGUUUUUGUAAUUGUAACCGAGCAUUCCAGCUUCAUUGGGAGUCGCAGGGCACUCCCUAGUCCCCCAAGUUGGCAAGCUAGGAGUUGCGUCAACACAUGGUAGCUGGGUACCUGGGUACUUGGGCAUGUUGCAGAUAGGAUGGGAGCUGGGUCCCUAGGGGAGCCAGACCUUCGAGGGAGCCGGGUACUUUGAAAAUUUUGGAGACUCCAAUUCUUUCAUGGCUCCUGCCGUGCGGCAAGGGUCUAGCUCACUUUUUUUUUUUUUUGGGAAUGGCCGGGCCAUUUGGGAUUUUUGGACCUCCCCACAAAGCCUCCAUGGCCCUUGCCGUUCGGCAAGGGUCUAAAUUAUUAUUAUUAUUUUUUUUUUUUUUUUUGCAAAUUUUUUUUUUUUUUUUUUUGGGAAUGGGAGCUAGGCCAUUUUGGAUUGGGCCUUCCACAGCUUCUCCAUGGCCCUUGCCGUUCAGCAAGGGUGUAGCCAUUUUUUUUUGUUUUGGAUGGCUUGGGAGCUAGGCCUUCAAGAGAGCCGGGUCGUUUUGAAAAUUUUCGACUCUCCAAAAUGUCUCCAUGGCCCUUGCCGUUCGGCAGGGGUCUAGCUAUUUUUUGGAUUGGGAGCUAGGCCGUGUUGAGAGAGAUUGAAGGCUUAGCUUGGAUUGGGCCUUCGGCAAGUAAGAAAGGCUUGAGUUUGGCCAAAGUGGGCUUCGGCAUGUAAGAAGGCUAGGGUUUGGCCAAAGUGGGCUUCGGCAUGUAAGAAGGCUAGGGUUUUGAUAGGGGUAUAAAAAUGGGAUGAUGGUGAUGCCGUUCGGCAAGGAUCCAUUCGGCAGGUUGAGGUAGAACAAAAUUUUUUUUGAAAUCCAAACUUGCCGUUCGGCAAGUUCUUGGAGUCCCGGUCUUGGAGUCACGGCUGUGGAGUUGCUGUCCGAGGGCUCUGCAGGUGGCUGAGCUUCGGCAGGGCAGCUGGAGUUCUUGGGGGCUGAGCUUCGGCGGCAGCACGGGGGUUGUAGAACCUUCGGCAGGGUCUGGUCGAGGUGCAGUUGAGGUGCUGCGGAGAUCGAAGUGGAGCUGCGACUGAUCUUGCCGUUCGGACGAAGGGGCUGGGCAGUUGUCUAGGCAGGCUGUGCGGCGCAGCAGCUUCGGCAAGGGCUUUGCCGAUAAGACAGCUGCUGGACAAGUGGAUUGGGUGCUGGCCGAGGGGGCUGGGAAGUUGAUUCGGCAGGCGGCAGCGAGGCUGUGCUGUCCGAGGAGGUUGAAGAGCUUCCGACUGGGCUUGCCGUUCGGCAAGGGACUUGGCAGCGGCCAAGGUGUCCAGCGGUUGGAGGCUUCGGCAGGGUUUCGUCGCGGCAGCUGGUUCUGCCAGCUGGGAGAGGUGCUUGGCCAGGUCGUGUGCUUCGGUAUGUCCUCCUUUCCCUCUGAUUUCAUUCUUGCAUAGCCCUUGCCGUUCGGCAAGGGUGCCCUGAGCUGAUUUUUAUUUUUAUUGAUCGUUGUGUUUGAUCAAAGGUGAUAGGCCCGAGCAAAAUUGGAGCUAGGCCAUUGGCACGAGCGCGGCCAAAAAUAACUUGGCUGAAAAAGUAGCUGGGCCGAAAAUAGUUGGGUGUGGAGAGUAUUUUGACCGAAAAGGUGAGUCCCCCCUUUGUUGUUUCUCGGGCCUUGCCGUUCGGCAAGCCCAUUUAUAUUAUGUGGUGGAAUUGGCUUGGGUGUCUUGAUCAAAUUUGGGCCUAGCCUUGUAGUAGGUUUGGGCUUAUGGAGUAGGCUAGCAAACUUGAAAUUUGGGACUCCAUUUUGUUUUUGCACGGGCCUUGCCGUUCGGCAAGGCCCCUAUUUCCCUCAAAAUUUUUGUGUUGGUUAUUGUGUAGUUUGAAAAUUGAAUUCAAAUGUACCUUUAGGAGGGAAUAUGAAAGGGUACUAGGGUUUGCUCGUGAAAUUGAGGCGUGGUACCCUUAGUUGGCUAUAAAAAGGAACUUGGGUGGUGAAGGCAUCACACUUGGCUUGAGUUGAGAAAAAUUGUGAGAAUUUUGAGGAGGAGGAGAAGAGAUUUCCGGCGAAGGUUUUGUGGUGGUGCUUGUGGCUGAGGUGAUUUCCGGGGACUUGUACGUGGUGGUACGAACAAGGUUAGACCUUAUUUCGCUUGAACUUUUGAAUUGAAAUGUCUUGUUUUGCAUGAACAUGUUGAAGGUUAGGAAGAACACAUUGAACAUGAGCAUGAACAUGAUGAACAUGUUGAACAUAUGUAUGAACAUGUAGAAUUCUUGCCUGGCAUGAAGAUUUGGCAAAUUGUUGUUGUUGUGGUUCGAUCCUCUCUGCAUGUGCAUUUAGUUCCUUCUCUUGUUUUUCCAUACUUGUAGAUGUCUGAAAGUUCUGAUAGGGAAAGUCUUGACCCCCCUGCCUUCGGCGGGGAUGAUACUGAGAGUCAAGAGCCGAGUCAAUAUAUAUGUUCUGAAGAGGAAAGUUCAGAGACAGAGGGUAUGGUGGAAGGAACCAUAGAAAGUAGGAUGAUAGGGCCUGGGGGUGAGAGGGCUGAGCCAUCGGGAGACUCUGGGUCGGCUGCAUAUAGGGAGAUGCAGAGAAAUUAUAUAGAGUUAGAGGCUAUAGCAAAUCGGGUUCUAGCCUUGCCUCAGACGCAAGAAGUGGGUUCGAGCAACCAGGCAUCACCAUCAGGGUCUGUGGGUAUAGCCGUGGCUUCGGUGUCAGAGGGAUUAGACAUCCGGGUUGGUGUCCCGUUGCCGAGGCGGAAUACACUUACAGAAGCGAAAUUGGCCCAGCUACGAACAGAUUUUUGUGUGCCAGCCUAUGUGGGCUUGAGGUUACCCACGGAGGUUGAUGUAGUCAGAUAUCCUUCGGAUGGCUCCGUGAUGAUUUUUACAGAUAUGUAUCGGCAUGGCUUCAGACUACCGUUUCAUCCGUGGGUUCAGAUGAUGUUGGCCAAGUUGGGGUAUGCACCGGGGCAGUAUAAUCCCAACUUUUGGAUUCUUCUUCAUGGGGUGUAUAUCGCCUGGUGGUUGGCUGGGUUAGGGGAGCCAACGUUUGAGCAGUUCAUGUACCUGUACUCCAUUUCGAAGCAACAGGGGAAUUUUGGCUGGGUACAGGCCAAUUGCCGAAAGGCGAAGGAGAGGGGCUAUUUUAUUGGACACAAGCCCACAACGCAAAAGUCCUGGAGGAACAGGUGGUGCUUGGCCUAUGGGGACUGGGAAUGUCCUCCAGGGAAGAGCGUUGUCCAGCACAUUCCUACCCACUUCCAGUCUAUAGGUCCUUGCCCCAUCCCUUAAGAUUGUCAAAUGCCUGAUUGUGUUGUUUUGGCUCCUAUUUUUGGUUCUGUACUUCCUUUGUGCCAGUGUAAAUGGCUAAGUAGUUUCUAACUCUUGAUGCAGGUUCAGUGAAGUGGGGCCCUAUCUCCAAGGAGCAAGAAGACGAAGUUGAGUGGGUGAGGGCGCAGCUAUCAGAGACUGAGCGUGAGUGCGGGAACCUAGUCACGCAGAAGAAUUUGUUUGAGUCCGGACUGCUGCAAGGAAGUAAGUACCUGGGUUAUCUUUUUGUUGUGUGCUAAGCCUGUUGUAAGUUUGAGUAAUAGAGUUGCUUUGUUUGUUUUGACAGUGGCUGGCAUCAUAAGGGGGAGCACGAAGGUGGCCGUAGACAUUGAUGAGGCCGAGAUGCAGAAGCGGCUGAGGGAGUCUCGGGCCAAGAAAGCUGAGAAAAUUGCUGGGAAACGACCCAGGGAUGAUGAUGAGGGUCGGGUCGCGGACGUGCUGGGGAAGAGGAAGGCUUUGGAGGAGGCUCAUCAGCAUGUGAUGGGGUCAGGGCCGAGGCUUCCGCCCUUUGAUCUGCAGGCACCGCCGAAGCUACCCUUCGGCAUGGAGGAUGUGUUCGCUGAAGGGGUAGAGAAGGUAGACUUCGGCAGGCUACGCCAGCAGAAGAAGGAGGUCAACCUGGCUAUGCACCGGCAGGAGGUGCCCUUAGUGAAAGUCUUCCUGGAAGGCGUGAAGAGCGACCCUGAGGCUCUGGCGAGGACUCCAGCUGCUUCCUUCAUUGACCGGGCCCAAAAGACGAUCCUCACCUCUGCCUAUGUAAGUGUUUAGGCCAUUUUUGAAUGUAUUUGUGUUGGAUUAUUUGUGUGGAUUGACUAACAUGGUUUUGGUUUUGCAGGCCUUUGGCGAGAUGUACGUCAGCAUGGCCAAGGCUGACAAGGAGAUCCAGAGGCUGAAGAGGCGGGAUGAGCUAGCCAAGAGCAAAAUGGCAGAGGCGCAGGAGGCCAUCCGAGAGAAGAACACCUUGCUGGUUCAGAAGGCGGCCCUGGCCAAGGAGGUGGAGGAGCUGAAGAGAUCUAGGGCCGAGGAGGUGGCUGCUGCCCGAGCCGAGGCGAUUGAGUCCUUCCGAUCCUCAGAGGAGCUGAAGAGCUAUAUCAUGGACCGACUGGUUGAUGAGCAGCUUCGCUGGGAAGAUAGGUUGGUUAGGUUCAACCCCUCACUGGAGAUUAACUUUGACACCAGUGGCGAGCCUCCUGCACAGACCCCUCCUGCUGAUGCUAGCGCCCCGACACGAGAGGCUGAGCCAGCCACUGAGGAUGCUCCUUCGACCGAGUCCUGAAGGCGUUGCCUUCGUGAUGUGUUAUAGCUAUUUUGUACUCUAGUGAUUGUGUUUGAACACUUGUUUGUUUUGUUUACUUUGGUUAUGUAUGAACAUUUGUCCUUGCCUGGAGCAAGGCUGUUUUUAUUUAUGAUAUGAACUUAGCUUGAUAUCAAUUGUGUUAACAAUGAUAACAAUGUGAGUUCAUGAGAAUGAGCCUGAGUCAGGCAUUUUAUUGAAAUAGAUGCCGAAAGGCAGAAGGUACAAGUGGUCUAGGGUCUAGAUACCUUACGUCUAACUUACAGUAAAUAAUCAAGACCAAAGUAUUAUCCUAGGGUCUAGAUAUGUUUACUUGUAAUAGUACUUGAGGUGGUCAGCAUUCCACGGGUGAGGCAGCGUCUUGCCUGAGGAAUCACGAAGCUGAUAAGUGCCGGGGCAGCAGAUUUUGAUAAUCUCAUAAGGACCUUCCCAUGUAGGGCCGAGGGUACCCUCGUUGGGAUUUUUGGUAGCCAAGGAAACCUUGCGCAUGACCCAGUCCCCCAUUUUGAAAGCACGGGGCUUGACUCGGGAGUCAUAGUAUUUGGCGAUGCGUUGCUUGUACGCGGCAUUGCGCAUGCUUGAUUGGUCCCGGAGUUCGUCAAUGAAGUCGAGGUUGAGGGCCAACUGCUCGUCAUUGGCCGUGGCAUCGUAAGUGGAGGUUCGGUAUGUGGGCUGGCCAAUCUCUACCGGAGCCACGGCCUCGGUUCCAAAUGAUAGGGAGAACGGCGUUUCACCCGUGGAUGUGCGGAAGGUGUUGCGGUAGGACCAGAGUACUUCUGGGAGUAGUUCUGGCCAGCAGCCCUUGGCUUUGUCAAGUUUUGUCUUGAGGGUCUUCUUGAUAAUUUUGUUCACGGUUUCGACCUGGCCAUUGGACUGAGGAUGGGCUGGGGAGGCGAAACACAGACGAAUCUUGAGGUUCGAACAAAAUUGUUUGAAUUUGGCGUUGUCAAAUUGCCGGCCAUUGUCGGUGAUGAUGGAGUUGGGGAUGCCGAAGCGACAUACAAUGUUUUGCCACACAAAGGAUUCGAUGCGAGCCGCAGUGAUGGUGGCCAAGGCCUCGGCCUCAGCCCACUUGGUGAAGUAGUCUACGGCCACAACAGCAUACUUGACUUGGCCCUUGCCCUCUGGCAUCGGUCCGAUGAGAUCCAGUCCCCAUUGGGCAAAUGGCCAAGGACUGACCAUGGCCGUCAGUGGUUCUGCCGGGAGUUGUGGAAUGUUGGCGAAUCUCUGACAUUUGUCGCAUUUUUGGGUGAAGGCCUGGGCGUCAGUGUGGAGUGAAGGCCAGAAAUAUCCUUGGCGGAUUGCCUUAUGAGCUAACGAGCGUGCGCCCGAGUGGUUGCCGCAGAUGCCUUCAUGGAUUUCUCGGAGGACAUAGUGACCCUCCUCUGGAGUCAGGCAUCGGAGGUAAGGAAGGCUGAAACCCCGCUUGUAUAAGGAGCCAUUAAUGAUCAGGUAACGGGCAGAGCGAUGGCGAACGCGUCGUGCUUCUGCCGGAUUAGCCGGUAGUGUUUGGUUUUGUAAGAAUUGGAGGAUGGGGUCCAUCCAUGUAGGGCUGUGAUCAAUAGUGCAGAUGAGUGGGGCUUGUGUGCUGGGCUGGGCCAAAAACUCGAUGUGGAUGUGGCGACCCAGUCCUUGCUCCAAGGCUGAUGCCAACCUGGCUAGUGCAUCGGCAUGGCUAUUCUCGGAGCGCGGCACCUGCCUGAUAGAGUGGGCUUGGAAGUUUGCCAGCAAGUGCCGAGCUUGCUGGAGGUAGGCCGUCAUAGAGGCAUCCUUAGCCGUGAAGUCCUGGUUGACCUGGUGGACCACAAGUUGUGAAUCGCUGAAUAUCUGAAUUUGCCUGGCGUCCAUCUCUUUGGCUAAUCGAAGACCAGCUAAGAGUGCUUCAUAUUCGGCCUCAUUGUUGGAGGCUUGGAAUUUGAAGCGAAGGGCGUACUCGAGGGCAACCUUGUCUGGGGAGAUGAGAACGAGGCCGGCCCCACAGCCCUGGGCAUUAGAAGAGCCGUCUACGAAUAAGGUCCACAGGGGCUGGGUUAGGUCGAGAUUGCCUUCGGUGGGGGUUUGGUCCUGGCUGGGAGGGGGGUUGGGUUCGAUUAUGAGCUGGGUAGCUGCGGAAGCUUGGGGAUCCGUGAAUUCGGAUAGGAAGUCAGCAAUGGCCUGGCCCCUCAUAGCCGGGCGGGGUUUGUAGUGAAUAUCAAACUCGCCCAGUUCAAUGGCCCAUUUGACCAGCCUCCCAGAGGUUUCUGGGUUCUGCAACACCUGUCGGAGCGGGUGGUUGGUUAAGACAUGGAUGGUGUGAGCUUGGAAAUAUGGUCGGAGGCGUCUUGCCGAGACGACCAGGGCGAAUGCCAAUUUUUCGAUGUCCGGGUAACGAACUUCGGCAUCUUGCAAUGCUUUACUAACAUAAUGCACUGGGUGCUCCGCGUGAUCUUUUGAUCGGAUAAGCACAGAGCUAACAGCCGAAGCUGAGAUGGAGAGAUAAAUCACGAGGAUGUCUCCGUGCUCAGGGGUUGACAAUAAAGGGGCCCGACCCAUAUACUCCUUCAGCUCGCUGAAAGCCGUGUCACAUUCAGCAGUCCAGGUCAUGUUUCUUUUGGUGCCUUUAAGGGCCUUGAAGAAUGGGGCGCAACGGUCAGUGGCUUUGGAGAUAAAUCUGGUCAGGGCUGCGACACGCCCUGUAAGGCUUUGGAUAUCCUUGGCCGUCUUAGGUAUUGUCAUAUCUAAGAUGGCCUGGAUCUUUUCUGGAUUGGCCUCAAUGCCCCUCUGGCUGAUCAUGAAGCCAAGGAAUUUUCCGGAAGCCACCCCGAAUGCACAUUUGGUGGGGUUAAGCCUCAUUUUGUAUUGCUUCAGAAUGGUGAACAUGGCAGAGAGGUUGGGGAUGUGCUGGUCAGCCGUGCGACUCUUGACUAGCAUGUCAUCGACAUAGACCUCCAUGGUAUUGCCAAUCAGGGGGGCAAAGAGCUGAUUCACCAGACGCUGAUAAGUGGCCCGGCGUUUUUGAGGCCGAAGGGCAUCACCUUAUAGCAGUAGAGGCCGCGGUCCGUAAUGAAAGAGGUGUGUGCCUGAUCUUCGGGGUGCAUGAAGAUCUGGUUGUAACCUGAAUAAGCAUCCAUGAAGCUAAGGAGGGCGUGGCCGGCUGUGGCGUCGACUAGCUGGUCAAUGCGGGGUAGCGGGAAGCUGUCCUUUGGGCAUGCCCGAUUAAGGUUGGUGUAGUCGACACACAUGCGCCAGCCCUUUCUUGGCUUGCGGACCAUCACGACAUUGGCCAGCCAUGUGGGAUAGUCAACCUCCCUGAUGAAUCGGAUACUACUCAAUCGAUCCACCUCCGCCUUCAUGGCCUCAUAGCGCUCGGGAUCAUAGGCUCGACGCUUCUGUCGGACUGGUCGGACGGCAGGAUUGACGCUAAGCCUAUGAGAUAUGAUGUCUGGUGAUAUGCCAGGCAUGUCAUUGUAGGACCAAGCGAAGACUUCGGAGUUGAGGCGGAGGAAGGCGACCAGGUCAGAGCGAAGCUCUGGUGAGAUGGAGGUGCCGAUCCGGACUUGUCGAUCCGGGAUAUCGUCAUGGAGGGUAACCAGCUCCAGGUCCUCCAUAGGUUCGGCCUGUGGUGCGAUGGACUCCUCCCUGGGGUCUUCAGGUGGGUCUGUGCCAGCUUGAGGAGGGGCGGGAGCCUGGGUUACUGCUAGGGCUUCACUCCUAUGUUGGCGAUUGGUGGAUUUGAUGGCUGAAGCAUAGCAGCUUCGGGCUCCGAGUUGGUCGCCGCGCACCGUGCCUGGGCCAUUAGGAGUGGGGAACUUCAACAGCAGUAUAUGCGUGAAAAUAAAAGCCUUCAUUUGGGCCAAGGCUGGGCGGCCGAGGAUGACGUUGUAGGCUGUGGGGCAAUCGACGAUAAGGAAGGGGGUAGUGAUCGUCGUCCGCUGGGGUGCGGCCCCAAUUGAGAUGGGGAGAUGAAUGCUGCCAAUGGGCUGGACCACAUCACCCGAGAAGCUCACAAGGGGUGUGAUGCUUCGGUCGAGUAGGUGAGGCGGGACCUGGAGUUCAUUGAAGCACUCGGCGAACAUCACACUGACCGAGCUGCCAGUGUCCACCAGGAUACGCCCAACGUCGAAGUUAGAAAUGUCAGCCCGGAUAAUAAGUGGAUCGUCAUGGGGGAGGAUAACACCACGCUCCUCCUCCUCGCAGAAGGUAAUGGGGGCCCAGCCAGUCCUGUGGGUCUUUGGCAAUCGUCCCUGCUCGGUGCUGAAGACCUGGUGCGCAUAGGUGGAGCGGACAUAAUGUUUGAUGGAGUUGUUGGAGGUGCCAGCCAGGGUAGGACCUCCGCUGAUGGUGGAGAUCAUGUUGAUUUGUCGUUGGUGAGGGUUAGGCGGGGCUGGUAUGUUGCGCACAUAGUUGUCCAGCUUACCUUCCCGGAUGAGCCCUUCAAUUAUGUUGCGCAAGGCAACACAAGAUUCGGUGUCAUGGCCGCUGAAUUGAUGAAAGCGGCAGAAGACCCCCGUGUUUGGCAUAGGCUUGUUGGAUGGUCUCCGGGGGGGUGGCUUGGGGAUGAUGGGGGCUUCACGUGCCAGGACGUUCUCAUAGGUGGUGUUGAGGGUCGUAAAAACCUCAAACCUGGGCCUGGGUGCGAAUGGAAGUGGGGCCCGAUCACCAGGCCUGGGAGGGUUGCUUCCACUAGAUUGAUGGGGGUUGCCAUGUCUGCCACGUUUGUGAUUGCCGAAGGGAUGCUGGUAGCUAUCCUUCCGCUUAUGUGGUUGGUUGUCCUGGGCAAUCGGGGCAGGGGUAGAAUGCUGAGGUGGGGCUGGGGCGGGUGCUGAAGCCGGUGGAGGGUCGGCGAAAGUGUUGCGCGCCAAGUUGGCUGGGCCACGCUUGGAAUUGAAGUAUUCAGCCUUAGCGUGGAUCGCCGCCUGCUUCAUCAGCUCUGCAUAUGUGUUCCAACUGUUGCUAUGAACCAGGUAGCGGAAGUUGGACUCGCGGAGGCCGCUCUUAAAAGCGCCGAAGGCAGCGCGAUCGUCAGUGUCUGGGCAGCGAGAGUAUUCAUGACUGAACCGAGCUGCAUAUUCCCGAAGGGGUUCGUCCUCAGCCUGCCUAAGCAUAUACAAGUCGUCGGCAGAGUAUAGGCGAUCAGUCUGGAUCAUAAAAUGGUCCAGGAACGUCUGCUUGAGACUAUCGAAGGAGUUGAUGGUGCAGGGGUGGAGCCUGUAGAACCAAUUCAGGGCCGCGCCGCUGAGGGUGGAAGGGAAAAGGAGGCACAUGCCUUCAUCAGUGAGGCCUUUGCACCCAAGGGCAGACUGGAAGGAGUGGAUGUGGGUGAGAGGGUCCUCCGUGCCAGUGUAGAAAGCGAUGCGGAGGGGCUGGAUAUCUUUCUCCUGGUGGUAGUGGAGGAUGCGUUCAGUAAAGGGCCCUGGUCGUGGUUUUGCCCAGAGGGGUUGAUGGCUGCGUUGUUGUUCGCUUUCCAAGCGCCGGACCUUUUCGAAGAGAAGCCUCAUGGCCGGGUCGGCAUGAGGAAGAGUUUCAGGCGCCAAAGGCCUGGGGGCGGGGCAGACAGGGACUGGGGAUUGUUCCCAAUUUUCCAGCGCCCCGGUGUGGUAAUUUGGCCAGGUCUCCGAAUUAUAAAAGUCCCAAGUAUCCGAGUCCCCGACACCUUCCUCGUCGGGUAUGCGGACGGGGGCUGGCGAAGGGCCCGGGUGUGUCACCCGUGGGUCUUCGAGGUUGACAGGGAUAGGGAUCGGCCUUGGCUGGCGGUCCGAGAGGCGAUCCCUGCAAUCUUGGUAGAUCCUGACUGGUUCAUGGGGCCGGUCCCUCGGUGGGGGAACGCAAAGGGGUCGUGACUGGGCUAUCUCCGGAUGAAGGUGGUCCUUACCCUUGCGGAGCCUAGCCUGGGCCGAGGCACUGUGGCUGGAAUGUACCGGCUGGUUCGGCUGAGUAGGCCCAACGUUCUGGGUGAGGUCUUGCGGGGCAUCCUGGGUGUGAGUCCUUUCCCAGUUCCGCUUUAAAACACGGUAGUCAUGUUCUAGCUCAAUGUUCCUGCAAUGAAGGUGGUCGUAUUUUUCCGACAUUUUAGUGACACUGUCGCGGAGACGCUCCACUUCUGCCUGGAGAGUGGCAUCUUCCGAAGAUCUCCUUCUAGAAGUACCAUCGCGGGGGGUAUGAUGCUGGGUAUCGCGGCUAUCCUCGGUCGGCAUAGCAGAAUGUGGGGUGAAGAAGAGGCGACGGGGCCUGAGGGGUGAAGGAGCCAGCUGGGCUGAUAGAGAAAGAGGGGAUUCAAGUGUCGAUUUCCCACAGACGGCGCCAAACUGUUGAUGCUCAAAAUGGCCCGGCCAAUAUUGAGUCCAACUUAGUGAUUAGAUGUGCUGAGUCUUCAGCAGAGAAGAGGGCUGAGGCCCUUGGUGAAAUGGGUUGGUGAGAGACCUGUAGAAGGUAAAAAGAGGAGAAGCAAUCGUCAAGCUUCGGACACCGGUGUGGUGCCGGCCGAAGGCUCUCCGAUGCCUAAGUCAAUUACAAGUAGUAAUUCUGGCAGAGUAACAGUAAAAGUGGGAGAGUAGUUCUCUGUUUUACCUGGGUACUGUUCCCUAUUUAUAGGGAAGUGAAAGUGGGAGCUUUGCACAAAGUUCCAAUGUGGGACUUUGUGCAAGCCAUUGUGGUGACGACACGUGUCCUGGAGAUUAGGUUUGGCAGCUGAGAGCUUCGGCAGGUGUCUGGCACCUCGGAAGUGUGUCUUCCUUCGGCAUGGGAGAAGGCGUGGCUGCCUUGGUGCUAGUCGCUUUGAUGCUGGGUCUGCUCGGUUCAUUAUGGUGUAAACAUAAAGUAUUAGGAAUUUUCUUUAGCACCUUGACAUUCAAUUUUCUCUAGUCUCAUUAUGAUUGACGUGUGAUUUCCAUAACAUUAAUUAUGCAUUGUAUAUAGCAGAUAAUUUACUCCUUUAUAUGGUUUUGUCUUGUAUGAUUGUGUGGCUUUCUUCCUUUUUUCCUAUAUAUAUCUGAUGCAAGCUAGCAUAUAUCAAUAUACACUUGCAGUGUUUUUGCAUGUGCAUGUGCUUUUGAUCAAUUAACAUGAAGGGCGACGGAAGGUGCUUGAAACUCUUUCUUGCAUUAUCGAUCCUUUUCCUACAAAACGUAAAAGGAGGAGAAGUUGGCCACAGCCACAACCACAGCCACAGUCACAGCCUCAGAGAUGCUAAAGUGACAGUGAGGUGCAUAGAGAGGGAAAGGCAAGCACUACUUGCAUUCAAACGUGGCCUGGUGGAUGAGUUCAAUCUACUCUCAACUUGGGGUUCAGAAGCCGAAAAACAAGAUUGUUGCAGAUGGG